ACUCCAGUCCACUUGAGUAUUUUUCUUUUUCAAGAACGACUGAUGGAUUUUCAUUUUUUGGAUACACUUUCACAUUCACAAUUCAUUUAGUUUUUUUUAUUUUUCAUGUUAAUUUCAUCAGCCAGUUUUGCUACACUUCCCUUCCUACCCUGUGUUUCUUCUUUAAUAAGGUCUGAUUUGAUAUAUAGUCUUCUCCACCUCCCCUUUCCCACACAGGUAUUCUUAUAAUAACCUUCUGUUGUAUAAUAGUCUCCUCGAGCAACCCAUCUAUAUAAAUUUGGACUAGAGCAAUAACUAUAUUUAUUUCCAUUCUUGUUUGCAGCAGUGCGAGGCUUUAGAGGCGUUUUAAAAGUCCAUCGAACCCUUAGAGCCAGUGCAAUCACUAUUUAAAUGUUUACACUACUACCAAAAACCUUAACCCUUCUCUAAACUUGACACAUAAACAUUAGAAAAAUAUUCAUUAAAUUGUAAUAAGGUAUCAAUACCACCUAAUUGGUCCCUCAGUCUUACCAAUUCGAACCUAACAAUCUUAACUAUAAAAUGUCAUAUCUUGUUUGAAGGAUUAACAUCUAAAAGGUAAAGAACCAACAUUCACAAAAUUAUUAUACUGAAUGUGUGUUUUCACGAUAGGUUGAUCAGUAAUACAUACCUCCUAUAUAUGAAGUGGUUCCAUCUGCAAACAGCUUAUUCCUCCGAACCCAUCUUUACUCUAGCCUUUAAUGCUAGUCAGGCAAAAUUUGAUCUAGUUUUAUUUUCUUUUAUCUACAAACAAGAGAAAUACAUUUGAUGCCAAAAAAAGAGAAAAACAAAAAGAACAUUACAAAAGGGUAAUACAAAAUUGAAUAAAUCAACAGAUGACCAAUCUAAUGCAACAGAUUCCCCAUUUGUUCAACCGAUGAGGCAUCUGUUAUAACAUAUGGAUGAUAUGUUGCAAUAGAAAGGUCAUUUAUUGGAAUAAAUCAAGCCAACCUUUCUAUUGGUUUGAUUUCUUCAAAUAGUUGCUCCGUCUAUUUCAACAGCUGAUUCAUCAGUUGCAACAGUUGAGGAAAUUAUUGCACCAUCACUAACAACAAUAUCAAUAAUAAAGAAACAGCACCAUAUGUUCCAACACCAUUAAUAACACAAACACCACAUGUUCCAACACCACCACCCCCAACAAUAGCACCACAAAAGUAACAAACAAAAGACAUAAAAAACAAUACUGACAACAAGGCUUUUUAAGUUCUCACAACAGAUGACUUUUUUUGCAUAUUUUAAUAAAAAUAAUGGUUUGUUCAUUCAAGACUUAAAAGUCACCUUUCCUAUAAUUUUCUCAAUAAAUAGAAAACUAGUAAUGGGUAAAUCAUUAAUAGCAACAAAUGUAAAUAUCUAAUUUAAAUAGCAUACAAAGAAGAAGACGAGAAAGAAAGAGCAAUAGUGAACCAUACCUGCAAUGUCAAAAAAGUAAAGGGAUUAGAACAUCCAGUUCAGUCAAGAAAAGAUAUUGAUAGGUUGAGAUCCAAAAGAAUCCUCAUCCAAAAUAAGAGAGAAAAGAGAGGAAAAAAGAAAAGAAAGAGAAUUGAGAAUAAAAAGAGAGAGAGAUGAGUUGAGUUUCUUGUCUCGAGUUUAUGGUUGAAGGAGAGAGUAUUCUACUCUACUCCCUCCAUUUCAUAUUAGUUGAGUUGGUCCCUAUAAACUUGGCAUAUCCAUUAAGAAAAAUAUUUAUAAGGGGUCUAUUUUACCAAAUUAGCCUUAUUAAUUAUGCUCUAAAAAUAUAAAUUUGAAUAUAUACAACUUGUUUAGUCAUUUAAUGAUAAGGGUAUUAUUGGAAGAACAUAUUAAAAUCCUCUUGAUUUUAUCAUUGGGACAACUAAAUUAAAAAAAAUAUUUUUAGAAAGAGGGUCAACUAAAAUGAAAUGGAGGGAGUAGAUAUGGUUUUAAAUAUUCAUUAAUAACUUUUGAGGGGAACGAGGAAAUGGUGACAUUGAAAAGACCAGAUAAAACUACUCACUGGGGAUAUUUUUAAGUUAUUCAAGUAAUAUUUUUUACCGCCUUAGUAAAAUUUUAUUUUUUUAUCUCGGAUAGGAAAUACCCAAAUUUCUUUAAAAAGGGAUCUUAAAACAUCAAAGCCAUACUUUGCAACAGAUGACAAUUUCUGUUUGAAAUUUUCCAAAGCUCGAUCAUCUUUUGCAACAAAUGAUUCCAAUAGAUGGGUAAUCUAUUACAAUAGAUACCAGCGCUUAUUUGAUAAUUUACAACAGAUGGGUAAUCUGUUGCAACAGGUUGAACAUUUAUUUUUAUACAAUUUCAAUUAAGUUCAUAUGUUCAACUAAUACCUUAACUGAUCAAUCUAGGACUAGGGGUGAGUUCUCAUAGGGUCAACUACAACUUCAAUUGAGUCUUUUGGAAAAUGUAUGAUGAGACGGUACUGCGUUCCUCUCGACCAGAGUCAUCGAUCGAUCACUCUGAGGUGAAGCUAUUCUUAUUACCUAAUAUGCUCAACUAAUACCUUAAUUGAUCAUAGGGACAACUACAAUAGAUGGCAGCGCCUAUUUAAUAAUUUACAGCAGAUGACUUAAUCUGUUCGAUUAAUUCCAACAUAUGGGUAGUCUAUUGCAAUAGAUGACUUAAUCUAUUUGAUUAAUUUCAACAAAUGGGUCAUCUAUUGCAACAGGUUGAACAUUUAUUUUUAUACAAUUUUAAUUGAGUUCAUAUGUUCAACUAAUGCCUUAAUUAAUCAAUCUAGGACUAGGGGUGAGUUCUCAUAGGGUCAACUACAACUUUAAUUGAAUCUUUUGGUAAUCGCAUGAUGAGAGGGUUAAAAAUUAUGCAUAUCUUUUAUAAUUUUAAAAAAUAAUUAAGAUCAAUUCGGACCAAAUUACUAUUUUUAAAAAUUGUCAUUCUUUUUCAAAUACAAUUCAACCUAUACAAAUCAUCCAUUUGCGAGAAAAAUGUUUCAUCAUUUCAAAGCUUGAGUUCUCGCUCUUUUCUCUCUCUCAAUAAUACAACUACUCAAAAAAUUGCUCAACCCUUCACAACAAAUUGAUUUUCUUCUCAUUUCCGACAGUAUAGGUGUUAUUUUUGGCUUUAUUCUUGCUUGUAUCAGUCAUUUUCUCUAUCUUCAUAGGCAACAGAGUUCAAGAAGAGUUCUAUAUUUGUUAUUUUUCCUAAAAAAUAAGUGCUUUUAAGUUAAUGAUGAAAAAUAAGACUUUUAGUUGUAUUAUCUUCGAGAAUAGGUUUUCAAUUUUGAGUUUUGAUGGUAAAAUCGUGGGAAGAACUCUAGAAAACCCUAGUUUUUAUUGCAGUGUUCCUUUGACUGACCUGGUAUUGUUAGAUCGUGUUUGUGGUAUUGGUGGUUGUGAUGGUGGUUUUCGUGGUGGCACUGGUAAUGUUUGUGGUGGUUGGUGGUGGUAUUAGUUGGUGGUAUUUGUGGUGGCUAUUGGUGGUGUCGGUAGUCAUGGUAUUUGUGGCUAUGGUUGGUUGUGUUUGUGGUGGUGGCUGUUGGUGUGUCGGUAUUGGUGGUGUUUGUAAUGUAUUUUUUAAAAUUUAUGCAUACAUAAAUUGUAAUGUAAUUUUUAUUUUUUUGUUGUUUGUAGGUAAAACAUGUCUCCCAAAAGAAAAGAAAGUAAAAGUGGCUUAACUUCUGACCACCCAACAACAAAGGCUACAGUACAGAGGGAUUCGUAGAAGCUUCCUGAACAAUCUCAGCCGGGAAAAACUGAAGCUGAGGAGAGAUAUGAAAACAAUAUUAAAGGAGGUAAACAAGGGUCUGUAGAUGGUGAUGAAAAAAUAAAAGUGAGAAAGAGGAGGAAUUAGAGAGUGAGAAAGAGGAUGAUCAUCAAGAUGAUGAUAAUGGAUCACCAAUGAGUCGUGAAUUAAUAUCGACAUCCUAGCAUUAUCCUGUCAAUACUAUUAAUAUUGACAGGUUUCAAGUUACGAUGCCGAUAGAUGGCCCAAAAGAACUAACUGGUGAACUUGAACUUUAAUGUCAAUUAGGGAAAAAAAUUAAUUAUUUUAGGAAUAUUAUGAAGAAGGAAAACGUAGUCAGGCUUUUUAAGAGGAGCUUCUUUGGACGCUUUCUCCAGCUGCCCGAGAACCCCCCUGCCUGUUUCCAAAUGAGGAUGGUAUAUGGUAUUCUCAAGUGUAGGAUCAAAUACUUAAGGGAUGAUAAAUAUUUGGAAGAGGGGAGUAAGAAGAUGGAUUAAAUCUGGAUCAACUACUAUGUCAUGCUGGUUUUUGUUGGCUUGUGAGAGUUUGACAUAGUGACGGGUUUGAGAUGCGAUCGUCCAGAAGAACCUAUUGCCAAGGCAAGCAAGAUAGCCAAACGACCCAACAAAACCAACAAACGCAAAGAAAAAAUAGAUGGGUUGUUGGACAUUGUUGUACAUGGCUACAAAGCAUCGGAUUUGAUGACAAAUCUCAAGGAUAAAAUCAUACCAAAGAAGUACAGGGAGAAAUUGUGCUUAGUUUGGUUUGCCCAUUUGGUUAUAUUAGCAAGAGAUAUCAACAAGGUCAUAGAAGAUGAUUUGUUGGUGCGUGAUGAGGAUUUUGAUAAAUUCAACAAUUAUCCCUGGGGAUAUGACAACUUCUACUUGACUGUCUAAUAUUUAUUGACAAAGCUAUCCACAGGGACGACCACAUUAUACGGCUUUUCUUGAGCUUUCAUGGUAAAAUUAAUCACUAUUUUUACUCAUUCAUUAAUUUAUAUUGAAUAUAACUUUAUUAUGACUUUUUUUUCUUGCUUCCUAUUUAUAUUUUUUAGGCUUGUGAAUUUAAAGCCAUUUCUCCCCUUCGAAAGCAGGUAAUAGAUUACCCGGAUGAGGUUUCUCAUCCAAGGAUGUUUAGGAGGUUGACUACAAAGAAUAACACAAUAAUUAAUAAGGCUAAUCUCUUUAACCCUCUGGAUGAUGCAGUAUGUAUUAUUCAAGUAAAAUAAUUUGACUCAAUGAAUGUAACACCCCAUAUUUUAGCGUAGAAUACAAACCAUCAUUUCUAUGGGUAGAUGAUUCAAAAUUCAUAAAUCCUAUGCAAAUUUUCUAUAUUAAUCAAUUAUGUAGUUUGGGAAAUUGAAUGAGCUUUCCGUCGAUAUAAUAUUCGCCCAAAUUCGAUACCCGGGCAAGAUGUUAUGGCUAAUUUUAGUCCUAGUCAUAAAACACCAUCAUUCUGGUACUUGGCGCGUCGCGGAGGUGGUCUAUUUAAUAAUUGUCAAAUUUCAGUAGCCUAGCACAAUUAUGGCAUGUCGCACUGAAGUUCCAGGUCCUAACUAGUGGGACAACGCAAUGGCUCCGCAUCGCGGUAAACCAAGAAUCUCAUUCAUCAUUUUCCAGUGAGCCACCGUGAUAGUGGCGCGUCGCGGUGGCCCAUAAAAUUGGGCUCCUAGUUAUACUUUAUUCCAUCUCAUUAAGGGUAUGUUGGGUAAUUUCCACCCCCUUAUCGGCUUAAACAUAGGAUUUUUCUCCUAAGUAAUCACAUUAUUCAUAUUUUCUUCAAAAAAUUACAAGAAACUCUCUUUAGGGUUUCAAACUAAAAAUCCAAAUAUCCUAAGAUUUCACCAUGGGUUUUCAAUAAUUCUUCGAGAUUUGGAAUCCCUAUUGUGAGGGCUACAAGAAGCACCCAUCAAUUGCUCGAAUAGCAUCCCUAAAGCACGAGUUCAUUCAAGAGUCAUAAAUUAAGGUACACGAGGUUUUUCCUAAAAUCUCAUGGGCAUAGAAAUCAUGAUUUUAAGAAUGGAGUUUUGGAUUUAUGAAUAUAAUCAUGUUUUAGAAGUUUUGACAGUAUUGUUUUGGUCUUUAGACCUUCCCCCAAAUUGAUUGGAAAUUGUAUAUAUAUGUAAGCACGCGUUUUAAAGAUUGAUGAUUGAAUUGAGAGCAUGACUCAUGAAAAAUCCCUCUCUUGUUAUGAUUUUCUUUUACUCAUUAUAUACUAUGGAUUGUUUUGAAAUACAUUUUGAAGAGCAUGAUACGAAGUGUCUUGAUUUAUACUAUGACUUGAAUAUGAUUUUGAAAUAAAAAGACAGGGUUAUGCAUGUUUAUAAAUGUUGAAUAUACAUAUAGUGAAAGAGUAUAUGUUUUUUACCAAAAGCACAUGACCACCAUAUGUUUGAAGAAUUCUUCCAUAGUUUUGACUUAUAUUUCAGAACAUAAAAUCAUCUCAUACUAUUGCAAAUGUUGGGUAGUCUGAAUUGAGUUUUAAUAAAAGAAUUAUGCUUAAUGCAUUAUGGCUCAGAAUUAUGACUUUCAAGUCUUGGUAUGACGAUACCAAAAUAGACAAUGCCAUAACAGAUUCAGACAAACAUAGAAACCAGAUUUUCAUGACUUAAGAUUUCAGGAUGAUAUAUGUUUAGAAAUGGAUAAAAUUGGGUAUAAAGAGAUAUUUUAGGUGGUCCCCCAAAGAAGGCACGAGUUCAGACAACUCAUUACCCAAAACUAUGAUUUGUCAAUCCGAGUAUAUUAUAUUACGCUAGCCUAGUGCUCUGUGGUAAAAUAGACUCAGAUACUCCAACUUUUAAGGCAUACUUGGGUUAGAGGCUUACCCACCGAGUCAAUGGCGAACUUCAUCUAGCCCCUGAGGUUUUAGACUUGUAGGGGCGUACCACCUAACUCAGAAGUAAUACAAAGAUCAUAAAUUGCAUUGACAGAAAGGUUUUUAUGAUUAUCAAAAUGAUGCUCAUGUGUUUUGAAAACUAUUUUAUGUAUGAUGUUUGGAAAAAUUGAUCUCCGUUAUUUUAUUUAUAUAAAAACUUUAUUUUGGAUUAUUUUGCAUACCAGUACAUUUGUAUUGACCCCCCUUCCUCCCAGGAUCUAAAGCUUAGUUCAAAGGUCCUGCUAGGCCGUGGAUUUUUCAGACAGUAGUGAUAUGUGUAAUUGGUGAGCCUUUCUUAUUCUAGAAGGCCUAUGUCUUUCAGAUUAUGUUAUUUAUUUUGAUUUAGGUCCACUGGGGGCCUUGUCCCAGUUUCAAACAGUUGUUAUUUUCAGAUGUAGUAGAGAUUUCACAGACUGGUUUAGAUGUUGUGUAGUUGAUAUUUGAUUUUAUUUUUCAUAGUUUAAUUGAACCUAGAGUAUGACCAUGUUUCCAUAAUGAUUUAAAAUUCCUUAUCUUCUAUUAUAACUUAUGAAUAUUGUCCAUGAUUACCAGAGAGAGAAGGGAAUCCGGGCCUUCAUGGUUUGGGAUGCUCAUCACAGCCAGGGCCCGGUUCGAGUUGUGACAAACCUGGUAUCAGAGAACGGUUUAUGGUCCCAGGGUGUCUGCAAAAUCUCGUCGGGUAAAGUCUUGUAUAUGGGUGUGUAGUGCGCCACACUUAUAGGUAGGAGGCUCUUAGGCAUUUAGGAAUGUCUCUUUUUUUUCAUGUUCUAGUUCGUACUAUGGAGUCAGAAUAUCCCUCUUAUAUACUCUAAAUCAUGCUAUGGUGUCACCCAUACGGAAGUAAAGUCAUCCCAAUUCUUUCUUUACUUUGAUGUACUUUGUUAUAUCUCAUUAUUGGGGUGGUUCAAGUGUAAAAUUUUAGAGUCUAAACGGUAUGGUCCUUUCUGAUUAAGUCAUAUAAGAGUUUAAAAUUUGUGCAAGGACUUGAGAAGAGCCCAUUAGUACUCCAAGGUGUAUUGAUUCUAGUGUAAACUUUGAUUCUGAUGAAAUUGUGUUUUUCAGCCUGUAGUAUUAAGUGUAUUCAGUCCUUUUCAUAAUUUAUGUUGCAGACGUCAUGCUUUAGGGGGAAUGAUGUGUAGUAGAAUGUUGAAACUAUAUUUUCAUCUGUGUAGUAGUAUAAGUUAAAGUUCCGGUGUCAUGACCUAUUGGUAGUGUGAUUGGACCAAGAAGUUGAUAAUGUGAAGUCACAAAGUUAGAAGUCAAAGUGAGGGUAACUUUUGUGUAAAUAAAUAUUUUAGUUGAAGAACCGAUGUUUGAGGUGAUUUACCCCUUUAUAGUGAUAGACUAAUGUGGUAGCUAGUAGCAUGUAUGGAUUGUAUUGUGGUUUUGGGGGGAGUGUUUGACUCAGAUUUUUAUGCAUACAGAGUAAGAUGUGUAUUCUUAUAUCAUUGAUUAUUAUGGGUCAAGUUUCUAUCUCUUGUAAUCUUGUUAUCAUUGUGUUGUUGAGACUAAAAGUCUAGUGAAGCCAUGUGGGGCUCUUUUGAUUCACCAGUAUAGUUGUCUUGUCAUUCAUCUCAUUUCUUGUUCAAAACACAAAAUCAAUGUCUAGUGAAGCCGUGUUAGGCCUAUUUUGAUUCACUAGCAAUUGUUGUUCGACUUGUUGUUCUUGUGCUAGUUGAAUAUAUGUAUGGACGAAUAUUUUUGCAUAUGAUUGAGUUUAUAAUAAAGUGAUACGUCCCUGUGUGUUAGUUUAGUAGAAGGUAAGGUAGAGAAGGAGUUAUUAGUUAAGGUGAAUUGUUGUUUACUUGAAGUAUGAAAAGAGUUAUUGAUGGUGUUUGUCAUGCAAGAAAAUUAUAGGUUAUUAAUAAAGGUACUUGGUGGAUGAGUAGUGUUAAUUUUAAUGCCCCUGAGGUUGCAAGAGGGAGUUUAGUUGGGACUUAUGGAGCCAUGAACUAAGUUUAGCUAUAUAAAAGGAGUAGAUAGUAAUGAUAUGUAGAAGGAAUAUGUGUCAAUGGAUUUUAAAUAAGAUAGAUCAUAGAAUUGUGAUUGAUCCUUACUGUUAUAAAGUUUUGUUGGAUUAAUGUUUCUAGAUGUUUUGGCAUGUAAGAAUAUUGUAUGAAGUGGUGGUUCAUCAUAGCUAGAACUAGACACUAAGUUAGAAUAGUAGAUUGUGAUCAAGGUGGAUAUGAUGAAUUGAUGUGGUGGGUGUUAGUUGUGUGGAAGUGAUCUAGUAGGCUUGAACAUUGUAUACAAGGGCUUAAGUUUAUUUGAUUUGUAAUCAAGUCUAAUAUUGUAAGUGUUAUGAAGAAGUAUGCCCAAGGUGCUAUGGGGCUGCAUUGUUUUCAAGGAUCAUUGCAUGUUGUGUGGUUAGUAGUACCGCUGAUUUUCUAGGUGGAGAAAUAAUAGUUAGAUAAUAUGCGAUGUUCUUAAUAGCUAAGUUAUGGAGUUAUGAUUAAUUAUGUUGAGCCUUUUUGCAUAAUCCUUAUUCUCAAGGUUUAGAAAUAUAAGUUUGGAGUCGUGAUGCUGGUAGACUAUGACAGAAGUGGUAUGGUCCGUCAAAGGUUUGGAGAUAUCCAUGAUUAAUGUUAGAAGAAUCCGAGUUGGUGAAUUUUUAAGAUGUUAUAUGAUGACUUUUGGGGCUAUAGAAACCUAGAGGGUUGAAUCUUAGAAGGAGGUAUUAGCGUUGGUUGCUAUACAUGAAGAUACCGUCUUACAGGGUAAGUUUACUUUUAUGUGUAUUGUUAUAUCUCUGACUCUAGAGUAAAGUGAUUUCAGUUUAUACCAGAGUGUAUAUAGUGGUCCACAGACUUAGAGUAAUGGCUUAAAUCUAAGGGGGAGAUGAGAGAACAAGCAACCAAGUCAAGUUUUCAGAUGCUAAUAGAUGUGCCAGUAAGUUGUGGAAUUGGCCAUGAGAAAGAACGAUGCUCAAUCUAUCAUUAUUUCAGCAGUUUACUUCAGUUAUUUCGAUACAUACUCAUGCUUUAUGUUUCAGCUUCAUGAUCAUAGUCUGUGUUCAUGCAUAUGAUAAGGAAUCAUGUACCCUCCUAGUUCCUAGUAUGAUGAGUUCCCAGUUUGUUCAGCAGUCAGAAUCACUUUUUGUAAGUUAUGAAUUCCAAAAAUCCAGGUCAUGCAGUUCAUGACUCUUGUGCACAUGUGAUACUCUUAACAAUUAGUGAAAAUUCAGAUUUUAUAUCAGGUACGUCCUCAGAUUAGAUCUCUUUAAUGAGUCCAUGCCGUGAGUGCUCUAUUUCUCACACCUUAGUAGGGUAUCAUGUUAUGCUUAGUACUCCCCUCAUGUUCCGGAUUUUGGUAUUCCAAUUUUUCAGUGACCUUUUCCCUUAGGUCGAGAUAGUGAUGAUGAAUAGUUGUCUAGAUGGGAAAUAGUAAACAUUUCUUGUUGAUGAAAGAUGGUUGUGUGCUUAUUUGAGUUAAGGUAGUAAUUGUGGAGUAAGAUUGAGACCAAGUCUUUGAUACAUGUCAAGGUAAGCCUGUCAAACGGGUCGUGCCGGCCCAUUUAAUGAAACCGGCCUGGCUUGACCUGACUCGGUAAGCCCAAGGUCUUUAGGGUACCGAGUCCCAGGCUAUUAUUUUUUUGUUUUGGGCUCGGUUAACCUGGCCCGGGUCCAACCCGGUUGGGGCAGAAGUCUAUAUGUGGGUAUGAAGAUAGGCUUGAAUAUCAUGUCUGUAUACAUGCGGAUGGAUUCUUUGAGUGUGUGUAAACGUCUAAUAUGAAGUUUAAGAUAAGUAUUGGAGUGGCAAAAAGAAUUAGGCAUGAGAUGAGGAUUUAUGAAAUGCAGGGUGUACUAAAUUUAUGAUUCAGACAAGUACUACAGUAUUAUGUGGUGCGUCUUGUGAUUUUGAGUUAGGCUUGAAGAUGUUGAGGGGAUUUAACUCAGUUAGACAUUGGUAGAUGGAAAUAACAACAGUCAUGUGAAAAAAAAAUAAGUGGAAUCAAUGAGCAUGGUGUUUAAGGGGAAAGUAUAGUUGAGAGAAUAUUUUAGAAGUGUGUCUAAUCUUAAAAGUAAGAAGUUGCAUUGCCUAAGGUUUGGUAAUUUUAUCAUAGUUUUUGAGUUAUAUGUCUAUAUUCCAUGCCAUAGACUAGUAUCAUUGUCGUAAUUCCUUAGUUGGAUGUUUUGUAUAACUCAUGUCAGAGAUUCUUUGCUCCCUAAUGCUACUAGGACUUCUUUAGAAAAAGUGUUGAAGAGAUACUCCAGUUAAGUAUAAGUGUCCAGUAUAAUUCAGUUUAACAGUCAGGCAGACAAGUUACUGUAGUUUUCCACCUUUUCACUCAGUCCUACUAUCCUAAGUCCAAUGUGUAUGACCAUCCCAAAAGAUGAUCUAUUAAUAUACUUUCUUAGAAGACACAUCAGGUCUGCGUUAUUCCAUACCUUAAGCUUCAACAUUCCUACCCAUCAUUUGGGGACGAAUGAUCUCAAGGGGGAGAUAAUGUAACACCCCGUAUUUCGGGCUAGAAUAAAAACCAUUAUUUCUAUGCGUAGAUGAUUCAAAAGUCAUAAAUCCUAUGCAAAUUUUCCAUGUUAAUCAAUUAUGUAGUGUGGGAAAUUGAAUGAUCUUUCCGUCGAUAUAAGAUUCGCCCAAAUCCGAUACCCGGGCAAGAUGUUAUGGCUAAUUUUAGUCCUAGUCAUAAAACACCGUCAUUUUGGUACUUGGCGCAUCGCGGAGGUGGUAUAUUUAACAAUUGCCAAAUUCCAGUAGCCUAGCAUGAUUGUGGCACGUCACGCUGAAGUUCCAGGUCCUAACCAGUGGGACUACGCGAUGGCUCCGCAUCGCGGUGACCCCAAGAAUCUCAUUCGUCAUUUUUCUGUGAGCCACCACGAUAGUGACAAGUCGCAGUGGCCCAUAAAAUCGGGCUCCUAGUUAUAUUUUAUUCUAUCUCAUUAAGGGUAUGUUGGAUAAUUUCCACCCCCUUAUCAGCUUAAACAUGGGAUUUUUCUCCCAAGUGACCACAUUAUUCAUAUUUUCUUCAAAAAUUUUCAAGAAACUCUCUCUAGGGUUUCAAACUAAAAACUCAAAUAUCCUAAGAUUUCACCGUGAGUUUUUAAUAAUUCUUUGAGAUUCGGAAUCCCCAUUGCGAGGGCUACAAGAAGCACCCAUCAAUUGUUUGAAUAGCGUCCCUAAAGCAUGAGUUCAUUCAAGAGUCAUAAAUUAAGGUAUGUGGGGUUUUUCCUAAAAUCUCAUGAGCAUAGAAAUCAUGAUUUUAAGAAUGGGGUUUUGGAUUUAUGAAUAUAAUCAUGUUUUAGAAGUUUUGAAGGUAUUGUUUUGGUCUUUAGACCUUCCCCCAAAUUGAUUGGAAAUUUUAUAUAUAUGUAAGCACGCGUUUUAAAGAUUGAUGAUUGAAUUGAGAGCAUGACUCAUGAAAAAUCCCUCUCUUGUUAUGAUUUUCCUUUACUCAUGAUAUACUAUGGAUUGUUUUGAAAUGCAUCUUGAAGAGCAUGAUACGAAGUGUCUUGAUUUAUACUAUGACUUGAAUAUGAUUUUAAAAUAAAAAGAGAGGGUUAUGCAUGUUUAUAAAUGUUGAAUAUACAUUUAAUGAAAGAGUGCAUGGUUUUUGCCAAAAGCACAUGACCACCAUAUGUUUGAAGAAUUCUUGCAUAGUUUUGACUUAUGUUUCGGAACAUGAAAUCAUCUCAUACUAUUGCAAAUGUUACGUAGUCUGAAUUGAGUUUUAAUGAAAGAAUUAUGCUUAAUGUAUUAUGGCACAGAAUUACGACUUGCAAGUCUUGGUAUGACGAUACUAAAAUAGACAAUGCCAUAACAGACUCAGACAAACAUAGAAAUCAGAUUUUCAUGACUUAAGAUUUCAGGAUGAUAUAUGUUUAAAAAUGGAUAAAAUUGGGCAUAAAGAGAUGUUAGAUGGUCCCUCGAAGAAGGCACGAGUUCAAACAACUCAUUGCCCAUAACCGUGAUUUGUCGAUUCGGGUAUAUUAUUUUAAGCUAGCCUAGUGCCCUGUGGCAUAUUAGACUCAAACACUCCAACCCUUGCAGCAUACUUGGGUUGGGGGCUUCCCCGCCGAGUCAAUGGUAGACUCCAUAUAGCCCGUGGGAUUUUAGAUUCGUAGGGGCAUACCACCUAACUCAGAAGUAAUACGAAGAUCAGAAAUUGCAUUGACAGAAAGGUUUUUAUGAUUAUCAAAACGAUGCUCAUGUGUUUUGAAAACUAUUUUAUGUAUGAUGUUUGGACAAAUUGCUCUCCAUUAUUUUAUUUAUUUAAAAGAUUUAUUUUGGAUUACUUUGCAUACCAGUACAUUUGUGUUGUCCCCCCUUCCUCCCGAGGUCUAAAGCUUAGUAUAGAGGUCCUGCUAGGCAGUAGAGUUUUCAGACAACAGUGAUGUGUGCAGUUGGUGAGCCUUCGUUAUUCCAGAAGGCCUAUGUCUUUUAGAUUAUGUUAUUUAUUUUGAUUUAGGUUUAUUGGGGCCUUGUCCCAGUUUCAGACAGUUGUUCUUUUCAGAUGUAGUAGAGAUUUCGCAGACUGGUUCAGAUGUUGUGUGGUUGAUAUUGGAUUUCAAUUUUCAUAGUUUAAUUGAACUCAGAGUAUGACCAUGUUUCUGUAAUGAUUUAAAAUUCUGCAUCUUCUAUUAUAACUUAUGAAUAUUGUGCAUGAUUACCAUAGAGAGAGAGAGAAGGGUGUCCAGGCCUUCAUAGUUCAAGAUGCUCGUCACGGCUAGGGCCCUGGUUCGGGUCAUGACAAUGAAAGAUAUUGAACAGAUAUUAUAUAUAAUGUACUAGAUUGGACAUCUGUUGCGACAAAUAACCCGUCCUGUGCCAACUAGUGCAACAGAUGGGUAAUUUAUUGUGACAAAUGAUUAAUAUCUUCCAUCAAAUUACCCAUCUGUUGUUUUGGUUCUCUGAACCCGACUCUUAACAGAUUAACCAUCUACUGCAAAUUAUACAACAGAUGGGUAAUCUGAUGUAACAUAUUGUAAUCUAUUGUGACAUACAGAUCAUCUGUUGCAUAAGUUAUCUGUGUUAACAUGUAACCUAAUUGAGGCAAAUAGCAUUCUUGGAGUCAUAAACGUAGACGGUGUACAUUAUCGAGCUGUUGAGAGACUUCUUGAGGAGGAAAAGAUCAAGGUUUAUGACUGCAACUUACAUGUCUUGGACGAGGUUAAUUGUUUUACCUACAUGUAACCACUGUUGGAUUUGUUCCCCAUUUGGAAAGCCAGAAUUGGCCAAUGCUAAUCACGGAGGUACAACAAAAUAGAAAAGGAUACCUCAUUUGUUCUAGCAAAUCAAACAGGUCUUCCUCUUAUUUUAAAUUAUCCCAAACAGAUUGUAUUUCUGUUGCAAUAGAUGAAUCAACUGUUAGGACAAAUUUCUACAUGAGGAAGACCUGUAUGAUAAUUUCCACUGGAUGAACAGUCUGUUGUAAUAUAUGACUCAUCUAUUGCAGAAGAUAGGUCAUCUGUUGGUACAAAUAAAAGCGGUACGAAGAGAUGUUUGAUUUGCUAAAAAUAGAUGAGACAUAUGUCGCAACAAAUACUUUAUCUAAUGAAACAAGUUAGUCAACUGUUGCAAUAGAUGUAUCUAUUUGUUUGAUAAUUUUCAGCAGAUGUGUCAUCUGUUGAAAUAGAUAUGUGUCUAUUUGUUAGUUAGAACAGACAUAUGUAUUCACCUUCUUCAGCUCAUGCUUCUCUCCUUUGGAUAUUGUACAUUGCUUAAUGCAACACACGGACAGAAGAGUUACAAUUUUGCUUUUUCGAAUGCUUGAUAAUGCCUUAGAAAUUAUUUUUCUUCUCCUCUUAGCCUUAAUCUCUAAUGAAGUGGAUGGAUAUAAAAUUCUCUUUGAUGGAAUAACACCCCUCUGAGAUGUCAAUUCCUUUACAGAAGUAGUUAAUGUAUUAAUAGCAUUAAUCACUACAUCAUGUUUCACUUUGCAGUCUUGACAUUUGCAUGCAGAACAUUCACUGGGAAAGACAAAAUCUAUAUAACUAGUAUGAUCAUACUCAUAAUGGUUUAUUUUAAAUACUGUAAGAGGAGCAUCAUUAGCACCAACAAUAGCACCACUACCACCAACAAAAACUCCAUCACCACUAAGACCAUAAAAAACAACAAGUCCACCCUCCAAAAUUAUUUUUCUUGUAAUGGUUGUUGCUCCAAAUAAUUUCAUUUUAUUCUGUCAAUGACCUUAGGAUCCGAUAAAGUUUGCACAGACCAUAAAGUAACAAAAAAUGGCAUCUUCAACUCUCGAUUGGUCGGAACUAGUGACGGAUACACAAUCUAACAUAAAUCAUUACAUAUAUUAGAAUGAUGAUUAGAUCAUUCAAAAAAAUCGUUAAUUAAAAUUAAAAAAAACUUAAUUAUAAUUAUACUUACUGCAUCUUUUGAGGAGUUGAAGAGAUCAAUAAAUUAUAUAUUUUUAUCAAUUUUGGCCGACAACCAUCUCAAGAUUCUUGGACAGAAAACUUCUUCCUAGCAGGUCACUUGUUGUCUCAAAUAAGGAAUGGCUUCAAACACCCAAGCCUAUAAAAUAACGCCAAUAAAUCAAAACCAUUAUUGAGUAAAAAAAAAUGAAUGAUAUCAUAAUAAAAGAAAAAAAAAAUUACCAUGAAAGCCUAUGGAAAGCCAUAUAAGUUGACUGUCUUUGACGAGAACGGAGUCAACAAAUAUUUGACAGUCAUUUUGAAGCUUUCAUAACCCCAAGAAUAGUUGUUAAAUACCUUAAGAUCCUCGGAGAGCUUUAUUAAACCAACACUUAUGUUGUUAAUAUCUCUUGCACAAAGAAUAUUAUGUACAAACCAAACCAAGCACUAUAACUACUUGUGCUUCUUUGAAAUUCUUUUACCUUUCAACUUUUCUAUCAAAUUUUUAUUUUUGGAGCUUGGACCAACAAUGGACACCAGGUCAUCAUGAUCACACGACUUACCUUUACCUUUUUUGGGUGUACGGGGUGUUUUUUUUUGGGGUUAGAAUAGGUAUAACAUGAAAAGGAGGAUAACAUUUUAUUUCAGUAAUUAUGGCAAGCUCCUUCCAACCAAAACAAACAGGCAUGCCAAAGUAAUUUAUCCACACCUCAUCCAUCUUAUCUUUAUUUUCAUACAUUAACCUAUUCUUGAGAAGUUCAUAUACCAUUUUCAUUUGGAAUAUUUCCCAAAGAAGCUGUCCCUGAAAUAAGCAUCCAAUUUUUAUUCUCAAAAUAUUUUUCUGAAGGCAUCAAAAGAUUUUCCCAUGGCUGACUUAACUACGAAAUCAUCCGUUAAAUCUGUGGCACCAUCACACUGUAUUCUCACAGGAUAAUAAUCAAUGCUGAAGGUUUGACCAACUCUUUGGUGGAAGGGCUAUUAACAUUUGGAUCAUCUCUUUUGAAACAUUCUUCCUCCCCGUGUUUAUCAUAUUCUACUCCUGAUUGAGAUAAUAAGCUCAUAGAGUGGUGGAUGUACCCUAGAUGCUUCACUUGUUCCUUUACUUGGACUUGAUUCGGUUUUUAUUCUUCCAUAUUAUCUAAAAUUAACAGGAACAUAAAAAAAAUAUUAUAGUUGAUUAAUGCAUCAUUAAAAAGGGAUAACAGUAAAUCUAACAUGCAAAAUAGUAAAAUAACAGGUGUAAUAAAUCACACAUCUAUUGCACCAGGUAGGUUAUCUGUUGCACCAAAUAACUAACCUAUUGAAAUAGAUGAGUAAUCUAUUAUAACAAUACAAAAUAUAUCACUCAUCUUUUAAGAUAGAUGAAUGGUCUGUACAACAGAUCACAUAUCUGCUACAAUAUAUGAGUGAUCUAUUGGAACAGUAAAUAACCUAUUGCAAUAAAUGAGUAAUCUAUUGAAAUAAUACAAAAUAUAUCACUCAUCUUUUAAGACAGAUGAUUAGUCUAUACAAUAGAUCACACAUUUAUUGCAAUAUUUAAGUGACGUGUUGGAACAGUUAAAUAACCUGUUGCAACGGAUGAGUAAUCUGUUGCAAUAAUACAAAACAUAUCACUCAUCUAUUGAGAAAGCUAAAUGGUCUAUGCAACAGAUCACACAUUUAUUGCAGCGUAUGAGUGAUCUGUUGAAACAGUUAAAUAACCUGUAGCAACUGCUGAGUAAUUUGUUGCGACAAUACAAAAUAUACCACUCAUCUAUUGAGAAAGAUGAAUGGUUCGUGCAACAGAUCACAUAUCUGUUGCAACAUAUGAGUGAUCUAUUGGAAUAGUUAACUAACCUAUAGCAACGGUUGAGUAGUCUAUUGCGACAAUACAAAAUAUAUCACUCAUCUGUUGAGAAAGAUGAAUGGUCUGUGCAAUAGGUCACACAUAUGCUGUGAUAUAUGAGUGAUCUGUUGGAACAGUUAUCAACGAUCAAUAUUGUAUAUAUUUUUUCCAACAAAAGGGUCAUCUGUCGUGAUAGAUGAAUGAUUAGUUGAAAAAAUUAAGUCUUGGACAUGUCAUGUUAAAAGAGUUAAUAGGAUUUUAUCUAAUAGAAGGUUCAUCUGUUGUAUCAAAUCUUUAAUUCGAUGGUUUCUCUAUUGCAUCAUAUGGUUAAUCUGUUGUAUCAGAUUUUUAAUCCGAUGGUUCCUCUGUUGCAUUGGAUAGUAUAUUUGUUGAAUCAUAUAAUUAAUCUAUUGCAAUAUAUGGUUAAUCUAUUGCAUCAGAUGAUUAAAUUAUUGUAUCAGAUGGUUAAACUGUUGCAUCAUAUGCUAAGUCUGUGGCAUCAGAUUUUUUUAUCCGAUGGUUCCUCUGUUGCAUCAGAUGAUUAAUAUGUUGCAUUAGAUGGUUAAUCUAUUGCACCAGAUAGUUAAUCUAUUGCAUUAAAAUUUUAAUUUGAUGAUUUUUCUAUUACAUCAGAUGGCUGAUCUGUUGCAUCAUAUGCUAAAUCUGUUGCAUCAGAUAGUUAAUAUAUUGCACUAGAUGGAUAAUCUAUUAGAGCAAAAAAUAAUAGCAUGAUUUUGUUCAAUAGAACAACAACAAUAUCACUAUUUUACCAAGAACAAGAAUAAAUCAACCCAACAACGGGCGCAACAAAUUAAACUUCGAAAUGAAACAACAAAAGAGAAGAAAAGAAAAGAAAUACCAAAACUUAGAAUUUUAUUCAAACUGCAUUUCAAAUUAAAGUAACAAUUAUUGAAAUUGUUAACCAAUACUAUAAGAGAAGUUGGCUCAAGUUCCUCGUUUUCUUCAAAACUAAAAAGGCCAUAAUUUUUUACCUGUGAAAGAAGAAAAGGAACGAUGAAGAAUUCAAAGCUGUUGUGGUCAGAGAGAAAGGUUGUCACGUCGAUUGACGGUUGAAGUUGAAAAGGAACUCGAAGCCCAACUAUUUAUCGUUAGAGGUUGAAGUCGCCGGGGAUUGAAAGGAGAAAUUUGCAGAACUGUUGGUUGAGAGAAGCUGUUGAGAGAGAUGAGAGAGACGGUCGAUGAUUUGGAUUAAAGAGGGGUAUGGGUUGGGUUGAUUUGUGCUUCUACAAAGAUUAGAAAGUUUUGAAAAUAUUAAUCAAGUUCACAAUUAACUUAAUCAAGUUUUCUAAUUAUGUUUGACUCUUUAAGUUAGUCAAUGUCACCAAUCCUUCAUUCAAGACUUAAAAGACACCUUUCAAUCAAUUUUCUCUAAUCAAAUGAGUAUAUAGAAUAUAUAUGUUCAUACAACUAUAUACAAUUAAGGAUAUGUGUAUACAAAACAGACACACAUACACACUUAUAUAAACAUACGCAUCGAUAGAAAUAUACAAUCAAAUUCACUUUAUGACUAAAAAGAAUUCAUAGAUACCAAUAUAUAUUUACUCAAAUCUUUCAGAUAAACAUGAAUUGCUAGAAUUUAGAUUAUAUGUAUAAAUAUACAAAUUCAAAUGUAUAAAUAUAUACAUAUUCAAGAUAUAUAAAUUCAUUCAAAAUAAUAUCUAUUGAAGGAUGAAGAAAAUAAAAUAAAAUACAUACAAAAAUACAAAUGCACUAGUAGAAAUAUACAAACAAAAUUAGUUUAUGAUUAAAAAAAUUCAGAGAUAAAAAUAUACAUUUAUAUAAAUGUAUUUCAUCUAUAUAAAUGACUAGAACGAAGAAGAGAUGAAUCUGCCGUUGUGGAAUUUCACCAGCGACGAGGAUGAGGAAGAGGGGGAUAUGUCUUCAUGAAUUUUCAACGAAGAAGGAGGCAGUGAGGAAGAUAGGUGAGGGUCGCCAGAAAAUACAACGAGAAUGAAGAAGAGAUGAAUCUUUCUUUCUAGAAUUUUCUUGUGUUGACUCUUCUACUUCCUGUCCAAAAUUAUUGUGUAAAUUCUUAUUAAAGAGACUUUGCACCUGUGCACUCAUAUAAAUUGGGUUUCUCCUUCUCCCUUAUUUUCUUUCAUCUUUGAAAUGGCCUUCAAUUCGCUUGUGAUCGCUAAUGAAUUAUGAAAGUGUGUCACUUCUCCCUCAGAUUUCACCAGAGAAAGAGGUUUUUUACCUUUGGCUUUGGGCGAUGUGAAAAAAAAAGGAAAACGAGGAUUGCCCCCAUGAAAUUUUGUUGGAGAAAGAGGUGGUGAGUAAUAGGGGUGGGAGUGAGAGAAAAAACUAGGCAAUUAGGUGAGAGAGUAUCUUUGCCUAAUUUAAAAUAAAUUGAUAUAUACGCCACUCCAUUUAUAUACGAGGGUUCACAUACAUAACAGCUACUCUAACUACCUUUAAUCAUGUAAAGUAAUUAUUUUAAAUAUUAACUAUGCCAGAUAAUUAUGAAGUUAUUUUAUCUAUACUAUGUAAUUUUUUAUUAGAGAUAAACAUCUAGUAUCUCUUCGAACUAUGGUCAAAGUUGCUAUGACACACUCUAACUUCACAGGAGUCCUAUUAUUCCUCCUCCCUCCCCUCCCCCCUUCCCGAACUCAAUUUUUAUAUAUUUUUAUCACCUUUUUGUGAUGACAAAGCACCUUUAUUACAUAGAAUAAGACCCAUAUCAAAGGUAUCACAUCAGCUAAAAAAGGUUGACAAAAGGUGUCACGUUAGCUAAUAGGGAUGACAAAAAUAUGCUAAAAUUUAGUUCAUAGUGGUAAUAGGACCACAACAAACUUGGUCAAAGUUCAAGUACUGAAUGUUUUACUCGUUUAUUAAAUAAAAUAGGAUGAGUUAAUAAAUGAAUUGGCCUAAAAUCAACCCAAAAACUAUAUGGGCUAAAAUGGGUUUGACUGAAAUUGACUCCAUAUUUCACUCCCGCCGUCAAUUUCAACAACAAGAAUAAGAAGAAUAAUUUCGGUAGAGCUCCUCAAGGUUUUUGUAGAGCUCCCAUAGAUUACGCAAGAAUUUGAAAAUACAGCAAAGGAUUUUUGACAAACUAGAGAAAAUCACGAUCUUUCACACCAUCAUCCAUUCCAAUAACAAGAAUAAGUUGAAUAAGAAAAAACCAAGUGAGAAAUAGGGAUAUAAAAGUGUAAAAGAGGCAGUCCACAUAGAGACAACAAAAGCAAGUUGUCAAUUAAGUGAAUAUCUUUUAUAUGUAUGUAUGUAUGUAUGUAUGUGUGUGUGUGUGUGUAUGUAUGAGAGAAGAGCGGUUAUGCAAGAAUUUGAAAUUACAGCAAAGGAAUUUUGCCAAAUUAGAGAAAAUUCGAAGAGAUUGUGAGGUAGAUGGGAGCAUUUGACAGAUGUUUAAUGUGUAGAAGAAGGGGUGAGUUUAAUUAUGCGUGAUUUGGUGAUUAAAAAGUGAUGUGACAAAUAUAAUUUUUUACAAAAAAAAAAAAGAAAAAGGAGGAUUGAAAAAUUCCAGCAAAGCAAUUAACGGUAACACCGGUAUAUAUAGAUCAAAACUUGGGAACAGGGGUAUAUAUGGAAAAAACUUGAAUGGCAAGGGCAUUGGCGAGCUAAACUUGAAAAGGAGGGUAUAUAUAGAUAUUUUCACAAAAUUUAUGGGUAUAUUUAACCCUUUUUUCCUUUAAAUUUUAAUAAUAAAACCGUCUUUAAAUUGAUUUUGAUGAUUGGAUCUCUCUAUGAAUGAAAAAGAGGUGCUUCGGAUCGGAAGUAACUACUAGUGAUUGGGUAAAAAUAAGGGAAAGAAUAAAGAAAAGAACGAUAUCGACGUUAAAUCAUUAAUUAGUUAUUGUAGAGAGAAAAUCAGCACACAGACCGUACUCGAGUUUUGAAUCAAUCUCCCAGAAGCAAGGAGUAUGUCCGCGUGUUCCAACGAGAACAACAAAAAAACGUAACUUAAUUCAGCUCCAUGUAACUCGAAAGUGAAACUUCCAUGUGGAAUUCGAGUUAAUGGGAUCUAAAAGCAGAUACUAAUUAUUCGAGUGAAAGAAAAAACCGUCUAAAGGUAAUUAAGAAAUUAAAAUCUCACAAAUUCUAUUUACCUUUCAAAACCUUGAUGAUCUGUAUGUAUAGCAAUAAAUUAUUGAUUUAUCUACAGAGUUUAAAAAGAAUUCACAUCAUCAGUUACUAUUUGAUUUAGUAAUCUCUCAAUUAUUAUAAAUAGUUAUCAGUGAUUAUCUUCGUAAGUGAUAAUAGUAUAAAAAUCGUUUCACACAAUUAAGAUACAGAAAUUAAAGUACAUUUUCUAAAUAGUAACUUAAGUUUUAGGAAUUUCUUUCAAUUAUCGUUUAUGUUUAAUUUAGUGCCACAAUAUCACUCAACUAUCACUCUUUUUUCAAAAUAUACUAAACACCUUAAAAGUAUUCUUCUCUUUCAGUUGGCAUGUCAUGUCAUUAAAAUCACAUUUUUUUAAAAUAAUAAACCAUUUAAUUCAACAAACUCAUUUAACCAAAAUUAUAACUUUAUUUUUAUUUUUUUGAAAAAAAUGUGUUAUUGUAAUUUUCAUGCUUAGAAAUUCUUUACCAUACUUAAUCUUCACCAUAUUAUUUUACAUGCAAAUUAAAUUCUCUAGAUAACUUAUUUAAUUUAGUGAUAUUAUUUUCUUUAGAAAACAACUGAUCUUUAUAGGCAAUUAUAUAUAAAAACCUAAAUGACCAUCUAGGAAAAUAACUCUAGAAAAAAAAAUAUAAAUACCUAAGUGUGAGAAUUUCUUAUUAAUAUUUUUUUUUAAAAAAAAAAAUAAGAUUAUAAUUUUAGUUAAAUAAGUUUAACAAGUUAAUAUGUUUAUUAUUAUUUUAAAAACGGUGAUUUACUGCUAUGACAUGCUAAUAGAAGAGGAGGAACUAGACUUUUGAGGUAUUUAGUGAUUUUUUGAGAAAAAUAUUUUUAACUGGGUGAUAUUAUUGUCUUAGCAAAACAAAAAGUAAUUUUUAUAAGCGACUCCAAAAACAUGGAUAACAAUCCAAGAAAAUAACUUUAGAAGAAAUAGAAAGUUUAAGUAAUGAUAAAAGAUUUAUAAGCAUGAAAAUUUCUUCUUAAUAAAUUAAUAGAUUUUUGUUAAAGAAAAGAAUAAAAUUAUAAUUUUGACUAGGAAGAAAAUUAAUUUAUUAAUUUCUAAGCAUGAAAAUUUCUUCUUAAUAAAUUAAAUAGGUCUAUUAUUACAAAAAUAAUUUAAUGAUGUGGCAUACCAAUUAGAAGAAAAAGAACUUAUGAGAUAUUUAGUUUUUUUUCUUGCGAAUAUAGUGAUUGUUCAGUCAUAUUAUUAUCUCUAAAAUAAAUAAAAGUAAUUUUUAUAGGCAACUCAAAAAAUAGUGAUUAUUUAGAAAAAUAAUCCUUAAAAUAUAUAUAUAUAUAUCAAAUUUUAGUAUCAAUAAAGUUUUUCAAGUAUAAUUAGUUUUUAAUAAACUAAUAUAUAUUUUUUUAAAAAAAGAAUAUAAUUGUAUUUUGCUUAAAUGAGUUUGGUGAGAUAAAUAGGUUUAGUAUUUUUUUAAAAAGAGAUUUUAAUGACAUAAUAUGCCAAUUAAGAGAGAAGAAGAUUUUUGAGGGAUUUAGUAUUUUUUGGGGAGAAAAAGAAUAGUUGAGUGAUGUUAUAAUCCUAAAUGAUACACAAGUGAUAAUAUUUGUUGAAAAUAUUCAAAACUUAGGUCACUAUUUAGGAAUUACUCGAGAAAUUAUUGUUGAUCAAUAGUUGUAUGACUAGCAAAGUGCCACCUUUGAACCAAAAAAGAGUGCCACCUCUUCCCAUCAUUAUUUAAGUAAUUGGACUAGGUUCACUAUUAAUGAAUAUAUCAUCUUAUAAAUAGAGGACUAGGAUAUACAACAUUCACAAAAUCAUAAUUGAAUCAAACAUAGCACAACACUUUUAUCUCAAUUGAGUACAUCUCGUUUCAUAGUCAUAAUAAUCACUAUGGCUGAGGAGGAGAAACACCACCACCACCUUUUCCACCACAAAGACAAGGGAGAAGAGGGCCCAGUCGACUACGAAAAGGAAAUCAAACACCAUAAGCAUCUUGAACAAAUUGGUAAACUUGGCACUGCUGCUGCCGGUGCCUACGCCUUGGUAUGUAAAUAUCAUUUUCUUCUAUUCCAAUUAUAGUCAUAUAUAUAACCCAUCAUAAAAGAUCUCAUUCCUCUAAAGUUUUUCUAUCGUGAACCUAUAAAGAUAGGUCACAAUCAUGUUAUGAUCUAAAAAACAAGAAUUGUACGUCAAUAAAACUAAAGUAUUUGCUUAUCAUCGCUUGAUGUCUGAAUUCACUUUACACCGGUUUUUGUGAUCUGUUUAAUUUGGAUUUGUGUUUGGAAAGUUACUUUGAUAGCUAAAUUGAGAAUUAAAGUCAUAAUAUUUACAUUUAGUAGCUGUUCAAGAUUAGCAUCAACUUUUACCGCUAACUAUAAAUGAUCUCACUGAGAGUAAAAUAAGAAGUUUAAGUAAAAUUAUUACAAAAUAUAAAACGUGUCAUUAUUUUUUCCGACGGACUAAAAACAGAGAAUAAUGUCACAUAAUUAACCGGAACAAAGAGACUAAUUAAUCUUUGAAAAUUGUCUGUACAUCAAUACUUAUUGAUCAUCUUUCACUAUCUUUUCUUGUCAUAUAGCAUGAGAAACAUGAUGCUAAGAAGGAUCCAGAGCAUGCACACAAACACAAGAUAGAGGAAGAGAUUGCAGCUGCUGCUGCUGUUGGUGCUGGAGGAUUUGCAUUGCAUGAGCACCAUGACAAGAAGGAUGCAAAGAAAGAGGAAAAAGAAGCUGAAGGGGGACACCACCACCACCACUUCUAAAUUCCUAUAUUUUAAUUAGAUUUUUAAUAUUUGUUGAAUUUCCUACUGUAAUGCUCUCUGUAGUAGAUGCAUGUGUGAUGUUUCCUAAAUAAUCAUGUGUGUGUUUUUCGACUUACGUACCUCGUAAUUUUCUGUUAGAACUACCUUGUAUAUUUGUGGUAUAAUAAAUGACAGUUUAUGUGCACUUGUUUAUUGUGUAACGAGUAUAAUGCAAAAACUUUUAAGGGAAAAAUAUGCGAAAAAUACCUGUACUUAGGUGAAAUUAGCAGUUACGCACCCUGAAUUUUACGGGAGUCCUAUGAACCCCCUAGACUAUUUUUUAUCGUAUUUAAUUAGCAUAUAUUUGUCUCUUAUCAAAUAUUUUUUUUCACGCGCUCAAGUGCUUGAAAUACACACAGUGGUUCAAGUGUCAAAUAUAUGUCAGUUAAUAUAUGUCAGUUAAAUACGGUAAAAAAUAGUUUACGGGGUCGUAGGAUACACUCAGAGUUUAGGAUGCGUAACUACAAAUUUCGCCAAAGUAUAAAUAUUUUUCACAUUUUUUCCAACUUUUAAAUAUAUGAAACUGUCAUACUAUCGAUAAAUUCUUGUUAAAAAUAAAUAUUUUUCGCAUUUUUUCCAACUUUUAAAUAUAUGAAACUGUCAUACUAUCGUUAAAUUCUUGUUGUACAUUGACCGCCUUAUUUUCCUGUUCAGGUGAUUAUUUUAAUUAUUAGUUUUUAAUUAAUUUCACUUAUUAUGACAUAUACUUGUAAUUAUUUCAUAAAUGAUUUAUUAGUGUAAUUUCGGUUUACUCAUCAAUAAAGAAGUUAAAUUGGGCCAACUUAGUUACGAAAAAACUAUCCUGAGAUUUCGAUGACGUGAAUAUGUUAUGAGGAUUAAAUAAUAAUGAAAUUAUGUAAUGAAUACACUUUUAACUAGGAUGCUUUGGUGGUGGUGGUGCUACCAAAAAAAGGGAUGCUUUAGUGGGGGAUAAUUAAGCUGGCCUUGUCUUUGUUAAAAUUAUUUGGGAUAAAAACUUUUGAGAAAAGCAAAUGUGUCAUUUUGUUGUUUUUAUCUGGAGAUUAGUAAUAUCAAAAAGACAUUUUCCAAAAAUAUUUAACCUAACCAAGUAUGAAAAUUUAAAAACACAUUUUCUAGAAAACAUUUUUCCUUUUUACCAAAUGACUCGCACUAAGUUCCGUCUUGUGCAAUUCUUUUUAUACUUGCGCGUGGCUCGUACGUAUAACGUUUGAUUAUUUAAAAUGAAAUAAUUCUAUUCAUUGUGAAAAUUUUGUAUAACGUUUUUCUAUUUAUUCUUAAUUUUUAAAUCUUCUUAAAAUCAAAUUUAGUUGAUUUAGAAUUCUUAAACUAAUGGAAAAAGAAUUAGUUGUCAUUAGCUUUGAUGACUUCUAAUAAAAAAAGGUUUUACCAUAAAUAUAUUUAAUUAAUUUUUAACUCUUAUAUAUUAGGAAAAAUAGUGAAAUGACGAUUUUAUUUAAAAUAAAAACUUUUAAUGGAGGGCAAAAAGUUCAAACACUAUUUCUAAGUCCGUUAACACUUUUAAUAUAUUAUAGAUAUAAAUAUAGAUUAUAGAAAAUGAAAUGAUUUUAUCCAUUGCGGAGAUUUUAUUUAACGUUUUUAUAUUUAUUAUUUAAUUUUUUAAAUCCUCUUAAAAUCAAAUUUAGUUGAUUUAGAAUUCUUAAACUAAUGAAAAAAGAAUUAAUUGUCAUUAAUUCUGAUGACUUCUAAUAAGGAAAAUGUUUUAUCGUAAAUAUAUUUAAUUAAUUUUUAACUCUUAUAUAAUAGGAAAAAAUAUUUAAAAGACGAUUUUAUCUAAAACAAAAAAUUUUAGUGAAGGGCAAAAAGUUCAAACAAUAUUUCUAAGGCCCUUCACACUUCUAAUAUGUUAUAAUAUAAUGUAAUAUGUUAUAGAUUAUAGAUUAUAGAUAUAGAUUAGAGAUUAGAGAUUAUUACCACAAAAAAAAAAAGAUUAGAGAUUAUAAAUUAUAGAUUAUCCCAAGUUAUUUAAUACAAAACUUGAACUGGUAAAAGAUAUAUUUUAAAUGAUACACGUAUUUUUACAAAAUAGAAAUCAAAACAAUAUAAAAAAGUAACAACUCUUAAUUUAAGUUAAAUAUUCUUGUAAAUUUAAUGCUAUUUUAGUUAUAUAUAAUUGUAAUCUAAUUUAAGGACAAAUAAUAAAUUAGUUAUCUUGUAAAAUCAGGUAUUAUUCAUGAAAAAUAAAUAUUAAAUUGAUAAAAUAGGUUUAUUCGUAUCUGAUAUUUAUACAAAAAUUGCUUAAAGUUUGAUUGAAUAUUCAUCUAUCACGUGUAUUAAGCAGCAUAAAAAAUAGCAAAUCUACAACAAACAAUAUAGUAAUCUCAAAAGAAAAAAGAAAAGCAAAAUCAAUAAGCAAAAGAACAAGAAAAUAAGAUUUAGUAUAAUGUUCGUCCAUAAAAUAUGAUGUAUAAAUGCAUAAGUAUCCAAGUAAAAAAAAAGCAUGAAUUAAAGUUAGUUUACCUCAAAAACAAAAACUAGAAAAGACAUCUCCUCAAGCCAAAACAGAAGUGAGAAUGCAAUGAUUAAUAUUAUAUUGAUGUUAUAAAUGGAGAAAAUAAUGGAAGAGUCAAAAACUUAAUAGGAGUCUUUUUCUAUUUAGGGAGAAGCAGCUUUAAAUUCGGCGUGAGAGACAGGCUCAUUCAGGGAAUCUUCCUGAACAUACGGAGGUGCGGGCUGAUUCCCAUUUCUCCUUUUGUUGUUCUUUAUUGGAGGCAUUUUUGUACACUAAAGGAUAGAUAAGUUAGGAAGAAAGUUUAAAUAGAGCUCAUACUCUAUCGCACGACAUGAAUACUGAACGAAGGAAAACUUUUCUUAAAAUACCUCGUAGCCUCUUGUCCAUAAGUAUGGCGCGUUUCACACCCAUGCAUAAGACUCUACUUGACACGUUCCUAGGACACUUUCAGACCUUAGGCUCUAUUACCAAGUUUAUAAUGCCCCAAGAUUACACCCUGGGUGCAACACAGUGCUUACAGUCCCGAGAGACCACAAGCUAACCCAUGAGCUAGUACCUUCUAUGAACACUGAACAAAACUGAUAACAAGAGUACAUGUGUGGAAUUUAACUUAAACACCAUAAGGUUUUAAAAACUAUAAUCAAUACUGAAUUGAGAAGUUAACAUUUGAAAACAUACUAAAAAGCUAACUAACUAUCUGUUCUAGUCUGAAAGCCUCUAACUGAAUAACCGAGGAGUUGAUGGGACAAGCCCCCAACUAACCCCGACUGUUUGCUAAAACUAAGAAAAACUGAAAUAACAUAACUGGUCCUCGAAACAUGAGGACUCACCACAGCUGGUGCUACUGGUGCGCUAGGAUAUCUAGGUACGAUUGGGAACCUAAGCAUCCGAACCUAUGAUAUGAAACAUUAUAACACAAGAAACGGGUUUGCCAUCAGUACUUUGUAUGUACUGGUAUGCUAAAUGAGGUAAAGCUGAGAUGUAUGGGUUUAUAUGCAUGAAUGAUAACCAACUGAAUAAAUAGCAUGGGAUAACUGAACAUGAAGUAAUAACUAGCUAAACGAUUUGAAGUAACUUAGUAAACAUGCAUGGAAUAGAGAUGGUCUAGUUGGCAUGAGGAUACUUAAUAUAAAUGCGUAAAAGCUGCAAAAUCUAAGAAUGCAUGAACAAGCAUAUAAUAUGUUUCAGAUAUAAUCUGUAACUGAAAUGCUAAAAUUUGAUAACUGAAUAACUGAUAAACUAUAUGCUAUGAUCAGGCAAACCUAAACUGAUUUCUGAACUGAAUACUAAAACUGAAACUAUGGGAGGUAUCAUUUAACCGACAUUCCCCACUCUGAGUUGAUUGGGGUCCAACCUGUAACCCCAGUUGGAAGGGCGCUAGUACCAUACCACGAGUACUAAUAAUGGUUGUGGAGUCAUUCCUAAUCUAGCGAGUGACCCCUAAGAUCAGUCCUAAGUUAGCGGGUGAUCCUUGAGAGUGUCAGUCCUAAAAUGGCGGGUGACAUCUCAUAACCUAGACUGGCUAUGUAGUUCUGGAACUUAGGGAUUUCUUCUAAGGAUUCAGUCCUAACUGGAGGGUGAGCCCCCAUCCCUAGGCUCACUCGGUGCUAAAUCCUACUCUUAUCUGAACUGACACUGAUUACUUGACUGAUCUAGGCUUAACUGUAGAGGGAAUUAACUUAGAUUACUAAACUGAUCUAAGUUUGACUGAUAUGAUAACGGACUAAACUGAUAAUGCUCAUACAUUUUUGAAACUAUUCUAAAACCACUGAGAUUAAGUAAACAACUAAAUUUUGGGUAUUCAUAACCCCCAGGACUCGAUAGCAAUAACAACAACAGGGACACAUGAAAGCUUUGAGACCAUGGAAGGAGAUCAUUGUUCACAAUUAUUCACUAAAGCAUUUCAUCAAAUACAUGGAGUUCAAGACUUUAACAUGAGGAUACUUCUAGACAUAAUGAGAUAGCACGAUCACAUGACAAAAUCAUAAAAAUGAGGAUUUAUUCCGAAUUCUCAUGAACAUGAUAUGGAACCCAUAAUAUUUAAAACAUACUAUAAUGCAUUCCACUUGAAAACAAAUUCCAAAAUCUUAACUUAUAAACAUGUAAUAAGUAGUCAUUGUUCAAAACCGAAUCAUUUAGGCAUUUUAUCAAACACUUGAUAUGCAAAGUGUAAGCUACGCAUAGGAAUAGUUUUAAGCUUGUAGUAAUAGCAUGAUUUCACUUCUAAGAUCACUAAUUUGGGUUUAAAUUCAAAAAACAACAUCAUUCAACCAUGUAAGGUUUAAUAUCACCAACAAUUUCAUGGAAACAUGAUAAAAAUUUGAAAUUGAUGUAAGUUCAUGGACAUAAUUCAUAAAAUAUGUAUUUAGGGUUGUUUUCAAUGAAAAAUAGAUUGUAAGCAUCAUGUAUAAUCAAAAUUCAUAAAAGCUUCAUGGAGAGAAAUCAUUAUAAACAUGUAAUUUCAUGAUUUUAAACAUAAAAGAUGGAUUCUUGGACUCCACGAGUGAAGACGGCCCAUGGAUGAACAUCUAACAUACCUUAGGGUUUUAAUCUUGUAAAAAAAUUGUAGUUCUUGAUCGUUCUUAGGUGAAGAAUAUUGAAUCCUUAAACUUUCUUGAGGAAUUAAUGGUUGAAGUUAGUGAAUUUGGGUGGUGGAUAGGGUUUCGUUUUUAAGAGGAAAUUGUGAAAAUAUUAAAUAUAAUGCCUUAACUAAUGAUUAAUCUCAUUUUUUUAUUGAAUGGGAUGAAAGGAAAAAGGACUUAAAUGUCCUUGGAAAAUUAAACUCAGAACUGAAAACUGAAAAAGUUCCCAGUUUUGCAUAAUGUCGCGACGCGAUACAAUUGCAUCAGGCCACUAGAGAAAGGACAACCCCCAUUUUGCCCAACGGCGCGACGCGGUGCUAUCGCAUUGCGCAACUGGAAAUGGACAACUGAGAAAUGGAACUUUGGCGCCAUCGCGGUGCCUCACUGAAAAAUGACAAUUGUGAAAAAUGCCCCUUGGCGUGACGCGGUGCUUAUAGCGUUGGGCUACUAUUUUGCACUAAAAGUGUCAUAACUUCUCACCCAAGUAUCGAAUUUGAGCGAAAUUGAUAUCAUUGGAAACCUAAUUCAAUUAUCUAUCUGAUAGGGGGGUCUUAAGCUCAGAAAUUCUUAUUAGAAUUAAAGUUAAGCUCACUUGAAGUUGACUAUAAUAGCAUUCUUCUCAAAAACUCAAUCGGUAAGGAAUAUUUUGAUUCGUCUAAUAGCUUGGAGUUAUUUGAGGUCUUAAUAUACAUCAAACUCACUCAUAAGACUACCAAAGAACCAUAAUCUAUUUUGCAUGAUCUUGAAGCAUAGUUCUAAUAUUGUUCUAGAUUCUCGAGGUAUUACAACCCCACACAGUCACACAUAUCACAUAAUAUCUCAAUUUCAACAAUUACAAUGCAUAUAGGCUCAUACACGGGCACAACACAUAGAUAGCCAUUUUUCCUGAUUAGUUUCUACCCUUAACAUGUAUUUUAUACCAUUAUUUACUACUCAGCCCAAUCUAAAAGAGUUAAGUCAUAACCUACUUCAAAAGUCAAAACACCGCAACCAAGACUUUACUUCUAAAGUCUUACUCCUCAUGAACGGUCCCUAACUUCAUUAAAAAUAUCCAAUAUAGAAUCUACGCAUCAAAACAAAAUCAACGACUCCCAUAUUGACUAUUUUUAGGAACCUAUAGCUAAAAACUCAAGUCUAAUCGAGUAAAAAAUGAGGUUUAAAUAGAAGAAAAAAUAUUUUUAAGCUUUUCCAGGUAAAAUCUUUGAAACUCAGGUUAAAAUCAAGAAUCGGAGUUGUUUUGAAGGUUAAAUUGAUGAAAAACUAGUAAUUAUAAGAUUAAAAUAUUAUUCAAAUAAAAAGAAGUGAAAUUGAAGUUUAAAAUCAAGCCCUAAGAUUUUUGGAUUUUUGAGAAUUUAAUCAAGAAUUACUAAGAAAAGGGUGAUUUAUUACCUUAAAUUCGUAAGAGAAUCAAGAAAUAGAUGUUAACCUUGCUUUCCAAGCAACCACAAGCUUCACUUUAAGACCUCACACUAAUUUUAGGGUUUAACUCUCAAGAGAAAGGUGAAAGAAUGAGCAAAAACCAGAUAAAAAGGGUUAUUUAUACUUUACUCAGGUACCAGGUAAAUAAGGCAUAAAUCGCACUUGGGUAAUUCAAUUCACCCUUUAAAUUUCCUUAUCGCACCAGCAUCCUGGUGCACCAAAUUUUUAAGUCCAAAUGGACUUCGACUGGGUGUUCUGGAUUCGUUCAGAGUCUGAUAUAUGCAAAUAAAUUAUGUAACCACACUAAAUCAAUGCUUCGGACUCAGUGACGAUAUCAGAUUUUAAAAAAAUAUUAUUUUCAUAAAGUUGACCCUAAAAUCCAAAAUUGUAAUUUUUCAAAUCGAGGGUCGAAAUGAGAUUUAUCGUAAAAUCACACCAAAUAUGUUACCACCCUAAAAUAGAUAUUUUUGAUCUACUGAAAAAGUCAGAUUUUCCAUCUAAGGUUGUUUCGACCAAAUGUGGGUCCUACACCUAUAUUUCUAAUUUUUAAACUUUUCAACCAAUAGAUCGAAAUGGUCUUGGGUGCAGCAAGACCCAAACCAAAGGUGUAGUAGCUUAAAAACGAUAUUUCAAAGAUGUUGGCACAGUCCAUUCAGCCAUCCGGUGCAUAUAUCAACAGAUAUCUAUAUAAGUUCAAAAUAUGUCUCUUGAAGCCAUCAAAAACCACAAUACCACAUAAAAGAUACUAAAAAUAGAUCGGAAAAUAUGCCAAUCGCCACCACACCCCAGAAAUAUCAUAAUAUAACUACAAAAAUGGGUAAAAUAGUCAAAUCAUACAAAAACACACAAUGCACAUAUUUCAUCAAAAAAGCUGGUCGUUAGACUGAGCCAACUUUGUCCGACAAUGCUUUUGAUCUUUGACCUUGGGUUUAUUAGGAGAUAAUACCACCUGUAGUUCCUAAUGUGGUUACAGCUGAGAAAAGUUAUAUACACUCUACAAGGACUUCCAAUCCUCCUGUAUGGUUGAAGGAUUAUAUGACUAAUGUCACCUAUCUUGAACAUCCAUAUUCCAUGUAUGAUUACCUUAAUUAUGAUACAUUUUUACACAAAUAUCAGCUUUAUCUGUGUAAUAUUUCUGAGAAGGUUGAACCUAGGAACUAAGAAGAAGAAAUAAAGGAUCCACGAUGGAUGACAGUUAUGCAACAGGAGAUCAAAGCCUUGAAGGAGAAUAAUACUUGACAGAUAGUUCAGUUACCUAAAAAGAAGCAUCCUAUUGGCUGCAAAUAGGUCUUUACGAUCAAAUAUAAAACAGAUGGCCAGAUAGACAGAUUCUAAGUAAGACUAAUUGCAAAAGGAUAUAGUCAAAUAGAGGGAGUUGAUUAUCAAUAAAUAUUUGCUCAGAUGGUUAAAAUAGUAAUAGUUAGUUCUAUUAUUGGUUUGGUUGUAGUUGAGAAUUAGAAUAUCUACCAAAUGGAUGUUUUCAAUGCAUUUCUACAAGGUGAUUUAUCUGAAGAGUUAUAUGUGGAGUUACCACAAGUCUUUACUAGAACAAGAAAGCACCGGGUUUGUAAGCUUACCAAGUCUUUGUAUGAACUCAAAAAAGUUUUCAGACAAUGGAAUGCUAAGCUGACUAAAGCUCUAGUCAGUUAGGUUAUGUCCAAAGUCAUUUUGACUAUUCUUUGUUUACUAAGAAAAGCAAUAAAGGGAUGGUUCUUGUAUUAGUAUAUAUUGAUGAUUUGUUAAUUACAGAAAGUGAUCCUGAUAUAAUCUAAGAUAUCAAAAAUGUGUUACAUAAUCACUUUAAGAUCAAAGAUGUAGAGAUGUUGAGACAUUUUUUGGGCAUAGAAUUUUGCAGAUCCAGCACUGGUAUUGUGAUGAUCAGAGAAAGUAUGCAUUAGAGCUUAUUUCUGAAGUAGGGUUAGCAUAUGCAAAACCUAUUCUUACACCAUUAGAAUGUAAUGUCAAGUUAACAUUUACAGCUUAUGAUACUUCUGCCAAUGACAUUUUAUUUCCUGAUGUUGGGAGGUAUCAAAGAAUGGUUACGAAGUUAUUAUACUUGACUAAUGCAAGGCCUAACAUAGCUUAUGUUGUCUAGACCUUGAGUCAAUAUAUGUAGCAGCCUAAGUUUUCUCAUUGAAAUGCAAUAUUAAGGGUCCUCAAAUACAAAAAAGUUAAUAAAGGAUUGGGACUAUUCACAAGUUCUAAUAAGCAGCCAUGUUUUUUAGUUAUUAUGAUGCAGACUGGGCUACUUGUCCAAGUACCAGAAGGUCAGUCACUGGUUAUUUACUAAAGUUUGGUGAUUCUUUGAUUUCCUGGAGAUCUAAGAAUUCAAACACUAUUUCUCAAAGCUCUGUAGAGGUUGAGUAUGGAGUCUAGAUACUUUAAUAGAUGAAGUUGUUUGGGUUACUGGCUUGUUUAAGGAGUUAGGGGUGGUUUUCCACACACCUAUUCUUAUACAUUAUGACAGUAAGGCUGCUAUCAGAUUACUACUAAUUCGGUCUUUUAUGAACGUACUAAACACAUUAAAAUAGAUUGUCAUUUUAUUUUUGAAAGAGUGCAACAAGGAUUGAUCAAAACUACUUAUAUCAACACUAAGGAACAACUAGCAGACUUGCUGACAAAGGCUAUUGGUCGUUCAUAACGUGACGUCUUGUUGUCCAAGCUUGGUGUCCUAAAUUUCUUUAGUACAUUCAACUUGAGGAGGAGUAUUAAAAUUAAUAGUUAGUUGUAUGUAGGCUAAUCAGUUAAUUAUGUAGUUAGAUUGUUAAUGAGUUAAAUAUGCCAACUGGCAAUUGACAGCUACAAAAGAUGCAGCUCCCACAUCACUUGUAUAUAUAGACUGUGAUAUUCUCUCAGCUAAGUAAUUUUUGCAAUAAUGCAAAAAUUUCAAAAUAUCAAUUCUUCUCUCUAGUUUUCUAUAGAAACCAAAGUAGUAAUUGGUAUAAGAAAGUUCUAAAAUUAAUUAAAAAUUUGAGAAUUUGUGUACAAAUUAUGAGAUCCAGACUAAACUACUGAAUAAAGAGAGUAAAGGAUAUUUUUUGGUUGAAAGAAAAACUUUUUAUUCCAACCAGUAAACAUUCUCAGUACAAAGUAGCUCAGAGUAUCAUCAGGCUACUAACUAAUUCUAUCCUUAAGCUAUUACAAAAAGCAUUGAUAUCUAAAAUUAAACUGGAUAGCUAUUCAAUUGUGCUAAUAUUUCCUACCAUUUACACUGUGAUUGGCCUUUAAUGUAUACUUGAAGGUAGAUAUUUUUUUAUCAACUGUAUUGUAGUUUUCUUCUCAGCAUUGGAUCUUCUUGCAUUUCUUUUAAUCCACACCCUGUAGACUGCAACAACAAAAAGGAAUAUCAGGAUUUACAAUCUUGGUUUGAAGGUAUGUAUGCAGUAGUAAGCCAUUUGAUUUUAUCUAACCAGGUGUUCACCCAUCUACUAAUGCCCAUCCAUUUUAGGAGAGUGAUCCAUAUAAACUUUAAGUAGGUGCACUCAAAAAAUAGAUAUUAGAAAGUCUCUAUUGCUCAUGUGUCACAUAUCACGCAAUAUGAAUCCAUAAUUGUACACUAUUUAGCAAGCCUUUCAAUAGUGGGAAGUCUCCCAUGUAAGGCUAGCCAUAGGAUGAAUUGGUACUUUAGCAUAGUACUAGGAGAUUAAACCAGGUUCCUCCAUGUAACUUUAGGUUGAUGAGAAAGCAUGGAGUAAUACAGUUUCUUAAUGCUAAAUUUUGGACCCUCUAUAAAUUGUCUCAAGUGUUGGAUAAGGUCAAUAUUUUGAAAUAUUUUCCUAGCAUAAAAAUUUUUCCUAACAAGCCAACAUGCCUGUUUAGGUUUACUUAUUAAAACUAGAUUUCUGCCCUUGAUAUAGAAAUUGUGGAUCCAUUGUACCCACAAGGAAUCCUUUUUGUUUUAGAAUACCCAUAUGAGCUUACAAAUUGCAGCUCCAUUCCACCUUUCAAACUUAAUUAUAUUCAAUCCAUCAGUAGAUUUUGGAAGACAUAUGGCUUCCCAAUCUACUUGUUCUUUCUUGGAGCUCUCAACACCUCAUGUCCAUAGGAACACCUUGCAUAUUUAAGUGACUAUAGAAAUGACUUUCUUUGGUAAUAAAAAGACUUGUGCCCAAAAAGUUUGCAUUUCAAAGAGUACACUUUUGAUUAACUGUAAUCUGUCACUAUAAGAUAGUAGUUUAGAGGUCCAGCAUUAAAUUGUUACUUGAAAGACAUUUUUCCUAGAGUAAAUUGCAUCUCUUUAAGAAUUAACUGAAAAAAAUUGUUACCCGGUAGACUGCAACAACAUGUAGGAAAAAAGAGAUACAAUUUACUCUAGGAAAAAUGCCUUUCAAGUAUUUGGGAGUGCCUCUCUCAUUCAGGAAAUUUGAGAGAGGCACUCCCAAAUACUUGAAAGACAUUUUUCCUAGAGUAAAUUGCAUCUCUUUAAGAAUUAACUGAAAAAAAUUGUUACCCCUGCCACAUAAAAUGAGCUUUUAUCAAGGUUGGCUUUUAGCCCUAAGAUAGAAGAGAAAUGUUCAAAAGCUUAUAAUAUCAAAUAGAUGGAUACUUGAUCUGCUCUACAACAUAGAAAUAAAUCAGCAGCAAAACAAAUAUCAGUUAGUUGUAACUUAGCACAACUUGGGUGGUAGUUGAAGUUAGGAUUAUGCCUCAACUAUUUUAAGGAUCUGUUGAGGUAUUUUAUCACCAACACAAAUAGAUAGGGAACAUAGGGUUCCCCUAUCUAAAAUCUUAUUUAGCAGCAAACUAAUCAGUUAAGCUUUCAUUAAUAAGUAUAAAGUAACUUAUAGUAGUUACACGGAUCAUUAUCCAGUCAAUCAUCUUAGAAGGAAAGCCAAACUCAAUAAGGAUCAUCUGUAGAAACCCCGACUCUACUGAAUCAUAAUAUUUUCUAAUAUUAAUUUUCAUAAAUAUAUUGGGGUUACAUGUUUUUUCCCAUAACCCCCAAUCAAUUCAUGUGCCACUACUAUAUUAUCUAAGAUAGUUCUUUCCUCAAUGAAUACAGAGUGUGAAGGACCUACCAAAAUAUCUACCAUAGGCUUCAAUUUAUAAGUGUGUAUUUUUACAAUUUUCUUGUAUAAAGUAGUACAACAGGCUAUAGUUUUAUAUUCCUUGACAAAGUUAGGACUCUAUAUUUUAGGGGAAAGAGCUAUAGUUGCACAGUUAAUACUCUUUAGUAGCUCCCAUUCUCAAAGAAUUGGAGAAUUGCUGCAGUAACCUUCUGACCAAUUACUGGCCAAUUUUUCUUAAAGAAUUCUAUAUAAAAGACAUCAAUACUUGGUGCCUUGUCAUAGGGAAGGUGUUGGAUUGUAUCAAAACUUCUUGCUCUAUCACCUCUUGUAACAAGUGUCUCAGUUGUGAAGUGUUCAAACAUGGUCCCUCCUUUGCAACUUCAUUAUUGAUGCAUGGUAAUUCAAUUACAACAAAACCUAAAAGUUGUUGAAGAAAAUUGGUAACUUCCUAUUGUAUUUAUGUUGGUUUUAUGACUCUUACUCCUUGAUCAGUACAGAUGGAUGCAAUCAUAUUCCUGUCUUGUCUGUUAUUUAAAUAGGCAUAGAAAAAUCUUGAGUUGGAAUAUUCAAGAGAUAUCCAAGUUGCCCUGGAUUUCUUUCUUAACACUUGCUCAUUGACCCAUUCCCACUUUUGAAUUUAAGUUAGCACUGAUUUUUCCUGCUAAAGCAAUUCUUUAUUAAAUAAAUUUAUAAUUAGGUUUGUUUGAACCUUUGGCAACUCAAUUCUCAGCUCUUGUAAUUUUUGAUCCAAAAAUGACAUUUAUUGAUUAAGUGUCUUAGUUUCUGUUCCAUCUCCUCAAUAACUUUUUCCACAGUGAAUACAUUGUGCAUCCUCUUAUAGCUUAACCCCAGGCAUGAUUAAUAAUUGUGUGGAACUGGUCUUGGUAUAGCAAAAUAUUUUGUAUUCUAAAUGUUCAUUUAGUAAUUUAGAGGAGAACUUCUGCAUUCACAAUAAUGAGGGAAUGAUCUGAGCAACCUGGUUGUCUGAACACUGCCUGUAAAGCUCCAAACUUAAUAAACCAAGCUGCAUUCCCUAAUAUUUAGUCUAUUCAACUAUAGAUUCUAGCAUUUUCCUCCCUCUUAUUGCACCGAAAAAAGUCACAUCCUCUUUUAGGUAAUUGGCCAAGACAUAGCUACAUAGUCGUUAAAGUCAUGUAUAUCAGCUGCUGAAUAGGGGCCCCACUAAUUCGAUCUCCCAUAGAAAGUCCAGUACUAAAAUCACCAAGUAUGACCCAUGGGUCAGUCAUAAUUUUGUGGAUAAUUCCCAGUUGUUCCCAGAUGUCCUUCCUAUUUAUAUUAGUGUUAUAACCAUAUAUAAAAGUCACAUAACUAGCAAAAUUGGACCCUUUGUCUUCAAUAUAGCAAGGGACCAGUUUUGGCCUAGCUAACAUGGUUGUUAACAUGUUGGUGUCUCCAGUAGAUCGACAAUCUUCCAGUCUGUUCCAAUGAAUAGUCAACUAUGCAAGUCCAAUCUAUGCAUAGUAACUUUAUAAGAGUAUCUCUUUUACUAUACUUUAGCUUAGUCUCCAAACAUCUCAGAAGGUCUAUUUCAUACUAAGAUAAAAAGUUUUAGCUCCUUUCGUUUAAACGGUUGAUUCAUCCCCCAUAUGUUCUAAGAACCAAACAUCAUGUUGGAACAUGUAAGGAUGCUUAGGACCCAGAACAAACCCCAAUAAACUAAGAGCAUAUGCAUUCUGUAAAUCUACUUCUUCUAUGUCAAAAUCUUAAUCCCUCUUUGUACUAGAGUCUGAUGGUUGUACCUCCUCAACCUUCUCUUUCCCCUUACUCUUCCUAGGAUUCUUUUUUUUUAGAAUUCCAGUAUAGCAGGCUUCGGGUCUUUAAUUUGGAUAGGUACAACAGUAUUCUAGUGAACACCCUUUGGAAUCUAUUGUGUAGGAGUCAUUUUCUUGUCCUGGGUAGGGGCUGAAGCUUUGGAAGGUUCAGGUGAAGUAGGAAUUAGUAUGUUUCAUGUCAGAACUAUGCAAUCUUAAUAAUACUCAGGCCACCAAUUAUAAUCCAACUCCUGCCUUUUGGUAUUAAUUUCCACCUGAUUCUUUAAUCAGCAUGUGCUCAGGUAAGGGUUAUGUCACAUCCAUUUCAAUAAGCAUUUUAGCAUAUAAAAUAUGCCCCUCUCCAGUAGUUAGACUAUCAGUAUGUACUGGUUUUCCCAAGUAGCUAGCAGUUCUAUUCAGGUUGUCUAAGGACCAGUAUUAGACAGGCAGACUGGGGAAUGUAACCCAUAAUGACAUUUGUUUCAAAGAUUCCUUGCUCAUCUGGAAGUUUGGUGACCAUGGUUUCAACACAACGGAUAUACUCAUAAGUAUAAGGGCCACUAUUUUGUACCUUUGCUCUAUCUUCUUCAUUCUCAAAUCAAAAAAUAAAAUAGUCAUCAUCGUGAAGAAAAAUAGUGGUAUGUCCACAAAGUUCCAGAUAACAUAUACAAAGUUCAACAUCUAUUUGAAGGAAGGGUUCUUCCCGACUAUAUAUCCUAUUAAAGCACAAUCCCAUUUUCUUCGUUGUUUUUCCACCUCUAUCAACUACUUUAACCCCAUUUUUCAACAAUGGUGGAAAGUAUUGAAGUUGCUUACCCGUCAUCGGUGUCUUGUUAUGCGUUAUCUCAUUUGGUUUGGAGUUUAUCGAGAAGGUGAGCUUCCUUAUUGCUUGUGUCAAGACCUACCCUACUUCAAUAUUAUCAGUUGGGGUUUUAUUGACUUGGGUAAGUAGGGGGUUUUGUGUAGAAGUCUUCGAACCACUGCCAUCUCCCUCCACCCAUUGGGAUAGCUAGACUAUAGAUAAUGGAUAAGGAACCCCCGUUUUUAGCGUAAUAAUUCGAGAACUCGUGUCCGAUAAAUUAUUGUAAAAAUCAUUUACGAGAAUUUUAAAAACAAAGUGCAUAGUCUUGAAUUGACGUGUCUAAAUGAUUCGGGCUCAAACAUCAAACUAACAUUUUUUUUAAAAUAUUUUCUUUCAUACCAAACACGGUAACACACCCUUAGUUCCAUCUUGUGCAUUUCUUUUUAUCACACAACAAAAUUCACUAUUUAUAAACAUAUAAAAUAUUGGUUAUUUAGAUGUUUACUGCACCAUUCAUUUAGAAUUACUUGUCAUUAUUCUUAUAAUUUAGUUUUCAUUUUUACUUGUCAUUUUUUACAAAUAGAGAAAAGACAAAAAAAAAAAAAAAAAACAUGUUCUACUCUUGCAUGAAUUACUUAUUCUAUACUAUAUCAAUUAUUAUUUUUUUAAUGAGUAUGUUAAAUCAAAAUGUGAUAAGUAAAUUCGAACCAAGUGAGUACUAAAAAUCAUAUAUUAUUGUAAAAUUAUUUAACCUGUUGGUACAAGAAACCUUUACAUUAUUCGCGCACAUAAGUCUGCCCUACGUACAUUGAUGACUAAGCGCCAUACAAAUUAAAUGCAUUUUUAUAUUAAAAAGAUUAAUAUAAUUUUUUUGAAAUUUGAAAUGCGGAAAGACAAGCACCAGGACCUGUUCAGUCAUAUAUAUUGCUAGUUUUAAAAUAAAAAGGUAAAAUUUAUUUGGCCAUAAAAUUUUUAUUUGGCCAUAAAAUUUGUCAAAUUUUAACAAAAAUCCCAAGAUCCCAAAAUCUAAAAAAGGCAUUUUGAGCCAAAAUCAAAUUUUGGAUUUUUUUUCAAAUUCUAAAACUUGCCCCAAAUUUUGUACUUUAUAUAUUAAAAAAUCAUCAAUUAUGACUCUGAUUAGCUAUUAAAUUUAUCUAUUCAACAUCUCACUAAACAGAUUCUUAUUAAAGAGAUUAUUCGUACACGUUGAAAGAUUAUAUUAAAGAAUAGCUAAUCACUAUUAUCGUUUUUAUAAUUAAUUUUUUCUCAUCAAUGAAUCUUUAUAACUAAUUUUGAUAGUUUGUAAUUAUAUUAUUACUAACUAGUAAAUUUGUUCGCGCUUCACGCGAUCAUAAAAUAUGAUAUAAAAAAAUAACUAAACAAUUUUUGUUACAAAUUUUCUAAUGAAAAUUUAUUUUACUAAAAAUAAGUAACAUAAAUGAUAGAAACAUUAUUUGUGAAGAAGCAAGAGAACUUUUUGGUAUUUAAAAAUUGAAUACUGCAUACGAUGAUGAAGAUGUGCGGGCACAAGUCAAGAAUGCACCCUCCAUAUUUUUUGCUUCUUAUACAUAAGUCCCUAAAUCCUUCUUACUAAAUUCUUUAGCAUCCUUGAUAGAGAUAGUUUGUGGAUCUUAUAACAACAACAACAUACAGUACAUUCCCAUAAAGUGGAUCUGAAAAAUAAAAAUGUUAGCAGUUCGUACAUUACCUCAAAAGUGAAGCUUAUUGAAGUCCAAGAUCUUUUAUUGUUUUUUUAAAAUGAUCAAGAUAUUCUAUCAAACAUGUGUGUGAAUUAUCAAAGUGUCAAUUUUAUAUAUCUAAAGAUGAUAAGGAAAUAACAAAAUCAAUUACGAAAUUAUUAAUUAUCUACUCCACUUGUAAUUGACUAUUUUUUGUUUAAUAAUAAAAGAUUCAUGAAUAUAUUUUUACAAACAAAAUGAGUUAAAAUCAACAGAAAUAAAGAUAAAUAUCAAUAUUGACGUAAAAGAGACGUUAUCUAAUUUUUUAUGAGACUAACUAGUACAUAUUUCAACCUACUUAGUGAGAUUAUAUUUAACGGCCUAUUAACAAAUAGAGCAAAAAAAUUGUGUCUUACAAAUAAUACUCAAUCAAAUUUUUUUAAAAAAUUUAGCACAAUUUUUUAUUGUUCUUUGUUUAGUUGCGUAUCAAAAUUAUUUUAAUCACAUGUAAUUAGUCCCUUGAUUUAAAAAGAUUAUUUUUAAUCUCCACUUUAUCAUAUGAAGUAGUAGUACUUUAAAGAAUAACUUUUAUUAGUAAAUAUGAUAACUUUCAAUAAUUAUUCUGAGCUUUUAGAGAACAAGUACCUGUUUGGAUUGACUUUUGGUUUUUGACUUAAGCCAUAAGUCAGAAGUUAGAAAUUCUAACUUAUAACUUUUGGCUUAUUUUUAGCAUUUUAAGUCAAAAGUCAUAAGUUGAGAUUUCUAACUUAUGACGUUUGACUUAUUUUUAGCAUUAGCUUAAAAUUAAGUGUUUAUAAGCACUUUUUAAAUUACUAAAACACUUCAAAAGUGCUUAAAAAUCAAUUUUGACUUAAAAACACUUAAAAUAAGUCAAUCCAAACAGACCCAAAUAUAUAAUUAAGGACAUCUAAGUUGAAUAAUUUUAGUUAUCAAUGCACAUGACAUUUAUUUUUAGAAGGGAAAAGGGUCAAAUAUGCCCCUAAACUUUUCGAAAAAGUUCAAAUAUACCCUCCGUUACAAAUUUAGUCUAAAUAUACCCCCGCUGUAAAAAUUUAGAAUCAAAUAUACCCCUACAAACGUCAACUGAUUUGCUGGAAUUUUGGAAUUCUUUUUUUCUUUCUUUUUAAUUUUUGAUCGUCACGUAAGCAAAAAAGUGUCACAUCAAUAAAAAUAAAUUAACCCAAUUCUUUUAUACCCUGACCCAACCCAAGAUCCGACCCAAGACUCCUUUAACUUCCCUAAUAUCAUAAUCUUCUACGGCAAUAAGUAGUUUACCCAUGGAUAUUAGUGAAUCAAUACACAAAGCAGAUUGGAUUUCUCCUAUUUGUUUUUUUUGGAGGAAAAAUUUAAACUAACAUAAACUUACAUAUUUGUAUUUCUCCUUUCUUUGAGAAAAAAUUUACACAUAUCCUAUAUCUCCAUAUAUGACUUUUUUAGUAUGAAAUGAGACAUCAUAUACAACUUAUCUGCAUACAAACUACACGGUGGCAGUAUUGGAGAGCUACUGAACACCACGAAGCAAAAAUUGACUUUUCAAAACCUAGUGACCAAAAAGCCCUUCGCCUUGGUGAGUAUCAAACUAAGUCCUGCACCAUGCCCUUGGUGGAAAAUUCACCAAAUCCCUUGCAGCUUCUUCUGACAAUUGUCCCAACUUUUUCAACUGGUCCUUGAAUUCUUCAUCAUAUGAACUCCAUGAACACCACCACAUAAGCUUCCUCAUUUCACCACUCCUCCACUUUUUACACUAAUUACUCUCAACAUGUCUCAUACAGUACCUAUGGUGAGCUACGGGUAACAUUUUCUCAAAAAUAUCCACCAAUCUCUGAAAUUAUAAAUAAAAAAAAUUAUUUAAUCAUGAGACAAGAAUAUUGAAACUAAAAUUUAAUUUAAAAAUGAGAAACUUACUUUUUGCAUAUCUGAAAUAAAUGUGGUUCCAGCACCAUCUUUAAGGUUCAAAAACCUUCUCAAUAGCUCCAUGAACCAGCUCCAUGUCCUACUGAUUUCUUUGUCCACUAUUACCCGUGCUAGUGGAUAGAAACUGUUCAUAGAAUCUUGUCCUAGAGCAACCAACAACAUACCCUUACAUCUACCUCUCAAGAAUGUACCAUCAACUCCAAUAAGUGGCCUCAAUCCAUAUUUCCAUCCUUUUUUCAGAGCAUCAAAGUAUAAGUACAUCCUUAAAAAUUAUCUUUUUCCUUCUGCGAAGGCAUCCUUGGAGAUAUUUAUCACAACAUCACUUUCAGGAUUAGACCUUUUAAUCUCUUGUGCAUAAUUCUUAAGCUUAUUGUACUCAUCUAUAAAACUACCUUCCAACUUCUCAAGAAUCAUGCGCUUAGCUCUUUUCAGUUUGGAUUGACACACAUUUAAUGUUAAACCAUUUUUAAGUUCUCCUCUCAUGUCUUUGACCUUAUACAUGGGGUUAUUUUAAAGCUUAUUUUUGAAGUAUUUGGCAAAAGUGGUUGAAUCAGCUCUAGGGUUAAAAAUGGCCUCUUCACAAGUAUGAUUGUUUAUUAAAGUAUUGAUCUUAAACCCUUCAGUCUUGCCAUCUUUUGAAAUCAAACACCUAAAAGGACACCCCUCUUUACAACCAUAUUUAGUCCUCUUUUUAUCACCCCUGAUUGUAGUUAAAGCCCUUUUGUUAGCUAAUGCAUAAUAGUUGACAGUCUGUCUAUCUUCUUUCAUGUCUUUAUAUGACAUACCUAUAUACAAUUCCUUGUAAUUUUUCAACCUAUCACUUACUAACCUUUCCCUUUCCUUGCUAAUAGCCUCCAACCCCUCAUAAUCAUAUUCCUCACCCCCAGAAAGAUCAAAAUCAACAAAAGAAUCAACACUAUGUUCACAGUUUGUGCCAACCUCAAUAUUUACAAAAUCAGUUUCAGCAUAGUGUGUGAUAUAUUGAGGAUAGACUAUUAGUUCCUCCUUCACCACUCUAUCGAUCAUCCUUCAAAGCACAUAAAAUAAAUAGUAAAUAUGCAACAAAAUUAUAGGGUCCACAUCAGAUCAAACACAUUACAAGUACAGAAAUAGAAUAAACAAAAUUUUAAAAGAAUAGAUUCAUAUCGGGACCACCAAAAGUUACAAAACUGAUUCUAUAAUGACAUAAAAAAGCACACCCUUUUUUCUUAAACAAUAAAUUUCAUGAGAUUUUGACAGACACAAUCGAAUCUCCUCACAUAUCUCAUUUAGUUGACUUUAUUAACUUUGCAGGAACUUUGAUGAUUGAUGAAAAAUGCACAAAAUAAUAAAGAAUACACCACUCUAGUGAUUCCCUCCCCUCCUCCCCUCCCCUCCAAAAAAAUGCAUAUCAUCCAAAGAAGAAGGAAGAAAAAGUCGAAGAUGAUGCAAAAUUACCUGAGGCUCUGCGAAGAGAAAAUUUACCAGCAAUAAGCAAUACGUUGUUUUGUGUACUUAGAUACGGUGAUAUGAUGUAAUGGGUUAAGGUAUUAGGGAGGUUAAAGGGGUCUUGGGUCAGAUCUUGGGUCGAGUCAGGGUAUAAAAGAAUUGGGUUAAUUUAUUUUUAUUGAUGUGGCACUUUUUUGCUUACAUGACAACCAAAUUUUUUUUUUAAAAAAAAGACUUUCAAAAUUCCAGCAAAUCAAUUGACGUUUGUAGGGGUAUAUUUGAUCCUAAAUUUUAACAGCGGGGUAUAUUUGGACCAAAUUUAUAACGGAGGGUAUAUUUAGAUAUUUUCAAAAAGUUUAGGGGCAUAUUUGAUCCUUUUUUCUUUUUAGAAUUCUAAAUGUAGUUAGACAUUUCAAGAAUCAACAUUAUUAGUGAUUUAAUGAUUAAAUAAUUACUAUAUCAAAUAGAGAAACACAAUAUAAAUAUCUUUUGAUUUGGCUCAACAUCAAUAUAAAGGCAAAAUAAAUUUGAUAUUUAAAUUAAAAAUCACAUUGAAUCUAAUAAGCCCUAUUUCCUUCAUUAUACAUGAUCUAUCAUCUUUGACUUUAAAUUUAAAUGUUUGGAUCAAAAUUUUAAUAAUUUUUUCAUGCAUUCCUGAAGUGAAGUACGUAUUACCUUUAUACUAACUUGCAUACCCAUUACUUACUAUAGAAGACAAAACUUUCAUUUUUUAGUAUGAUCUGAACUCAUCGUAAAGUGUGUCUUUUGAUCCCAACAUCCUAACUCUGUACAACAUUGCUUUGUCACCUGCUAAUCUUAAUGUCACGGCUUGCUUGUCAUACUCCCAAGGAAAUGUAAACACUGUAUUCUAUAAGUUCAACUGAAUCCAUUACUUUCUAUAUUCAAUUUAUAUGUACAUAUAAUAAGAUCACAUUCAUUAUGUACCUAGCUGACAACCUCAAUAGUGAUGUCAGUUGCACAAAAGUAAUCUGAUUCUACAACAUGUGGCUUUGAACACAUUAAUCGAUCUGCCUUAAUUUUCAACCGUUACAAUAUUAAUUCAAUAAAAAAGUUAAUUCAAUAUUAACAUUUGCAACAUUAAUGAACCAUUAUUGUUUUACGUUCUAUAGUUGUAACUGAUAUUUUUAUUCGCAACAGAUAUAAUUGUAAUAUAAGUGUUCAUUAGCUGAAUUAUUACAAGUCACAACGGUACAAUACUUUUUGUUUAAUUAAAUGUGUUAAGAUGGCGUAUUUUUUAAUUCAAAUAGUUAGGAGAUUAUCAUUAUAUUAUUAUUAUUUAGUAAAAUGAAGAAAAAUAUUCAAAAAAAAAAAGAAAAAAAAAGAAAUUUUAAGCGAUAAAGAUAUGCUACAUCACCUCAUUUAUAGAUGUUUAUAAGUAUUUAACUUUAAUUAGUUAAUACUUUCAUAAAUUUCAUCUUCUUUAAAAUCUAAAUCUAAAAAAUAUUUUAAAAAGAAAUCAAAAAAAAUAAAAAAGUAAACUCUUUUGCCACAAAUUUAUAAAAUCAAUUGGUAGGAAUCUUUCCUUCCUCUUUCUCUUUCUUUUACCUAAAAUAUAUGAUGAUAGAAAAUUCUUAUUAAGAUGAUUAUUAUUAUGAUCAUAAAAAAUUAUUAUUAAAAUGAAUUAAUAAAAAGAAGAGGAAAAGAUGAGGUGUAAUUAGGAGGAUUAACAAAGUAAUUUUUGAAAUUUGUAAUGAAGCACAAAAUAAAUAAAAUAAAAUUUGAGAAGACUAAAUUUUUUUUCUAAAAAAGUUGAAAAGCAGAAAAAAGUCAAAAAAUAUUAAUUUUUGAUCAAAGAACUAUAUACAUCAUCUUCUAAUAAACCAUAGUUAUAUCUAAAUAGAGAUUGCAUAUUUCAAAAUGCUUAUAUAAUAAAAUAUCAAUUAAAUUUUAUGUUAGCAACAAAAUAAUCAGUAUAAACAAAGUGAAAAACUUUAUAAUAAAAUCUUGUUAUUAAAUAAUACAUCUUGUAUUUGGUGAAAUAGUUAUUUGACAAGUCUAAAAUAAGCAACAAUAAGUGUAUCUAUAUUUAUUAAUAAACCAUUCAAAAAAUUUUAUUUUUCUAAACUAAUUUGGCCAUCUCUCUUGAUGCAUUAUAUAUUCUUCUACGUCUUGACGAUGAACUUAUACGAAACUAAUUUGAUCAUUCUUUCUUUGAUAAAUUUUAUACCGCCAUCAAACUUUCUUCUUCAUCUUUGGUGAACUUGUAUUUGGUUCUUAUUACACAAGAAAAAACUUUGAAUGAUAUAUCUAUGAUCUUCAUCAUAGUAGCCAUAUUAUCAAAUCUUUUCAAUAGCCUCUCUUUUGGUUAUUGAACACAUGAUUGAUGAAAAUAAUGAAAAAAAGAUUUGAAAGAGAGAGAAAAAUAUAUACUAAUAAAAAAAUGAAGGAGAAAUGGAAAUGAGCAUCCAACAAUUCUAUAGGUUAUUGUUAUUUAUAGACUGAUCAAGUAGUUGAGAAGACAUUUUAUUAAAUAGAGGAUACAAAUAGUUGGAAGUUUUCAUAUAACUCAUGAGAUAUAAUUAGAUGUAGUAAAUAUGAUAUGAUUUUUUAAUUAUUAAAAAAAUUAAUUAAUAAAAAAAAUGAAGAAAAAAAUUCAAUAAAAGAAAAAUAAUAUGAAUGGAGGUCAUAGAGAUGUGUCACAUCACCUUUUCUAUGAUUCUCCUUUAUAUAUAUAUUAGUUUAGAAUACGUUCGUCGAACGUGUAUUUAACGUUAAAAAAGAAAUAUUUAUUUAUCUAAUAUUUAAAUAUUUAUUUAUAAAAUUACCUGACAUUCUACAUAGUUCAAAUAAGAAAAUUAUAAUAAAUAUCUUUAUACAUGAUUUCAAAGUCCUAAAUUAGAACUUUUUACUCAUAGUUCAAAGAUAUUCUACCGGUGGGAUUGCAUAUUUAACGUUUUCUUAUUUUGCUCUGACAAUUUUAGAAUUAUUUUUUUCAUGUACACAACAAAAUAUUUUUUUUUUACCAAAAUUAACUCUUUGUUCCCAUAAAGUUUGUAAAAGUUGGGAAAAUGGGUUUUUUUUUUUUUUAAGAUUCAAUGUACUACUACUUACCUUGUAUUUUAAGACAAUCUUACUAUAUUUGUUAAAGUCCUAAUCUCAUAUAUUUUAGAAUUCAAUAUCAUAAAUAUAAUUAAAAAAUAAUUUGAGAAAAAAAUGUAAAAGACAAUUUUGUCUAAAGCAUGAACUUUUAAUGAAGGAAAAAAAGUUCAAAUCACUUUUCUAAGGGUCUUCACGUUUUUAAUAUAUUAUAGAUUAUAGAUAUAGAUAGAUUAUAGAUUAUAGAUAUAGAUAUAGAUAUAGAUGUAGAUGUAGAUGUAGAUGUAGAUGUAGAUGUAGAUGUAGAUUAUAGAUUAUAGAUUAUAGAUUAUAGAUUAUAGAUAUAGAUAUUGAUUUUAUUAAAAUAUUGUGUUAUGAUUUUCUAGACAAUAUAUUAUUUUGUGUUAAACUUAAAAAUAUAAAUUAUUUUUCAUGUUUUUUUUUAAAAUAAAAUAUAUUUUUGUAAAACUAUAAUGCUUAAACACAAAUUGAAACCUCAAUCAAAACUUCACGUCAAAUCUAAUUCCCAAAAAUAGUUGGUAAUAUAUGAUCAAACUCCACUAAAAUUGAGUUGAAUGGUAAUUACAUGACAUUUUCGUCUUGUAGUACGUAGGGCCAGUGUUUGUUUUUCUCUUGUGUUUGUCUUUCUCCGUUGCCACAUGUGCUCUCUUAUAUAGCCUUAAUGGCUAAGCAAUCCCAUAUUUUGGCACAAUUUUCACCAUCCAACUAUAAAGGUCCUCCGACUGGAAAAGGAAAAAAAAUGAUGGUGAUCGGUAGUUGAGGAAGAAAAUUAUUUUUUUAAAAUAAAUUUAUAUGCAUAAUUGAUUAUCACAAAUUGUUGAUGGUUUUAUGAUGAAAUAAAUUAAUAUACUUGUGAUAAAUUCAGGCAAUUUUAUUCGUUCAUUUAAAAAAUUCCCAAUGCUGAAAUUUGUAACGAAAUCAUGGAAAUGCUUUAUUGCAUGAUACGAACCUCAAUUCAUAAGAGGGCUAUGGUAGGGUAGCAAGUAGUCAUGUCAACUAGGUUUGGUCGGCCAAUUGUGAGAAAAACUAUCUUUAACCCUUUAAUUUACAUUUUCUCCAAGUUAUUACGGAAUUUUAAUCUUUAUAUUUUAAUGCAAAACUACAGAUUUCAAAAUUAAAAUGAUUUUAGUUGAUUUAUGCUGAUAUUAAUUUUAGUAAUGUUACUACUUAUAUUUUCUUAAUGGGUCGAGGCUGAGCCGGUUUCUCCUCCCCAACCCAACCCACUAAAGUAUGACUCGGCCCCUGCCCAAUCCCAUUGACACCUUUUUUUUUGGGUAGACCAUUGACACCUUAGUAGCAAGUAUCUUUCAAUUUCUUAAUCUAAGAUUUUGUGUUGAGUCUUUUAUAACAGUAUAAUUUUAAAUAUUUUAGUUACCUUUUCAAAGUGGAAUUAUUUUUCUUCAUAAAUUCAAAUUAAUCGAAUCCAAAAGUAAAUACUAAGUACCAAGUGGGAAAAUUAAAAAGUAAUUUAUAGGUGAUUAAGCAACUAAAUGUUGUUGAGUCUUGUGGUCUUUAAUUAGUUCAACAACAUAGGAUUUAAAAUGUUAUAAAACAAUAAAGAACAAGAAAAAGAGUAGAGAGAAUAGAGAGAGUGAUUCUUAUUUCUUCUCUUGAGGGAUGAUUUACAAUGAAGGAAGCUCUUCUAUUUAUAGGGGAAAUUUGCCCCUAGUUUCACACUAAAAGACAAAUACAUCAAAUCCUGAUAGAUAUCAAGUAGAUCUUAUUAGAUCUUGAUAGACUUCACUAUAAUGUAAAUACAUUUAUAACACUCCCCCUUGAAUAUCUAGAUAGAUAACGUGCCUCGUUAAAACCUUACUAGAAAAAACUCAGUAGGAAAAAAAAUCUAGUGAAGGAAAAAGAGUACACAUUUCUAACAAUAUGCAUAUCGACCGCCUCAUUCAAAACCUUACAAGAAAAACCCAGUGGGACAAAACCUCGUAAGGAAAAAAGAGUACAAUGCGUAUUAACUCUCCCUAAUGAGAACAUCCUUGAACCUUUGCAUCCCGAUCUUGUGCACCAUCUUCUUAAAAGUUGUAAUUGGAGAAGACUUGGUGAAUAAAUCAGCCANNNNNNNNNNNNNNNNNNNNNNNNNNNNNNNNNNNNNNNNNNNNNNNNNNNNNNNNNNNNNNNNNNNNNNNNNNNNNNNNNNNNNNNNNNNNNNNNNNNNNNNNNNNNNNNNNNNAUUAAGACGUGCUAUGCAUGAUGCAUUAUCUCCGUAUAAAAUUGUGGGUAGAUUGUCAUAUUUCACAUCACAUUUUUCUCAAAUGAGAUGUAUCAUGGACCUCAACCAUACACAUUCUCGACUUGUUUCAUUAAUUACUAUUAUCUCAAAAUGAUUCGAUGAAGUGGCUACGAUAGACUGCUUUGUAUAUCUCUAAGAUAUUGUAGUACCACCACAUAUGAACACAUAGCCUAUUUGAGACCGAGCUUUAUGUAGGUUAGAUAAGUACCCAAAAUCAGCAUGACCAAUAAGAUCAGGACUGCAAACUUGCUAACAAAUUAACUAAAAAAUAGGCUAUAUCAGGCCUUGUAGUAUUUGCAAGAUACAUUAGUGCAUCAAUUGCACUAAGAUAUGGUACUUCAUAACCAAGGAGUUCCUCAUUCUUUUCUUGAGGUCAGAAUGGAUCCUUAUUCAAUUUUUGCAUGUUUCUCAUUUAAGCAAAUACUCUAUUUCUUUUGAAAACUCUCCAAGAGUUUCAAUGAUACUCAAAUCAUCAAAUUAUAUCUUAUGAAGAUAAUAAAAAGUUUUCCAGAAACUUUAUAUGCUUCAGGAAUUUUGAAUCCUUUAGGGAUUUUCAUAUGGAUAUUUGUCAAGUAACAAUAUCCAACAUGUCAAGUGUGACAUCUUCAAGUGUCUGGACUGCAAAUCAAAUAAGUUUUACGCUUACCAAAAUGCAUCAUUUCAGGUCACUUGAUAAAUAUUUCUACGUCAGCAUGCUUAAAUUAACGUAGAAUUUAGAUCCUCAUAUUCUUUUACAAUAUUGCGCCAAUGUUGUAUCAAAGAUAUCAUCGAUGAUUUCUUAUUUUUAUCGGUUCACAAUGCGAUAUAACAUUUUGAGAUCUCAUCACUUCAUUAUUUUCAGGUACCUAAACCUCUGAUAAGGUUUCAUGAAGUGUUAUGCCGUAGGCUCUUCAAGAGCACAUUGCCUUCUUAUCAUGAUUAUUUGCUCCUUAUCUUUUUCAAGGAUUAUUUCAUUUGGAACCGAUUGGUCGAUCAUGCUUCACGCAUGCAUAGACUUUAUCCUUUAAGGACACAAAAUNNNNNNNNNNNNNNNNNNNNNNNNNNNNNNNNNNNNNNNNNNNNNNNNNNNNNNNNNNNNNNNNNNNNNNNNNCUAACAUAUUUCAUAGCUGCUUAUAAUCUCCCCCUUAUGUUAGGAAAACUAACAUACAUCCUCCAUCUUCUUUGAGAAAUCCAUCUUUAUGCAUCAUAGUAUAUUUAUUAAUCGUAUACCACACAUCAAAAAUAUUAAAUGGAAUAGUUGGUUCCUGACCUUGAACCAAUUGAGAGGAAAGAAAUAAUCAUAAUAUAUUGGUCUAAUGCAUAUAAGUGCUAUUGUAUGCAAUAUAUCAUAUUUCAUACCAAUACAUAAAACUUUGUUCUUAUUAGUAAUGGUUCAACUAUUUAUGGAAGACAUUCAAUGUUAAACCAUCAUCAUCAAGAUGAAUUAUCUUGAUUACACAAUCUAAAAAUUAUGCUCAAUUUAUAUUGAAAAAGUAACUUCAUGAAUAUCAAACGUUGGUUGACCAUGAAUGUACAUGUGAUUAUCUUAUUGAUGCAUCUUUCCAACAUAUCACAUGAUAGGUGAAUAGACCCUUAUUCACCUUUUAUUCUUUUCAGAUUUUGAGGGAUCCAAUCCCAAAAUUAGUUGGUCCAACCAACUUAUCAUGAGAACAAACAAUAUUAAAGUUCAUGAAGAAUUUUUUAAUUCUUCAAUAUAUGUUCAAUACUCAGUAUGCACAUCUUUGGGAUAUCGCAAUCGUUCAUGUCAACUAAUGAACUUAUAAUCUAUUAAACUCCAAGUUUAUCGUGAUAUGUGUUUUUGCUUUAGUAAAUUUCAGAUUUACUACUUCAGAAGUAGAUUUUAAAAUUAUUCAACCUCUUUCGGAGGUAAGUUGUGAUACAAUCACAAUCAAGUGCACGUUUGCAUUAAUAAGUUUCUCAUUCCACAGGAAUGUAAUAUAAUCGUGCCUUAAGCCUAUCAAAUUAUGAUAGCUUAUAACCUCUUUCAAGAAUUUUGCUACUUCAGAAGCAAAUUGAGACAUACAUAUGAUGUAGAGAAUUUUUCUCUAGCAUAUCUUAUAAUCAUAUAAGCGUGUGAAAAUAUCAUCACUUUUGAUGAUCAUUAUCAUAUUGUCCCUCCACGCGUAUAUUCGUGCAUUCAAUCACUUGUCUUUUUUUAGACAUAUUAUGCACUGCUACUACAUACACCACUGCUACCACAUACACCUCAAGAAUGAAGUAAGUUGUCAUAUUUCAGACUUAUCAUAUAUUGCUACCACAUUCACUUCAUGGAAUAGAGCAUAUUCAAUGGGUCAAAUUUCAUGACUUUUUACCCAAUACCUAUGAUUUUGCCUUAGCCAUCAUAAUAUCAUCAGUAUGGUGCAUUGAUAUUCAAACUCAAUGUCUUAUCCAUAUAAAGACGUCUUAGGCAUAAAUCGAUAGGUGCUAACUUUUAGCCUCAAAUAGUACUGACUGAAUUCAAACUUUUAAAUUUCAAUCAACAGAUACUUUUGGACUAUAUCAUGAUAAAAUAUAUAUAUAAUAAAAUAAAAUAGACACAAAGAAUCACCGAAUAUAAUAAUCGUAUGAAAACAUAUAUAACUAUGACCAUUAAUAAUUGACCAAUUCUCUAUAUAAAGCAACUGAAAUUUUAUUUUAUUAUAUAAUGAUUAGCUUGGCAGGUGACUGUAAAACUCUUAGUUUUUUUUUACUUCCAAAGGAAAUGAAACUUUUAUGAACAAAAUAAACUUAUGUUAUCAUUGCUGAAGAUAAAUGAAUACACCCAUCAAAAGUACGUAAUGUUUCUGACAAUAUUAAAAUCAAGUUAACUAUCAACAAGUAGUAAAAUCGUUAAUGAUUUUCCUCCCCUAAACAUAAUAUAUAAUACCAAAUCAAUAUUUAACAAAAUAAGAUCACAAUUCACAUCCUCGUAUCCAUGGAAAGAUGCAACAUAUUACCUUUUAAUAGUAUUAUAUGUAUGCUUAUCUUCAAAGAGUAUUUUGACUCACGGUAGAGUCUCGUGCUGAUAACGUGUUAUAAAACAAUAAAGAACAAGAAGAAGAGUAGAGGUAAUAGAGAGAAUAGAGAGAGUGAUUCUUAUUUCUUCUCUUGAGGGAUGAUUUACAAUGAAGGAAGCUCUUCUAUUUAUAGGAAAAAUUUGCCCCUAGUUUCACACUAAAAGACAAAUACAUCAAAUCCUGAUAGAUAUCAACUAGAUUUUAUUAGAUCUUGAUAGACAUUCACUAUAAUGUAAAUACAUUUAUAACAUAAAACUUUUUUGUGAUAAAAUAUAAAGUAGAGAAGAACAAAAACAGAGAGAAGAGAGUAAUUUUUUAUUGCUCUUAAGUAUUCUCAAGGUGUCUGUUACAAUGAAGGAAACCUUCUAUUUAUAAGGAAAAUUACUUAUAAUUUCUCUCUAAAAGAUAGAUAUUUCAUACCUAGUUAUCAAAUAGAUCUUGAUAGAUAUUAUCUAUAUUCUUGAUAUUCACUAUAAUGUAAAUACAUUUAUAAUACUUUUCCUUGAAUGUCUAAUUGAUACAUAAUGUGCCUCGUUAAAACUUUACUAGAAAAACUCAGUGAAAAAUAUCUAGUAAAGAAAAAAGAGUAUACAUCUCUAAUAAUACGAAUUUUGGCCGCCUCAUUAAAAACCUUACAUGGACAAUCCAGUGGGACAAAACCUCAUAAGGGAAAAGAAUACAGCGCGUAUUUGCUCCCCUUGAUGAGAACAUCAAUGAACCUUUGCAUCCCGAUCUUGUGCAUUAUCUUCAUGAAAGUUGCAAUUGGAAGAUAUUUGGUGAAUAAAUCAGCCACAUUGUCACUUGAAUGGAUCUGUUGCACAUUAAUAUCACCAUUCUUUUGCAGCUCGUAUAUAGAAAAAGCUUUGAUAAAGUGUGCUUCGUUCUAUCACGUUUUAUGAAUCCUUCCUUAAGUUGUGCUAUGUAUUCUUCAUUAUCUUCGUAUAAAAUUAUGGGCAUAUUUUCAUAUUUCAAACCACAUUUUUCUCGAAUGAGAUGUAUCAUGGACUUCAACUAUACACAUUCUUGGUUUGCUUCAUGAAUAACUAUUAUCUCAACAUGGUUUGAUGAGGUGGCUAGAUAGACUGCUUUAUAUAUCUCCAAUAUAUGACAAUACCCCACCAUAUAAACACAUAACCUAUUUGAGAUCAAACUUUAUGUGGGUCAGAAAAAUACCCAACAUCAGCAUAAACAAUAAGAUUGGACUGCAAAAAUAAGAUUAUGUAUUUGUUUACAUUUUGAUGUCUCCUAAUAGGAGCAUAACUAUACAUUGCUAACAAAUUAAUCGAAAAGGCUAUAUCAGGCCUUGUAGUAUUUGCAAGAUACAUUAGUGCAUCAACAUCACUAGGAUAUGGUACUUUAAGAUCAAUCCAAUUCGGUAUAUUUCUCAUUUCAACAAAUAAUCUAUUGCUUUUGAAAACCCUUCAAGAGUUUCAAUAAUUUUUAAAUAUUUAAUUUAUCCCUUAAAAGGAUAAUAAACAAGUUUCCCAGAAACUUUAUAUGCUUCAAACAUUUUAAAUCCUUUAGGGAUUUUCAUAUAGAUUUUUGUCAAGUGACAAUAUCCAAUAAUUCGUGUGUGACAUCUUCUAGUGUCUGGACUGCAAAUCAAAUAAGUGUUAUGCUUAUCAAGAUGCAUAAUUUUAUGUCACUUGAUAAAUGUUUCUACGUCAGUAUACUUAAAUAAACGUAAAAUUCAGAUUCUCGUAAUCUUUUACAAUAUUGCACUAAUAUUGUAUCAAAGGUAUUGGUGAUAUAUCAUUUCGUAUCGAUUCACAGUGUGACAUAACAUUUUGAGAUCUCAUCACUUCAUUAUUUUCAGGUACCUGAACCUCUUCUAAGGUUUCAUGAAGUGUUAUGUCAUAGGCUCUUCAAGUGCACAUUGCCUUCUUAUUAUGAUCAUUUGCUUCUUAUCCUUUUAAGGAUUAUUUUAUUUGGAAUCGAUUGGUCUACCGUGUUUCAUGCAUGCGCAUACUUUAUCCUUUAGGGAUACAAAAUAGGAGCAUUUACAACUUAAAUAUGAGACGCUUUCGGCAUUUGACUUGAACUAUUUUUUGAAUGAGGAUCUGAUGAUAAUUCUUAAAAUAUUUCAUAGCUGCUUAUAAUCUCCCCCUUAUGUUAGGAAAAGUAACAUACAUCCUCCAUCUUUUUUGAGAAAUCCAUCUUUGUACAUUAUGGUAUAUUCAUUAAUCGUAUACUGCACAUCAAUACUAUUAGAUGGACACUAUGUGGUUCCUGACUUAGAACCAACUUUGAGGGAGAAUUGAUCACAAUUUAAUGACUUGAUGCAUACAAAUACUUUUGCAUAUAUCAUAUUUCAAAUCAACACAUGAAGCUUUGGUCUCAUUAGUGUUGGUUUGAAUUGCAUAUAUUAUAAUUCAAUGUCAAACCAUCAUCAUCAAGAUGAAUUGUCUUGAUUAUAAAAUCUAAAAAAUAUGCUCUUAACUCAAUUUUAUUGAGCAACAAAUGUCAAACUGGAGAUUGACAAUAAAUGAACAUGUGAUUAUCUUAUAUCGAUAAAUCUUAAUAGAUUACAUGACAAGUGAACAAGACCAUAUUCAUCUGUUAUACUUUUCAGAUUUUGAGGGAUCAAAUCCCAACAUUAGUUGGUCCAACCAACUUAUCAUGAGAACAAGCAAUAUAAACAAUUCUUGAAGAAUCUUCUAUUUCUUCAACAUAUGUCUAAUACUCAAUAUGCACAUCUUUGGAAUGUCAUAUAUAAUCGUUCAUGUCAACUUAUUAACUUAUAUGUAUCAGUAAACUCCAAGCUUACCAUGACAUGCACCUUUUACUUUAGUAAACUUCUUAUUUACUGUGACAUAAAUUUUGUAUCAAUAAACAAUAAACUCUUAGUUAUUGUGACAUGUGAUUUCAUCAUGCCUGGAUAAAUUUUCACAUCUGUGGUUCUUACUGUAGUAACUUGGAGAUAUUUAAUCUUCCAACUAUUCUACCUCUUCUGGAGGUGGAUUGUGUUAUCUUCACAACUAAGAAUGCAUUCGAAUUAUAUAAAGUCAUAUUCACCCUCAGGGUAUAAAUUUGUAUUUAUAAUAAUCAAAAUUCUCAUUCCUUGGGAAUAGAAUAUAAUCGUGUCUUAAGGGUAUCAAAUUAUGAUAGCUUAGAAACUCUUUCACGAUCGAGACAUGAAAGCCUGUGAAAUAUUAUUAUUUUGUCACUUUUCUCCAUUUAUGUGCAUUCAUUGAACCACUUAUCUUCUUUCAGACAUGUUAUGUACUGCUACCACAUUCACCUCAAGAAUGGAGCAUAUUCAAUAGGACAUGUUUCAUGACUUUUCAUGAAACAAACAUUAUUUUACCUUAACCAUCAUAAUAUAAUCAAUAUAGUGCAUUGAGAUUCAAACUCAAUGUCUUAUCCAUAAUAUAGUCCAAUGCUAUUGUAUUUCAUUUUUACGCGAUGACAGUAGAUAUUAUUUUUUUAAAAAAAUUAUCAUGUGAUAACUGUAAAUACUAAAGGUUCUAGGUCAAUAUUGGUAAUAGAACAUUAUUGUACUGGAGAAUAUUGAUUGAAAUUUAUUUUCAAACUAUAAGAAAAUUAUAGAAAAGCAUACCUGAUUUUGCACCAAUAUUUUUUAUUGUAGUAGCCCUUUUUUUCUCGUAAUAAGAUUAAGUAAAACAUGAGCUGACGAAACACUAAAGCUUAAUAUUAGUUGGUUAGAGUUGUUGAGAUUUACCUUCCUUCUAUUUUGUAAUUUUCAUUAAUGGUAGAAUAUUUUUAUUUUUCCUUUUUUAGUCUAAGAAUAUUUUACAUUAUUUAUUUCCUUUUAAGUCUAGGGUUUAUUAAUUACAGAAUAUUUAGUCUUAUAGCUAUAAGAAAAAUAUCAUAUUUUCCUUAUUUAUUUUAUUUAGUUUCUUAUAAAUAGAGAUAUGCUCGACUAUUUGAAUCGAGGAAAAGAAUCAAUCAAGAGUUUUCAUUCAAUUUCUGUUUAAUUUUCUUUCCUGUCUCUUUCAUUCCAUAAUCCUCAUGGAUCUGUCAAUUUAUUGAAGCAAAACUAUCAAUUAUUUUUUAAUUCAUAGCUAUUUUCAACCUACUCUUAAUCCUUAUAUUUAUUUUUAACGUAGGGCUAUUUUUAACUCUUAUUUUAUUUUUAACAUAGGACUAUUUUUAAUUAUUUUUAAACUCAUAUUAUUUUAAAUCUUAUUUUUCAAACCAUGACAAGCAAAACUCUCUCUUUCAAUGCCCCCACAAACCUUUAUUGAUGAAAAUUAUCAAAUUUGGACAGUUAAGAUGAAAUCUUAUCUUGAAGCUUAUGAUUUGUGGGAAGUUGUAAAGGCAGAUAAACCUAUACAAUCACUCCCUGCAAAUUCUUUGAUACAAGAAUAAUCACGGAUAUGGUGCACGUUGGUCCCGAGACUUGGUGUGUGUAAUUAAAGUGUAGAAGAGGCCCAAAAUACAAUAAAAUCAGCCCAUAACUUACACUUGAUGGGCAAUCCACUCUUUGAAUGCCCUUUUGGUCAUUUUAACUUAUAUCUUGUAAUAGCUAUAUAAAGAAAAAUGUAGGGUUUUAUUUACUUAGUUUAUGAAUGAAGUUGUAAGUCUUACAAGACAAAGAAACACAAUUCCUCUUUCCUUGAGGCACCCAAAACCGAAAUUAGGGCUUAGACAAGUGUAGAAUCACUUGUGUUUGCAUUUGCUUGGAAACAUUAAUGCUUGGGAGGUGGAUUUCGAUCUUGUGUCUUUGUAAGAGAUAUGUUUAUUGUUUUGUGUAGUGUUAAGGGUCCAAGAGUUACCAUUCUUGGGUUCUUAACAUUAUACCUUCAUUUGGUCUAUCUAUCUAUCCUUUUUCUUUUGUAAUCUUGUAUCCGUUUUGUAUCUUGUAUUGUGAAGCCAUUUUUGUUGUUGUUGUUGUUGUUGUUGUUGUUCUCAUUGUUGUUUCAUCUUGUGUUUUUAACUUAGUUUAUUGUUGGCUGCAAAAGGUGUCAAACACCUAGUUAUAUUGUCCUUCUUGUAUUUCAUUCUUGAAUCCGAGAGUGGUCUUCAAAAGGGUCCUCGAUUCUUUAAAUUAGUGGACUGUUUUUGGAGUGUGUUUGGACUGUUUUGAGCCAAUUUCGUGUGUUCCUUGGUUUUCUUGUAUCAUUUGGUAUCAAAUACAUCUUUGAUUUUGUUUUUACAAUACUAAUCUUGGGCUUUCUUGCUAAGAAAAUAAAAAAAAGGAAAGAAAGAAAGACGUGUUCUUGAGCUUGAGAUCUUGGCCGAGAAGUUGAACUUCUUGUUGUUGUAUCUUGGCCAAAUGUUGUGUGUCUAAGACUAGGAUAUAUUUUUCUUUUGUUGUUGUUUCAAGUGUUAGUAUUCUUGUCCAUUAUCUAGAUUUGAGCUUUAAAAAAAUUGAUGUUGUUGUUGUAAACAAGACCAUGGCCGUGUGUUGAAGUUGUUGUUCUUGGACUUGUGGAAUUGUUGUUAUAGUCUUGGUUGGACGUUGUUGGUGUUGUUGUUGCUCUUAAUAAAGUUGUUGAGUUCUUGAAAUUCAUCACAAUCUUCACCCUUGCUAAAACCAAAAUACAACACCAAAAAGAACCUUGGCCGUAUGUUGACAAUAAUGUGUGUUGAUGUUUGCCGUGGGGUGGAAAUUAUUUUUGUUUUUUUGAUGUGUUCUUGAAGGUUGUUGUGGUGUUCGUCUUAUUCUUCAUCUCAUCUUACAACUUAAGACAACCAAAAGUGUAAUAGAGAUUCAAAAAGGUGAACCUACAAGUUGUAAAGUUGUUUGUGAGAAGACUUGAGCCAUCACUUUCUUGACUUGACAUCUACUUUUCAACCACUUUCUUUGUUUCAGGGACCUUAUUUUGUGGGAAUUGUACAAAGUCAAGUCUUGCCUUUUGAAGAUUCGACUUAAAGGAGAUUUAAGACAUAUACUUUUCCUCUAAAACCAACUGUUUCCAUUACAUAGUAACUAAAGUUUGUAAACUUCAAUUAGUGACUAAUUGUGGGGCCGUGACCAAUUGUAUGCUGCCACGUGACCCAAGUUACUGUUCACACGAAAAUUUUAAGCUUAAAAUUUGAUCUUCUAUUUCAUUGUGUUGUUUUUUUAGUUUCGUUUGUUAAUUCCAUUACUAACUUACAAACUAGUACUAGAAUGUAAGUUAGUUUUGAAACCGUCCUUCAUGUAUAUGUUCCUUUGUGUGUCUUAUUCUUUUGAGUCAUUGUAAUACUUGGUCCACCUCUAGAUUCCUCACAGAGUACAAGCAAGGUUACAACACUUGUGAGAUAAAAUUGUGAAAAAUCUGAGAGACAAAACAAUAGAGAGGAAGUGUGAGGACCAUUCUUGUACAACUAACUUAUUUGUUGUUUUGUAGGUAACUUCUUGGCAAUAAUGAAAACCAUUUUGGCCCUCCUAUAUGCUUUGUCCCGAGAUCUUGCUAAGGCAAAUGAGGGUUUUGAAAAAAUUAACUUGGAUGUGGUAACUGUGAGCGAGAGGUUAGAUCAAAUGGAGAGUCAAAGGAACUCUCGUGCUUUUACUCCCAAAACUUUACUUCCAAUGACCAAUCCUCCAAGACCACCACAUAAUGCCAUAAGCCAAGCUCCAAAUAGCCCUCAAAACCGAGAACAAGACAGACCAUUUUCCCCGCAAGUUGAUCAAGUCCAACAAAGAGGAAUUGGAAGCCAAUUUUCUCCCAUCCAAGCUCCACAACUGAAGCUCUACGUUACUAAAUCGAGUCUCUCAACCAAAACUUCCCUUUUAAAAAAUUGACACAUCCAAGAAGAGAAAUAUGGUAGAGAGAGACAUGGAGGACAUAGAGUCUACCACGGUGCUUAUAUGAUAGGAUACUUGAGUUAGAUAAGAUUGAAGUCCAAUCUCAAGAGGGAGAGGAAACCUAGGGUCAAAAUGAAGAUGUUGGAUCCAAGACUUGUUGUCAUUAUGCUCUCGAGUUUGGCUAGCUUGUGGACUGCUUUUGUGCAUUUUUUGUGGCUGUUUUUAGCUCUUCUUUGAUACAUCCCUUGUUAUUAUUGAGCUAUCAGGAUCUUCAUGUUUUGUGGACUGUUUUGAGUGGUUUCUUUUGAAGUGGCCAAUUGAACAAGAUGAAGGCGUGAAUUUAUGGGCAAAUUCCUCUCAAGAUGGAGAGGAUAAUACAAGAAUGAUCAUGGAUAUGGUGCGCAUUGGUCCCGAGACUUGGUGUGUGCAAUUGAAGUGUAGAAGAGGCCCAAAACACACCAAAAUCAGCCCAUAACUUUCACUUGAUGGGCAGUCCACUCUUUGAAGGCCCUUUUGGUCAUUUUAACUUAUAUCUUGUAAUAACUAUAUAAAGAACAAUGUAGGGUUUUAUUUACUUAGUUUAUGAAUUAAGUUGUAAGUCUUACAAUACAAAUAAACACAAUUCCUCUUUCCUUGAGGCACCCAAAACCGAAAUUAGGGCUUAGACAAGUGUAGAAUCACUUGUGUUUGCAUUUACUUGAAAACAUUGAUGCUUGGGAGGUGGAUUCCGAUCUUAUGUCUUUGUAAGAGAUAGGUUUAUUGUUGUGUGUAGUGUUAAGGGUCCAAGAAUUACCAUUUUUGUGUUCUUAACAUUAUACCUUCAUGUGGUCUAUCUAUCUAUCCCUUUUCUUUUGUAAUCCUGUAUUCGUUUUGUAUCUUGUAUUGUAAAGCCAUUUUUGUUGUUGUUCUUCUUUUUUUUCUUCUCAGUGUUGUUUCAUCUUGUGUUGUUAACUUAGUUUGUUUUUGGAUACAAAAGGUGUCAAACACCUAGAUAUAUUGUCCUUCUUGUAUUUCAUUCUUGAAUCCGAGAGUGGUCUUCAAAAGGGUCCUCGAUUCUUUAAAUUAGUGGACUAUUUUUUAAGUGUGUUUGGAUUGUUUUGAGCCAAUUCCGUGUGUUCCUUGGUUUUCUUGUAUCAUCCUUUUAUUUUCGAAAUCAAACUUCACUCAGAAGAGAAACCGAAAAAAUAUAAAGAAAAAAUUGUAAUUCAAAAUGCAGUUGCUGAUUCAAUCUUUUCUAAAAUUAUUGCAUGUGAAACAACAAAAGAAGCUUGGGAAAAACUUGAAAAGGAGUAUCAAGGAAGUGAGCAAGGCAGAUAAAAUCAAAUUUUGAAUUUGAAAAGAGAUUUUGAAUCUCUUAGGAUGUAAGAAGGUGAGACAAUUACUAAGUAUUCUGAGAGAAUUUCUUUGAUUAUCAAUAGAAUCAGGUUGCUUGGCGAAGAUUUUAAAGACAAUAGAAUAGUUGAAAAAAUUCUGGUGACUAUUCUAGAGAGAUUUGAGUCCCAAAUCUCCGCUUUGGAAGAGUCUAAAGAUUUCUCUGCCAUCUCUCUUGCUGAAUUGAUAAACGCUCUUCAAGCAUAAGAGCAAAGAAGAGUUUAUAGGAAAGACAAAGUUGUUGAAGAUAUUUUUUAUGUGAACCAUCAAAAAAGAAAAGUUGAUUAUCCACCUUGCAAAUAUUGUAAAAAGAAAAUACACUUACAAAAUUUUUGCUGGUGGAGAUCCGAUGCAUUAGAUGGAAGUUGUAAACAAAAAGAUCAUGUCACAAAAGUAUGCAAGUUCAAAGACACUCAAGAUAAUUCAAAAGCACUACUUGUGAAAGAAGAACAUGAAGAUGAGGAAAACCAACUUUAUUAGAUUGUUGUAACAAAAUUAAGAAAAAAUAUAUUUUUUUCAAGAAUAAUUAAGUAUUCAAACUCAAGUUGGAUACACCAACUUGAGUUUGAGGAGGAAUGUUGAGAUUUAUCUUCCUUCUAUUUUGUGAUUUUCACUAAUGGUAGAAUAUUUUUCUUUUUUCUUUUUUCUUUUUUUAGUCUAAGAAUAAUUUAUAUUAUUGAUUUCCUUUUAAGUCUAAGGUUUGUUAAUCACAGAAUAUUUAGUCUUAUAGCUAUAAGAAAAAUAUCAUAUUUUUCUUAUUUGUUUUAUUUAGUUUUUUAUAAAUAGAGAUGUACUCUUCUAUUUGAAUCAACGAAAAGAAUCAAUCUUGAGUUUCCAUUCAGUUUCUGUUUAAUUUCUUUCUUGUCUCUUUCAUUUUAUAACAAGAGUCUCGUGCUGAUAACGUGUGAUAAAAUAUAAAGUAGUCUCGUGCUGAAAACGUGUAAUAAAAUAUAAAAUUGAGAGACGAGAGAGAGCAAUUCUCAAGUGUCCUUUACAAGGAAGGAAAUCCUUCUAUUUAUAGGAAAAAUUAUCCAAAUAGAUAUCAAAUAAAUCUUGAAUUCUUGAUCGACAUUCACUAUAAUUGUAAAUACAUUCAUAAUAUUUUUUACUUUUUAAAAUUUCUCGUCAAUUUAAAACAAGAUAAAUAAACUGAAACGACAGAAGUAAUAAAUUGUUAAUUUAACUUAUCUAUAUUCUAUGCAGAUCAAUAUAAAAGAAAAUUUAAUAGCAGGUCAUACCUGAUUUACUAACCUCAGUACUUGUUAUGAAUAGUUAUCCGUAAUUAUCUUCUUAAGUGAUAAUAGUAUAAAAAUCGUUUCACACUAAUAAGAACACAAAAUUAUAGUUGAUGAGUAGUUGUAUGACUAGCAAGAUGCCACCUCAUCGACAAUUAUUUAAGUAAUUGAACUAAGUUCACUACUAAUGAAUAUAUCCAUCUUAUAAAUAGAGCACUAGCUGGGAUAUACAACAUUCACAGAUCAAAAUUGAAUCAUACAUCACACAUUUCAUCUUGUUUCAUACCAUAUAUAGUCAUAAUAGUCACUAUGGCAGAGGAGGAGAAACACCAUCACCACCUGUUCCACCACAAGGACAAGGCAGAAGAGGGCCCAGUCGACUACGAAAAGGAAAUCAAACAUCAUAAGCAUCUUGAACAAAUCGGUAAACUUGGCACUGCUGCUGCCGGUGCCUACGCCUUGGUAUGUAAAUAGCAUUUUCUUCUAUUCAAACAUGAUCAGAAUCAUUUGUUUUAGUUUAAACUAUAACCCAUCGAUCAUAAAAGAUGUCAUUUCCUGUAAAGUUUUUCUAUCGUGAACCUAUUUAGAUAGGUCACAUCAUGUGCCUAACUAAGAUCUAAAGACCAAUAAUUAAUAUACAUCCCUAAUAUUUGUUUAUUUUAUUUUGUUCGAUAUUCAUUUUAUAUUUGAUUUGUGGUCUAGUUAAUCAAGAUUCGUAUCGAAAAGUACAAUUUUGAAGGAUGAACUAAAAUGAGUUUAUUCUGAGAAUUCUUGAAAUCGAGAUCUCCAACAUAUCAAGGUUGGAAUAAUAGUUACUGUGUAUACGUACUCCCCAACUUCCGGUGAUCUAACGUACGUUUGUAGCUUCCACCAUUCGCUAUAAAUUUUUUCAUUGAGAGUAAAACGAGAAGUUUAAGUCAAAUUGCUAUUACUAAAUACAUAUAUAUAGAAACGUGUCAUUAUUUUUUGGACUAACUAAAAAAAAGAAUGUCACAUAAAUUGAAACAUAUAGAGUAAUUAAUCUUAUUAAUUAUGUUUCACUAUGUUUUCUCGUCAUACAGCAUGAGAAACAUGAGGCAAAGAAGGAUCCAGAGCAUGCACACAGACACAAGAUAGAGGAAGAGAUUGCAGCUGCUGCUGCUGUAGGAGCAGGUGGAUUUGCAUUCCAUGAACAUCAUGAGAAAAAAGAUGCCAAGAAAGAAGAGAAAAAAGCUGAGGGGGGACACCACCACCACCUCCACUUAUAAAUUGCUAUAUUUUGAUAAGAUUUUCUAAUAUUUGUUGUACGUGUGGGGAGCGUUGUCGUGGUUUCUUACCGUAAUGCUCUCUAGUAGAUAUGUUCAAGAAGAAGAAGUUCAGUGUGAUAUCAUUAGUAGAUGUGAAGAAGGUGAGGUGAAUGCAAAUCUUAUUCUAUUCUGUGUGAGGUUGAGAGGUCAGUGCGUGAUUUCCUAAAUAAUCAUGUGUGCGUUUGACUUCCCUUGUAAUUUUAUGUUGAACUACCUUGUAUUAUAUAGUGUUGCUUUUUAAGUUGUGUAAUAAAUGACUUUCCUUGUGAAUGGAUUUGUCUGCACUUUGCAUAUAUACUAUCAAUAUAAUGUACUAACUUAUUGGCCUUGGGAUAAGAUCACUCCAAACAAUCUUAACGGACCACAGAGUUUGAAAGAUUCAUAUUGUAGACUAUUUUAUGUCUGAUAAAAAUACAUUAUUGUUGGAAAGAAAAGCCAAUUUUAGUUUUGAAUUGCUUAGUAAUAUGUUCCAAAUGUCCUAAGCUCAUUCAAAAGAUACUUGAAAUUCAGAAAUGCCUCAACUAAAGUAAGGAGAUUAAGAAGAUAAUGUCGAUAAGAGUCACAGUUACUCACUUUGUUCAUCUUUACGUGUUCAUAUUAUUAAAAAUAAAUGUCCAAUCAUAUUUAGUUUGAAAAAUUAAUGAUAAUUAGUUACCUUGAACUUCUAAUAAGACAUUUGGGAUAAUGUACUUGAUUAAUUACCCCACUUUUGAGAAUAUACAAAGUAUGAAUGUCAUUAUUAUUGUAUACUUGAAACUCCGAAUGACUAAUAUACUUUAAUUUCAGCUAUGAAUAAUGAAAAGGAUCAUCCAAUAGCUGAUUACCAUUUUUUAAAAAUCCACUUUUAAUUUGAGAUUUUGAAUAAAAAGGGUCGAAAUCAAAGUAAUUGGUAGAAUGAAAGUUAGAAGUCCUGAUGACACCUAACAAGUGAAAAUAGAGAAGAUCUAGAUAUUAAUGAUCAAAUGAUGGGUCAUGGGAGGUACUCCCUCAAUUUUAUUUUACUUGCUAUUGUUUGACUUGACACGUUUAUUAAGAAAAUAUUACUAAUUUAAAAGUGUAUUUUACAAAAUUAACCCUAUUGAUGAUGUUUUGAAAUUCUAAAUCUAUUUUUUUAAUGUUUAAAAUUCUAAAUCUAACUAUUACUAUUUUUCUUAGUUAUUUAAUACUAGGGGUACGAUAAGAAAGAAGUAAUAAAACAAUUCUUGAUUUGUGAAAAUGAAUAAACAAUUUGAAACAAAUAUAUUUAGAAAGAUGGUAGAGUAAAAUGAAACGAAGGGAGUAUCAUUUAUAACCUAAAUGACCGUUGUAUGGUUAAUUAUUCUCUAUUAUUGAGGUUGAGAUUAGUUAAGACAUUACCAUAUAAUUUAGUUCAUUUCUCAACAUUAAAGAAGACAUUACCAUAUAAUUUAGUUCAUUUCUCAACAUUAAAGAAGACAGAGAUAUAAUCCCUCCACUCUGAACGUAAACUACUUUAUGUCAUUUACAGUUCCAACUUGUCAUAAAGUGCCACAUUCUCCUAAUCAAAUUCCAGCAUUAAAUAUGAAAAAAAAUCCUCAUAUAUAUGAACCACUUUGCUUUUUAAUAAAUCUUACCUAAUGCAAAUUUAAAUUAGUUGAGGUCGUAUAAAUAAACUUGAGAAGACAAUACAAGGAAACAAUUGAUAAAUCAUAUUAACUUUGCAAUCCAAUGAUUCAUUUAGCUCGAGUGAUGAGAGAAAGUAAAUCUCCAGUCUCCACGAAGUGAAUUAUUUGGCUUAAUCACGACAUAAAUUGCAAAGUAUUAACCUAUUGUCCAUCUAGCCUUUUAGAGUUUAGACUGGGCUGGUGAACUAUGGCAAAUGGCAGCACUUGAUAUUUGUUAAGAUUUCUCCUAGUUUACGAAUCUUUAGAUGCUUAUUCAGUCCUCACUUUUAUCUUUUUUUCUUCUUUAUUUUGGUUUCACUUAAUCAUCACGAAGAUAUCAACAAUAUGAGAAAGCAAGAAAAGUAUAAGUCGAAGGACCCUUCUAACUCAUUUUAGUUUGAAAGGGUUAGUGUUUAGCUCAUUCAAUAAUUCAAUCCAUCUCGAUUCAAUCAAAUUUACUCUGUCUAAUGUUGCACCUAUUUGGGAUUAGAAUAUAACCCUAGUUAAACCAUGAGACACACUUUAUUGAAAAAUUCUUCUUUUCUAUAUGUUAUAAAUAGUUCAAACAGUGGAGGUAUCAGAAUUUAAGGUUCGUGAGUGCUUAAAAAAAUUAAAAGCAGAAAAAAAAUAAAAAGAUCACCUCAAUGAGGUUUGAACCCAAGGCACCCCUUCCAAUGAAGAUCAUUAAGAUCAACUCAAAUGCCAAUAAACCCAACAAAUUUUUUGUUAUAAUAGGUGCUUUUACAUGUUUUAUAAAUAUUUUCAUAUAUUUUCAUAAUUUUGUUCAGAAUUAAAUAAUUUAAUUACAAGAAAAUAAAUAAAGAAUUUAAAAUGUGAUAAGAAUUGAUCGGACUAAAUUAUAACACACUCAUCACUUAGCUCACACCACCUCAAUGGCUCAAUCUAAAUAACUUUCUACAGAGUUGGACAAUAGCUCAUUUAUUGAUUUAUUCUCCCAACUUCAUCCAUCAAUAAUUUAGUUUAAAUCACUCAUUUUUCAUCCUUAUAUUUUCUUAAGCGUUUAAAAUAUAAAUUUACAACUAAUUAUUUUUUAGUUUUUAUAAUUAAAAAUGGUUAUAUUAUAAAACUUUAGAAAUUCUACACGUAAAACUCCAAAAUAUUACUACCAUGUUAUGAAACUUGAAUCUCUAGGAUAAUAGUUUUUUCUUAAGAAAAACAUAAUCGAAAAAUGACCCGUCUAUUCCUACCUAAAAAAACAAGACCUUGCCGACACGUCGUAUUAAUUAAUGGAGGGGGCCAUGAUGACGAAAGGUGCAACUAAUAAUUCAAAGGACCAUUUCACUCUAUCUGCUAAACAAGUGAAUUCCCGUAAUACCUUUUCCAUUUUAAUUCGUCCCUAAAAAAAANNNNNNNNNNNNNNNNNNNNNNNNNNNNNNNNNNNNNNNNNNNNUAUCUUUUACAUAUUAAUUCCAUCAUAAAAAAAAAAAAAAAAAAAUAAAAAAAAUCUAUCUUAUUAUAAUAAAAAAAUAAUUGAAAAAUUAUUUGUCGUUCUUCAUAAAAUUUUUACGAUCACAUAAACGUUCAAGAAUUAUUUUAGGUCAUAACCUUUUUCUAAAAAAAUAAAAUUUAAAUAUUAUAUUAAAUCCAACAAUUUCAUACAAAAUAAGAGACAUUCGCAUCAACAUGCCCACCACCCACUACUUGUCGACACUCAUAAGUAAAUAUCUCCAUCCAAUUAGACUAGUGUUUGUGCGGAUUCCACACGGGAUAUUCUUCCAUUCUUUAUCCUAACUAGCUACUAUUAUCUACUUUAUUAAAAUAAUUAUAAUAACCACAAUCUUUUUCUCUUUUUUCUUUUGAAUAUUAGCUCUUCAUAGAAAACAAAAAAUAAAAAUCAGAAUUACUAUGUAUCCAUCUAUCACUUUCUCUAGACGCCACAUAUACAUACAUGUGCCAUCCUGCGACUUGAUUAAAAAAGGUUUAUCUCCUUAAAAUUUUCAUAGAAGAUAUUUUAGAAAAAAACAAAUUGAAAAUCAACCUAAUUUUUUUUACCUUAAAUAGUUCACUCUUGUUUUUUAAAGCUUCAUUAAUUAAUUCUUCUCUCUUUUUCUUCUUCUUCUUCUUAUUUUUUUUUUUUUUUGGUUAAAGCAUGUUUUGAGAUUUUAUUCAUGAAUCACUAGUGUUACUAUAUGUUUUACUUUUGACAUAUAUCCCGUGUAAUAUUUUCCACACUCUAAAUAUGUAAUUCCCUUUUCCUUUAACGUAUAGGUAUAGUACAAAGGACUGUUAUCUAGCUAGGUGGAUUCCUGUUUUGUCUAAUUUGAAAAAUGCUAGUAUAAAGAUAUCACUAAAUAACUGGAGAUCGACUGAUCGAGAACGAGACAAAGAAGGGUCAAUUUAGUGGUUAUGUGAAUAUCAUUUUUCGCAAACAUUUUCUUUAACAAAUCUUUGUUCGACGUUUGUCCCUUAAUUUGUGAUAUUCGAUUAGAAAAAACACAACCUUGUUAAUUUCUGUGUAUGUUUAUUUAACAGUUGAAAGUACAACACGUUAACCCAAAAAAAGAAAAAAGAAAAAAGAAAGUACAACACGUAGGUCGAAAGACAUUUUUCUUUCCAUGUUUUUUUUUUCUGUGUAAGUUAGUUUCAAGCCAUUAGUUGAAUUUCUAUUUUAUUUUUGAUUACAAAUUUCGUGUUUAAACUUUCAAAAUAUGAAAAAAUAAAUUUGUCUGUUUUGUUUUUUUUGGAGAGGGGUGGGGGUGCUGGAAGUUCUGGUUUAUCAGCAUGAAUUGUAUUGUGGUGAGAUGAUUGAGAUCCAUUCAUCCUUGGCUAAAAGUCUCGAAUUUAACUAUUUAUAUGAAAAAAUUUAUAUUAAGAGUGUCACCCUAGAAAUGGGCCGCUCAAGAAUACAAAUUCGGAUUAAUCAAAUUCCAACGCAAGUAACAAACACCGGAUAAAAGGCAAGGCUAGCAUGAAUGCAAAGAACUAUAUUAGAGUAAAUAUACCAAAAAAAGUUUGCCGACACCCCUCAAAUUUCAACAGAUUCCAAAAUAUGGGUCCUAAUCAUAAUGCCGACCCUAUGUAUCUAUACUUUAAUUUCGUAUGGUCAAGAGAAAAUUAGGUACUAUAUCAAACAUUUCAUGUGGAGAGGGGUUGGGGAUUUAGGUUUCAAACAUAAUCAAUCAACAUGUGAUUUCCAACUUUUUCUUGUAGCUUUUAAUGGGGUCUUAAAGAUAACGUGUCAUUGUAAUUGAAAGAUUACAAUUCUAUAAAACGAUUUGUGUUGCUCUUUUCUUUCUUAAUAACAAAGUGAUGUUUAGAUUAACUUUCAUUGAUAGUGGUUGUGUUCAGCUUAUAUUAGACCUUAGUCGUGUAUUAACGUUAACAAAACAAAAUUUAUAAGUCACAUGUUAAUACAUACGCUAAUUAUAACAAGGACUACCUGAAAUCUAAAUAAAAUAAUUAACAAAACGCACACUUGAUCAUCAAAAUGUAUAACAAAUGCUCGGGAUACACGUGUAUUUAUAAAAAAAUAAAUUUUUGAUUCAACUCAACACUAAAAUUUAACUCACGAGGAGGAUUAACAAAAUUUAUAUAAAGAUUUCAUAAUUUCUUCGCCAUACGGACGUGGGACUUCAACAAUAUUAAUUGCAUAAUCGAAAUAGUGCUCCAUUGGAAUUGUAACACGUGUAGCCUUCUUUCGUUGCUAAUAGCUAUCCCGUUCUGUCACUUCCUUUUCUCAAGUUAAGAGGCAUUAACUUGUUCAUAUGUUUACUCCCUCUCUUUCAAUUUGUUUUAUUUAGUCUUUGCAACUGUCAAAAAAUAUAAUUAAUUAACAGCAUAAGAGGCAUUAACUUGUUCAUAUGUUUACUCCCUCUCUUUCAAUUUGUUUUAUUUAGUCUUGCAACUGUCAGAAAAUAUAAUUAAUUAGCAGCAUAAGAGGUAUUAACUUGUUCAUAUGUUUACUCCCUCUCUUUAAAUUUGAUUGUCUGAAUUUGAUUUGAUUCAAGCAGAUUCGGCUUAAGCAAAUCCGUGUCCUAAGGCAAAAAUCAAACGGAGGCCUUACGAUUUUAAGAAAAAAUAAUUAUUUUUAUAAUAUCUAUUUUUAAAAUUAUAUAAUCGUAUUUAAUAAUUCAUUUUGAAUCAAUAAUAUAGUCAAUGCAUUAAAAUGUUUUUACUAUAUCAAACUCUUAAAUUUUUUUUAUAUAAAAAGUUUCUUUUUUCUAUAAAUAGUAUUUAAUAUAUUUCUUAAAAUUUGUAUUUUAUUAUUACUAAAAUAAAAAAAAAUGAGGCCACUUAAAUUUUGGGGGCCUUAGGCGGCUGCUUUUUCUCCGAAAGGGUUGAGCUGCCCCUAGAUUCAAAAUUUUAAAAAUAAAAAUAAAAAAAAACUUUUGAGUCUUAUUGUGUAAACUAAAUAUAUGUAAAAUGUAUCAAUAUAGUUUGAUCUUGUAGUCUUAAAGUAGAAAACUAUAGUAAAAAAGUUGUCAUAGAGAAUUCAUGGAAUAAUAUGUAUAGGUAGUUAAUGAUAUCAAAAUAGUUUGAUCUUGUAGUCUUAAAGUUAAAGUAGAAAACUGUAACCAAAAAGUUGUCAUAGAGAAUUCAUGGAAUAAUAUGUAUACGUAGUUAAUGACAUACUUAAUCACGGGGGAAAAACAAAACAAAAGUUUGUUCUCAGUAAACAAGAAAAAUGAAUAAUGCGAGUAUCUUUUUGAUUUACGCUGACUAUGACAAUGGAGUUAAGCUUAGGUCGAUUAUUUUUGCCUUGGACAUUGAAAAUCCACGUAACAAACUUCCAUCAUGAACAUUGGAUAAGAACUCGUACACGUUCAUUGGAGAAACUAAUUAAUUGGUCCCCACUUCUCCUCACAUAGUCCAACACUUAUAAAUACCACUAAAUAUUAAGAAGAAAAAAACAUCCCAAGUAUUUUUUACAACUUUGUUCUUCUUACAAAAGUAAUUUACACCGUCACUCAAAUUAUCACCCAAAAACAUCAUGGCUGAAGAGAAGAAACACCACUUUGGUGGUCUCUUCCACCACCACAAGGACAAGGAGGAAGACACCCCCGUCGAGAAAACUACCUAUGGUGAAACAACCUAUGGAGAUAGUGAAAAAACUAGCUCUGGUGGUGAUAAUACAUAUGGCGAAAAAACUAGUGCCUAUGGAGAUAAUACAUAUGGAGAAAAAACUAGCACCUAUGGAGAUAACACUACAUAUGGUGAGAAAACUAGUUAUGGUGAUAAUACAUAUGGUGAAAAAACUAGCACCUACGGAGGAGAUAACACGUAUGGAGGUGAGAAAACUAGUUAUAGUGAUAAUACAUAUGGCGAAAAACCUAGCACCUACGGAGGAGAUAACACGUAUGGAGGUGAGAAAACUAGCUAUGGUGGAGGAGAUACGUAUGGAGAUAACAAAUAUGGUGAGAAAACCAGCACCUAUGGUGAGAAUACAUAUGGAGAGAAAACUAGUUAUGGUGGAACUGAGGAAGGUGGCUAUGGUGGAGGAGCUGCUGCCUAUUCAUCUGAGACUACUAAUUAUGAAGACACCACUGAAACCAAAACUGCUGAGGAUUAUAAGGAAGAGAAAAAACACCACAAGCAUCUUGAACAUGUCGGAGAACUCGGUGCCGUUGCCGCUGGCGCCUUUGCUUUGGUAAAUAAUUUUCCUAACAAUUAAUACGCCUAUGAUAGUAUUUACUGUGUGAGCAAAAUAUCCUUAAGGACAUUACUUUUCUUGACACACCAUAACCUAAAUUCUAUGUAUUCUCCAUAUGUAGUAGUGAUUUUUGCAACAAAAAUUUGCAAGAUAUACUAAUCAUGCAUCUAAAAGAUCACUAGUACGUGUAAUUGCCUAUGAUAAGUGAAAUUAAUAAUUCAAGACAUGUAAUGGUGACCACAUUUUUAAUUACUUUAAUACGGCCGGGUCUAACUUUUCCUUUUGAUGAUCACUUAAUUUCUUCCAUUAAUCUUUUUGGUGUGAAUGAAUGUUUCAGCAUGAGAAGCACAAGAUAGAGAAGGACCCAGAGAACGCACACAGGCACAAGAUAGAGGAAGGAAUAGCAGCAGCAGCCGCAAUUGGGUCAGGUGGAUUUGCAUUCCAUGAGCAUCAUGAGAAAAAGGAAGCAAAGGAAGAACAAGAGGAAGCUGAGGGAAAGAAGAAACAUCAUUUCUUCUAAUUUUCUCUCAUCAUAGCAUUUCUUUUCUUCCAAAAUAUAUGAUGUUAUGAGCUUUGUGUGCUUGCUCUAUCCUUGUUUGUUAUAUUGAGCACCUAAAUAAUGUGUAUGUGCGUUACAGUCUUGUGUUUGAUCAUGUAAGCGUUACUGGUAAAUUUGCCGUUUUAAGUCAUGUACAUGCAUGUUCUGCACUUUGGAGUGCGAAUAAAAUUAUACCUGUUAUAAAUAUAUUAUACUUUACUAUACAUAGUGAAUGUCUACUUUAUCAUAUAUAGUGAAUAUCUAUUCAUGAAAAAGUUAGAAACCCAAGGUGAGUUUUCCCUAUAAAUAAAAGGAUUUUCCCUUCAUUGUAAUAAAACUCCUCAGGGAUCCCAUGAGAAAUAAAGAAGUCUCCUCUCUUCUCUUUUCAUUCUUCUUCUUCUUUGCUUUAUAUUUCAUAAUACAUUAUUAGCACGAGACUGCCAAACAAGGUGAGAUUAUAAAUCUAAAGGCAAUUUUAAGGUUAGUAAUUCCUUUUGUAAUUUGUCUUUUGCUACUAAUGAUAUAAUUAUUGUUGGAUUUGAAAAACAAAAGUGAUUUGGAAUCACUUAUGCUUUAAAAAAUAUGAUGAUUAAUUUAAGUCUCAUCUCAUUAAGAGGGUAAGACAUUGGGUUAAAAGUUUCAAUGCACCAUGAUGAUAAGAUGUUGGUUCAAUUCCCACUGAGUUAUGCCUAAGAUGUAUUUAUAUGUAUAAGAAGUUGAGUUUGAAUCUCAAUGCACCAUAUUAAUGAUAUUAUGAUGGCUAAGGCAAAAAUAAUAUGCAUUUGAUGAAAAUUCAUGAAACUUGUCCAUUGAAUAUGCUUCAUUCCAUGAAGUGAAUGUGAUAGCAAUAUAUGAUAUACUUUGAAAGAUAUAUAUGCCUCGAUGUGCUCCUGAUGUAGCAAUAUCAUGAAAGAGGUUACAAGCUAUUGGAAUUUGAUAGACUUAAGGCACGAUUGUAUUCCAUUCCUGGGGAAUGAGAAGUUUAUUAAUACAAACGUGCACUUGAUUAUAUGAUGGUAUCACAACUCACCUCCAAAAAAGGCUGAAUGAUUGAGAAGAGUUAUUUUGAAAUCUACUUCUAAAGUAGUAAAUUUGAAAUUUAUUCAUGUAAUAGUAAAUCUAAGAUUUAUUAAAGAAAAAAAUAAUACAUGUCAUGGUAAACUUAUGUUUACUACUAUAAAUGCAUUCAUAAGGUUAUAUGAACGAUUGUGACAUCUUGAAGAUGUGCAUAUCUAGUAUUAGACAUGCAUUGAAGAACUAGAAGAUUCUUCACGAAUUAUUUAUGUCACUUGUUCUCAUGAUAAGUUGGUUGGACCAACUAAUAUUGGGAUUAGAUCCCUUAAAAUCUGAAAAGUAUAAAAGGUGAAUAAGGGCCCGUUCUCCUAUCACGUGAUAUGUUGAAAAGAUGCAUCAAUAAGAUGAUUACAUGUACAUUUUUUGUCAACCUGCAGUUUGACAUUCAUAAAGUUGCUUGCUCAAUAAAAUUGAGUUAAGAGCAGAACUUUCAGAUUGUGUAAUCAAGGUAAUUCAUCUUGAUAAUGCUAAUUAAGUUGGUGUUAAAUGCCUUCGAUAAAUAGUUGAAUCAUUGCUUAUGAGAACAAAGACACAUGUGUUGGUCUGAAGUAUGAUAUAUUGCAUAUAAUAACACUUGUUUGCAUUAGACCAAAAAUUAUUAUUAAUACUUCCCUCUCAAUUGGUUCAAGGUCAGGAAUCAAUUAUUCUAUCUAGUAGUUUUGAUGUGUGGUAUUUGAUAAAUGAAUAUAUCAUAAUGCAUAAAGAUGGAUUCCUCAAAGAAGAUAGAUGAUAUAUGUUAGUUUUUCUAACAUAAGGGGGAGAUUAUAAACAACUAUGAAAUAUGUUAGAAAUUAUCAUCAAAUCCUUAUUCAAAAGACAAUUCAAGUCAAAUGUCGAAAGCAUAUCAUAUUAAGCUGCAAGUGCUCUUAUUUUGUGUUCCUAAAGGAUAAAGUCUAUGCAUGCGUGAAACGUGGUAGACCAAUUGGUUCCUAAUGAAAUAAUCCUUGAAAAGGAUAAGGAGAAAAUGAUCAUAAUAAGAAGGCAAUAUGAUCUUGAAGAGCCUACGACAUAACACUUCAUGAAACCUUAUGAGAAGUUCAGGUACCUGAAAAUAAUGAAGUGAUGAGAUCUCAAAAUUUAUGUCGCAUUGUGAAUUGAUAUAAAAUGAUAUAUCAUUAUUAAUAUUUUUGAUAAAAUAUUAGCCUAAUAUUAAAAAAGAUUACGAGGAUUUGAAUUCUGUGUUUAUUGAAGCAUGCUGAUGUAAAAAAUAUCUAUUAAGUGGCAUGAAAGGAUGCAUCUUGAUUAGCAUAAAAACUUAUUUGAUUUACAGCUCAGACACUUGAAAAUGUCACACAUGAUAUGUUGACUAUUGUCACUUGACAAAAUUUAUAUGAAAAGUUUGAGGAUUCAAAAUGUUUUUGAAGCAUAUAAAAGUUUCUGGGAAACUUAUUUAUAUAUAAUCCUUAUAUAAAAAUUGUUGGAACUCUUGGAGAGUUUUCAAAGCAAUAAAUUAUUUGCUGAAAUGAGAAAUAUACCAAUUUGAAUUGGUUAUAAAGUACCAUAUCUUAGUGCAAUUAGUGCACUCAUGUAUCUUGCAAAUAAUACAAGAUCCGAUAUAACCUUUUUGGUCAAUUUGUUAGCAAGGUAUAGUUCUGCUCCUACUGGGAGACAUUAAAAUUGGAUAAAACACAUGCUCUUAUUUUAUUCUAAAGAUUGCAGUCCUGAUCUUCUUGAUUAUGCUGAUGCUGGGUAUUUAUUUAGUCCGCAUAAAUAUCGGUCUCAAAUAAGCUAUAUGUUCACAUGUGGGGAUACUGUUAUAUCUUGGAGAUAUUCAAAGUAGUCUUUGUAGCCACUUUAUCAAAUCAUGCUGAGAUAAUAGCUAUUAAUGAAGCAAGUCGAGAAUGAGUAUGGUUGAGAUUCAUGAUACAUCUCAUUUGAGAAAAAUAUGGUGUUAAAUGUGAUAAUGUACCCAUAAUUUUAUACGGAGAUAAUGCAGCAUGUAUAGCACAACUUAAGGAAGGAUUCAUAAAAGGAGGUAGAACGAAACACACUUUAUCAAAGCUUUUAUACAUACACGAGAUGCAACAGAAUGAUGAUAUGUAACACCCCACAUUUUGAACUAGAAUGAAAAUUCGUCAUUCAUAUGCGUAGAUGUUCCAAAGCCUUGAAUCCUAUGUAAAUUUGGUGUGUUAAUCAAUUAUGUAGUGUAGGAAUCUAUUUGAGCAUGAAUUAAGAUCAUAUAGGUCCCCUAACUCAAGGACAAGUUGAAAGCUUUCCUAUCGUUCAAGUUUUAGUGAGCGUCAAAACUUGGGUUAGCUUAAAUCAACCAUAACUUCUUGUGUAUAUCUAAUUAGAGGACCUACUAUAUAUCAAAUAAAAUAUCUUUAUAUUAUAUUUCCAACGAUACCAAUUUCGAUAAAAUCCGACAUCGGAGCAAAGAGUUAUGCCCAUUUUACUCUAGUAUGUUAGCCUAGAAAACUGACUAACGACAUUUUGUGAUAAGUUAUCACAAGUGUGACGAUUUAUCACAAAUGUCAUCAGCCUUAGGGAGAAAUCCACCUCAAUGAAGACAUUUUGUGAUAAGUUAUCACAAGUGUGAUGACUUAUCACAAAUGUCAUUAGCCUUAGGCAGAAAUCCAUCAAUUCCAGCCCCCUAGUGACGAUAUUUGUGACAACUUAUCACAAGUCUGACGGCUUAUCACAAAUGUCGUCAGCCUUAGAUUUUCAGUAAUUGGAAAAUGGUUUAGUAAGGGUAUUUUGGUAUUUUCCUUCACCUCCCAAGACUUAUAAACCUCAAGGUACGUAACUUUCUCCUAUUUUUCUUCAGUUAAACAUCUCAAAAAUCCUCUCUUACACUUUCAACCACAAGAUUAGGGUUUUUAUUAAAAUCAUCUCCCAAAAGAAAAAUUCAAGCCCUUUUUCCAAGAUAAUCAAGAAUUAAGUUUCUCAAUCCAAGAACUCUCUAGAAACUCAUCAAAGUUUCCUUUCUAAGGUAUGUGUAGUGUUCAUCUAUGGAUCCUUUUUAUCCAUGGAGCUUAAGAAUCAUGUUUUAAAUUAUAUAUUAUGAUUUUCAUGUUGUGUUAUGACUAUAUUCAUAUUGAUGAUUGUUGUUUGGAUUCAAGGUUGUAUCUUGAUGUGUUUUUCAUAAAGCAUGUGAGUAGGUUAGUUGAAACUCAUGAAUUUUGGAUGGAUUAGGAUUGUCAAAUUGAGAAGUACACCUAUGCCCAAAGUUGUGCAUAUAAGGUGUUUGAUAAAAUGCCAAGAAUGAUAGAAUCCAUGUUUUUAUGACUUAAUAGUGCUUAAAUUACAGGUCCAUGUUCUAUUCCUUAUGUUUCCACAUGAAGUCCAUGUUAUUGAUAUGUGUUGUUGUUAUGAGUUGUUAUUAUGAUAUGAAAUGUCCAUGAUAUUGAGGUAUGCAAGUAUACCCAUGUUAUAUGUAUUCCCUUUCAUAUAUAAGGUGUUGAGAAUCAUAUGUAGUAUGAAAUCCCCUACUUAAUAUUUUGAAUUGUGGAUGUUAUUCCUAUGAUCAAGAAGUAUCAUGUGUGUCAGCUUUCUUCCAUCGAGUCCUAGGGGGUACUUGUACCCAAAAAAUAUAACUGUGUACCUAGAGCUGAGUUAGUCUCAAGAUAAUCUCAGUCGUGCUAUGAUCAGUAGAGCUCAAUCAGUUAUAGAAUUCAAAACUCUCAGAGAGUUAUACAAUUUAAGAAAUCUCAGUAAUCUAAGUAUCGUUAUCAUUCUAUCUCCAGUUCAGUACUCAGCUCAUAUCUCAGUAGCAUUCAAGAAGUCAAUUCAGAACUUAGUAUCAUUCAGUCAGAUAGUAGAAUUCAGACGUAUUCCGUCAGAUAACGAAAUCAAGUGAACUCAGCCAGAUCAAUCAAGUAAGAUAAUUAGUAACAAUAUUCAGUUCAGUCUAAGUUCAGUUAAGGAUCAGUUUAAAGUCUUUCAGUUGGGAGUAGGAACUAGCACCGAGCGAGUGCAGGAUGGCGGGUUUCCCCGUUAGAGAGGCGAAGUCAUUAGCAACAAUACCUGUACUCCAGAACUAUAUAGCCAGUGCAGGAUGAGGAGUCGCCCAUCGGAUAAAGGCUUGACUACCUGCAGGAGUCUAUAUAGCCUUAGGCUGACUUUCUCUUGAGGGUCACCUGUUAGAGAGGCUUGACCAGAGGGGUCUUUACCUGUGGCUUGGUAUUGACAACCUUCCAGCUGGGGUUAUAGGUUGGACCCCACUAGUUUAGACUCGGGGCAUAUCGGUUAAGUGAGAACUCCCACAGUUAUAGUUUUAGUAUCAGUCUUCAGAGUAGAACUCAAAAAUCAGGACUGUCAGAUACAAUCAUUAAUCUUAGUAGGAAACUCGGAUAGUUCCAAAGAUUCAUAGACCACCCGCUAGAUAGGCUUGGUAUAACAUAAAGUUAUUCAGUAUUAAUUCUUAUAGAGGUCACCCAUCAGAUAGGCUUGAUCUCAGUCUCAGAUUCAGUUGAGUAUUCUCAAUAUCAGUUCCAGAGAUUACCCAUUAGUUAGGCCUGAUCUCAAGCUUAGUCACUCUUAAUCAUUAUUAGAAGAUUUGUACUAUCAGAUACAGCCGCUCAGUAUCAGUUAUAUUUGUUAGGCCGAUCAUCACAAUUAUAUCAGUUAGAUCAGUCAUCAUAGCUUACGUUAUCAGUAUUCAGUUUCAGGAUUGUUAGACACAGUCAAUCAGACCAGUUCUUCAUAAUGCGAACUAUUAGAAAUAGUCAUUCAUCUAUUCAGUAUCUCAGUAUCAGUAAACUCAUGUUGUCAGCAUUCCGACUCAGUAGUCAGUAUCACCACGAGUUUAGUUAUAGUUACUUAUACAUGUAUGUAUUCUCACGUUUAUAUUGGUCAGCAUUGUUCAUGCAUAUAAACCCUUUGCAUUUAGCCUACCUCACUCGUAUACUCAGUAUAUUUAGACGUAUUGACACAUUCGCGCUAUGGUGUUUUAUUUUAUGUCAUAGGUUUAGAGGCACGAGUUCCAAAGCAAUAGUAGUAUUAUAGAUUUCAACAGUCAGAGUUAGAAGUGAUUCCUUAUCCUUCGAGGACAUGAUUAUUUCUCUAUCUUCUCAUUGAUUAGUUCAUUAGUCGGAGUUAUUUGGGGACAUGUCCCAUCAGCUCCUUAUUCAGAUUAUUUAGACAGUAAAGGCUUUCAGACUAGAUAUAGUUUAGAUUAUAGACUAGAUUCAGACUUCAGUAUUUCGGUUUUGUUUUGGUAGUAUGAUACCACUUUAUUUAGACAGUGUUAUUAUUCAGAUUAUGUUUAGUAUUGAACCUUAUGGCCUUUCAGUUUAUAUUUCCGUAUUUAUAUUCAUAUAUUAUGCAGUGUACAUGUAUAGAUAUCAGUCAUGGUUUAGCUUGUGGUCCCUCGGGGUCAUGAGCAUUGUAUAGCUUUUCGGUUAAAAAAAUCGGGGUGUUACAUGAUAUUAAUGUGCAUCAGAUUCGUUCAAGUGACAAUGUGGCUGAUUUUUUCACCAAAUCUCCUUCAAUUUCAAGUUUCAAGAAAAUGGUUCACAAGAUCAGGAUGCAAAACCUUAAGGAUAUUCUUAUUAGGGGGAGCUAAUACGUGCUGUACUCUUUUUCCCUUACAAGGAUUUGUCCCUCUGGGUUUUUCUUGUAAGAUUUUUAAUGAGGCAGCCUAUAUGCGUAUUGUUAGAAAUGUGUACGCUUUUUUCUUCAAUAGAUUUUUUUCCUACAGGGUUUUUUCUAGUAAGGUUUUAACGAGGCACAUUGUCUAUUAAUUAGACAUUCAAGGGGGAGUGUUAUAAAUAUAUUACCAUAAAUAGUGAAUGUCUACUUUACCAUACAUAGUGAAUGUCUACUUUAUCAUAUAUAGUGAAUAUCUCUUUAUAGAAAAGUUAGAAACCCCAAGGUUAGUUUUUCCCUAUCAAUAAAGGAGUUUUCCCAUCAUUGUAAUAAAACUCUUCAAGAAUCCCCAUGAGAAAUAAAGAAGUCUCCUCUCUUCUAUCUCUAUUCUUCUUGUGUUUAAUUUAUAUUUCAUAACAAUACCUACAUUUUAAUACAAUGUUGUUUAUAUUAAUAUUUGUUUCAAUUACUCAUUUAUAAAAGAAAAAGUGAAAUUUCUAUCUUUUAAGCAAGUAAACAUUGCAAAAAAGCAUUUUUCUCUUGUUCCAUUUAUCCUUUGCGCAAAUGAUUUCUGUAAAUAGUGGAGUGGGAUGUACAUUACGUUGGGAAUUAUUUGAUUCAAUUUAUGUGGCAUAUUUUACUUUUUUAAGUUCAAAUAAGAUAAGUUUGACCAUGUAUUUGAAUAUGAAAUCUUCAAUUAUUUGAAAUAAAAUUUAUAUAUUUGAAACUAUGUACUAUAUUGACGAUUCAAAAUAUUUGAAACACAUAAGAACAUACGGUCAAAUAUAGAUAUGUUUAAAUUUUUAAAAACAAAAAGUGACAUAUAAACUAAAACAAAAGAAACAAAAAUAAUUAAAAAAGGACUGACAUUGUCUAAAAAUAAAUUAUAUGUAAUACCCCGUAUUUUCUUAGCUCAUUUUAAUUCUCAGUACAUGAGUUAUUCAAUAUAAAAUUUUUGAAGUGCUCAAUAUUUUUCAGGGAGCAUACCAAUGCGUAGGAAAUUCAGCCAGCUUUUUGACGAUAUAAAAUUCGCCCAAAUCCGAUACCCGAGCAAAGAGUUAGAGCAAUUUUAGUAAAGCAGUGUGCCAACUGGCACUUCAGCGCAUUGCGGAGCUAGGAAAAAUGGCAAUUUUCAAAUCCAGUGAGCCUCCCCAAUCAUGGCGUGUUGCGCCAAGCAAAAUUUUAAGAAUUGUCCUUUUCCAGUGUUCCAACGCGAUCCCACCGUAUCACGAUGAACCCCAAAUUCGUAUUCAGUAUAACUUUACGAAUUCACCGCGUCGCGCCACCAACCACAUUCCCAGUUGUCAAUUUCCAGUGACACGGUGCAAUAGCGCCGCGUCGCGCCAAGGGCCCAGUUCAAAAAAAUUUGAUGAAAAUUAAAACUUUCAUCCAGGGUUAAAUUAGUCUUUUCCCAUGAUUUUUAUAUGCUCAGAUAUAAGAUUUAAUCCCUAAAAAUAUUUUAAAGUCAUUCUUUAAUCAAUUUUACCCAAAUUAAAGUCAUUCUCUCUCAAAGGGAAAAAUCCAAACUUCAAGAAAACAAGAGCAAAACUCAAGAAAUUCCUCCAAGAACUCCAAGAGCUUAUCGAUCCAAGUAUGUUUGGUGUUCAUCUAUGGGUACCUUUCACCCAUAGAGUCCAAGAAUCCCUUUUUAAAAACUAUAAUUUUAUGGAAUUGUGAAUUCCCAUAUUUGAAAUUGAUUGUAUGCAUAUCUAUAAUGUUAAUUAGGUUUUCAAUCCAUGAUUAUUAUAAGAUUCAUGAAAUUUAAAAUAGUUUAUGUGAUGAAUUAUGUGAAUUUCAUGCUAAACCAUUGAAUUUGCAAUUUAGUAUUGUAUUCAUGAUAUCAUGUAUUGACCAUUAUCAUGUGAAAUAAUCCAUGCUCCCCAAGUGUUUGCUAAAAUGCCUAUGUGAAGUAGAUAGCGGAAUCAUGACAUGUCAUUGUAUGGUCCCAAUAAUGUACAAGCCUUUACGCUACAAGUGUUUGAUAAAAUAUCUCUAUGAAUGAAUUAUGGACAAGUAUACAUUGUUAGGUCUCUCAAGAUCAUGCUAUGCUUUAUUUCAUGCUAUCGAUUUUUGGGGGUAUUUAAUACCCGACAAGCUAGCUGUUUACCUAGAUCCAGUGUUAGUUACAGAAUAGUAUUAUUCAUGUCACGAUCAGUAGAACUCAGUUAGUUAUAGAACUCAGUAAACUUAGUCAGUUAUAGAACUCAGUAACAACUUAGUAUCAGUCUAGUCCAGUGCAGUAUAAUCAGUCCAGUAUCUAUUCAGUUGGGAGUAGGAUUCAGCACCGAAUGAACCAAGGAUGGGGAAUCACUUACUAGUAGAGGGUGUGAUCCUUAGAAGUAGUCCUUGUAUUCCAGAACUGCGUAGCCAGCGUAGCUUGAGAUAUCAAACCUGCUAGUUGAGGAUUGAUGACGUAUUUUUAACCUGCCAGAUUAGGGUUCCUCUAUUCUCAUUAGAGUACCUACUAGAUGAGGGUAUCUCUUUAGCUUGUCUUUACCCAUGGCACGGUACAGACACCCUUCCUAUUGGGGUUACAGAUUAGAUCUCAACUCAGUUAUCUUAUUUGGGGCAUGUCGAUUAGAUGAUUACCUCCCACAGUUUCAGUUUUAGUCUUCAGUAUAGAACUCAAUUCAGUUCUACGGAAUCAGAAUUGUCAAACACAGUCAAAUAGUAUCUGUAACUCAAUUAUCAGUAAUCUUAGUUUAACAAUUACUCAGUAUCAGAAUUUAAUGCUUAGCUUCAGAUAAGCUCAGUUACAGUACUCAUACAUGUAUAUCCAUAGUAUUGCUUACUCAGUAUUUACAGUAACUCCAGUUAUUCAUGUACUUUCAUAUUCAGUUAAUCUAUAUCAUUUCAGUCAGUUAUUGUUCAUACAUAUGAACCCUUGCAUUCAACCUUACCUCAUCAGCAUACCAGUACAUUACACGUACUGACACAUAUUUUCUCUUUGUGCUAUGAUGUCUUAUAUCAUAGGUUCGGAUGCUUAGGUGCUUGAUCUGCAUAGAUAGAUUCAGAUUCAGUCAGUAGUAUCAACUUUUGUGCUUUUAUUUUAGUAUUUUCAGUAGCUUUAGUAUUUCAGUAGUCAAAGUUAGUUGGGGGCUUGUCCCAUCAAGUCCAUUUUCAGAUAGUUCAGUUAGAGGCUUUUCAGACUAGACUUUCAGACAACAUUUAGUUUUAUAGAUUAUUAUUACAAUUGUUAUUAUUUCUCAAAUUCUUAUAUUUUGAACCUUAUGGAAUUUCAGCCUAUUUUUUGCAUUAGUAUUACUAUUCAGUGCUCACAGUAGAUAUCGGUCAUGGGUUAGCUUAUAGUCCUUCGGGAUCGUAAGCAUCGUGUAGCAUCCAGGGUACAGACUCGGGGCGUUACAAACUUGGUAUCAGAGCUUAAGGUUAAAUAGAGUCCUAGGAAGUCUGUAAGCUGUAUUGCAUAAAGUCUUGUGCAUAGGUAUGGAGCACAUCACAUUUAUGGAUAGGAGGUAUGAGAUGUUUUAGGAAAAAUUUCCCUUCUUUCAGUAUUCAUGUCAUGCGAAUGAGCAUGAUCUUAAGAUAAACUCCCAGUCUAAUCCUUUUCUUCCUUUUGUUACAGAAUAUGCCUCUAAAAAAGACUAACAAAAGAAUAAUCGAAAAUCAGGCAGCACCUCAGCCCGUUAAGGCAGAUCCCCUGGACAAAAAUGUCUCUCAUGCAGAAUUCGGAGCUGCAUUUACUUCUCUAGAAAAUUUUGUCACAGCUUAGAAUGAAUGACCAGCUGCUGUUCAUGACAACCCAGUGGCUAAUACUACUGCUGUCAAGAUUUAAGACUUGACCCAAAUGAAUCCUCCCCUAUUCUUAGGAUCUAAGUCAGAAGAGAAUCCACAGGAGUUCCUCGAUCAGGUUCAGAAGGUCAUAGACAUUAUGGGAGUGACAUCCAAUGAGAGUGCUAAGUUAGCUGCCUAUCAGCUAUAAGAUAUAACUCAUACAUAGUGAAAGGUAGACAGGGGUUCAAAUGUAGAGCCCAUAGAAUAAGAAGAGUUUUCUACUACCUUCCUAGAUAGAUUCUUUCCCUUAGAGCUGAGAGAAGCCAAGGUAUUAGAGUUUAUCAAUCUUAGGCAAGGCAAUAUGAGUGUGAAAGAGUAUUCCCUCAAGUUUACUCAGUUAGCCAGAUAUGUUCCUCAUGUAGUAGCAGGCAGUAGGUUCAGAAUAAGCAAGUUCAUAUAUGGGGUAUCAGAUAGUGUGGUUAAGAAGUGCAGAACUGCCAUGUUGAUUAAGAAGAUGAACAUAUCCAGGCUUAUAGUCCAUGCUCAGCAGAUAGAAAAGGCUAAGAAUAAGGGGAGAGAGAGGCAGAAUAAGAGAGCUAGAACUGGUAGCUUCAACUUUAGUCAUCCUAAGUCAGAGGGCGAUAACCGUUCCUAGUAUCAUCCAAAAUCUUCUGUUCUAGCUUCGCCCUCAGCCAGUGCUCCAGUACCUAAGUUCAGAAAUGAUAACAAAGAUAUGGCGCCAGGCUCUAAAUCUCAGGGUAGUGUCAGCAGUGCUCGAAUAAAUCCUCUUUGCCAGAAAUAUGGUAGGAACUAUCAGGGUGUCUGUAGAGAUGGCAAUGAUGUUUGUUUUGGGUAUGGCAAACCAAGACAUAGAUUUAGAGAUUGUCCUCAUUCAGGUUCUCAGGGUCAGUGUAAUCGUCCUUCAGCUUAGUUCGGUCACCCGAAUUAGCAGGGUGCGGCUUCUAGUGCCUCUAGUGGGCAAUGCUCAAACAGGCUUUAUGUACUUCAGUCCAUACAAGAUCAGGAAAGUUCUCUUGAUGUGGUCACUGGUAUAUUACAGGUUUUCCAUUUACAUGUUUAUGCCUUAUUAGAUCCAGGAGCUUCUUUAACUUUUCUAAUUCCUUACAUAACAAUCAAUUUUAAAGGCAAACAAAAAAUCUUAGCAGAACUAUUUUCAGUCUUUACCCUAGUGCGUCAGUCUAUCAUAGCUCAAUGGGCAUACAAGAACUGUCUGGUUAUGAUAUCUCAGAAAGUCACAUCAACAGACUUAGUAGAAUUAGAGAUAACAGAUUUCAACAUCAUUCUCAAUAUAGAUUGGCUCCAUUCAGGCUAUGCCUCAGUUGAUUGUAGAAAUAGAAUUGUUCUAUUUUAGUUUCCAAAAGAACCAGUCCUUAAAUAGAGGGGUAGUACUACAACGCUUAAGGGUCAGUUGAUUUCAUACCUUAUAGUGAGAAAAAUGAUAUCUAAGGGACGUGUCUAUCAUCUUGUACGAUUCAAAAACUCUAGUUCAGAGACUCUCAGUCUUGAGUUUGUUCCAGUAGUUAAUGAAUUCUCAGAUGUGUUUCCUGAAGAUCUUCCUGGAGUUCCUCCCAAAAGAGAAAUUAACUUUAGAAUAGAACUUCUUCUAGAUACUCAACCCAUCUCUUUUUCGCCAUACAGAAUGGCUCCAUCUAAACUCAAAGAGUUAAAAGAACACUUAAAUGAUCUCUUAGAUAAGGGAUUCAUCAGACCUAACAUUUCCUCGUGGGGCGUACGAGUCCUAUUCAUGUGUAAGAAAGACAGUUCCCACAUAAUAUGUAUAGACUAUCGUUAAUUGAACAAAGUCAUAAUUAAGAAUAAAUACCUACUUUCCAGAAUCAAUGACUUGUUUUACAAACUUCAGGUUGUCAAUUUAUUUUCUAAGAUGGAUCUCAGAGCAGGCUAUCAUCAGCUCAGAGUCAGGGAAUACGACAUUCUAAAAAUAGCUUUCUGAACCUAGUAUGGUCACUUCGAGUUUCUAGUUAUGUCCUUUGGUCUUACAAAUGCCCCAACAACUUUCAUGGACUUAAUAAAUCGCGUGUUGAAAUAAUACUUAGACAUCUUCGUUAUAGUCUUCAUCGAUGACAUCCUUGUCUAUUCCCAUAGCGAGAAUGAUCCUGCAAAUCACCUCAGAAUCAUACUCUAGACUUUCAGAACUUAUUAGUUGUUUUUCGAAUUCAGUAAGUACAAAUUUUGGAAAAGGUUAGUAGCAUUUCUUGGUCAUAUUUUUUUUGGUGAUGGCAUUAGAUUUGAUUCUCAAAAGACCGAGGAAGUGAGAAACUAGCCUAGACCCAUCUUUCUAUCAGAUAUUAGGAGUUUCUUUGGUUUGGCUGGCUAUUACCAUUGGUUUGCUGAAGGAUUUUCAUCUAUUGCAUCCCCCAAGUCCAGAUAGACUUAUAAGAAAGUCAAGUUUCAUUGGCUAGAUUCCUAUAAAAAGAGUUUCAAGAGUUGAAGACUCGACUCACCUCAGCCCCAGUUUUGACUCUACCAGAUGGUUCAGAUGGGUUUAUUGUGUACUGUGAUGCAUCCAGAGUAGGUUUGGAUUGUGUCCUCAUGCAGAGAGGUAAGGUCAUAGCCUAUGCUUCUAGAUAUCUUAAGCCCCAUAAGAAUAAUUACCCUAGUCAUAAUCUUGAGUUAGUAGCUAGUGUUUUCCUUAAAGAUUUGGGGGCAUUAUUUGUAUGGGGUGUAUGUUUAGGUGUUCAUAGAUCACAAAAUCUUGCAGUAUGUAUUCUCUCAGAAAUAUUUAAACCUAUGUCAGAGAUGGUGGUUAGAGUUGUUGAAAGAUUAUGACAUGAGUGUUCUGUAUCAUUCGGGCAAGGCCAAAGUAGUAACAAAUGCUUUCAGUAGGUUGUCUAUGGGUAGUGUUGUUCAUGUUGAGAAUGAUAAGAAGAAGUUAGUUCAGGAAGUUCAUCAUCUUGCUCGACUAGGUAUCCUCUUAUUCGAUUCAGCAGAGGUUAGUGUAUGGGUUCAGAACAGUUCAAAAUCAUCUCCAAUUUGCUAGGUAAAGGAAAAGUAGGAUAGAGAUCCCAGUCUAGUUAAGUUGAAAGAGUCAGUUAGAGAUCAAAAAGUAGAGGUUUUCUCCCAAGGGAGAGAUGGUGUGUUGCGCUUCUAGGGUCGGUUAUGCAUGCCAGGUAUAGACGACUUGAGGUAAUGAAUUCUUGUAGAACUGCAUGGUGCACGUUACUUUAUUCAUCCAGGGGCCACUAAGAUGUACUUUAAUUUGCGGGAGAUAUAUUGGUGGAAUGGGAUGAAGAGAGACAUUACUGAGUUUAUAGCUAUGUGCUCUAUGUGUCAGUAGGUUAAGAUUGAGCACUAAAAGCCUAAUGGGUCCAUGCAAGAGUUCAGUAUUCCCACAUUGAAGUGGGAAGAAGUGAACAUAGACUUUGUGAUGAGUUUUUCUCAUACUGGUCAUCAGCAUGACUCUAUUUGGGUCAUUAUAGAUAGGAUGACGAAAUCAACUUAUUUCUUACCAGUUCAUACCUUAUAUUUAGCUGAGGACUGCACCAAACUCUAUAUCAGAGAGUUGGUCAGGUUGCACAGAGUCCCAGUGUCUAUCAUCUCAGAUAGAGGUACCUAGUUUACCUCUCUUUUCUGGAAAGUAUUCCAAAAGGGUCUUAGUACCCAUGUUUACCUCAGUACAACCUUUCAACCUCAGACCAAUGGUCACCUAUUCCUUAAAAAAUGUAUGCAAGGUGUUUGAUAAAAUGCUUAGGAUGCUAGAAAUUCAUGUUUGUAUGGUUCUAUGAUGUCUAAAUGACAAGUCCAUGUUAGCUAUAUACUUCAAUAUGAAUUCAUGCUUUUCAUGUGUUGCUAUUGUGGUGGUAUGAAGCAUGUAAGAUAAAGGAGAUAUACAAUAUGUACCUGAAAUAUAUCCAUGUAUUCCCUACAAUGUUUAAGAUGUUGAAUAACUAUAUGUAAUAUGAUAUCCCCUACUUAUGAUAUUAUGAAUUGUGGACUCAAAUCUUGUGAUCAAGUCAUGUCAUGUGUGUCAGUUUCCUUCUAUCGAGUCCUGGGGGUAUUUGUACCCGAAAAACAUAGCUGUGUGCCUAGAGCUAUGUCACGUUGUUACGAUAAUCUUAGUCAAGCUAUAAUCUAUAGAACUCAGUCAGUCAUAUGACUCAAGAAACCUAAAAAAUCUUAUGAUCUUAGUUAACUCUCAGAUAAUAGUACUACUCCAUCAGUCAACGGAAGUCAGUUAGUCUGUCCAUGUACAUUCAGUUGAAUCAUGUUUAAUCUCUUCAGAUGGGAGUAGAAGUUAGCACCGAGUGAACCCAAGGAUAGGAACUCACCUACUAGUUUAGGGUGUGAUUCUUAGCAGUCAUCCUAGUGUUCCAGAACUACGUAGCCAGUGUAGGUUGAGACAUCUUAGCCUGUCAGAUUAGGGUUGAUGAGGUGGCUUAACCUGUCACUUUAGGGUUCCCAUCAUUCUCCUUUCGAAUACCUGCUAGCUAAGGGUCACCCACAACUGUCCUUACCAGUGGUGUGGUAUUGACACCCCUCCAGUCGGGGCAGAGAUUGGACCCUAACUUAACUAUAUGUGUUAUUGGGGCAUGUCGAUUAAACAACUACCUCCCAUAGUUUCAGAAUCAAUCUCAGUAAAAGAACUCAGAUAGGUUUUCAGAUUUCAGUAUAUCAGGACUGUUCGAUAUAGUCAGACUCAGUUACAGUACGAAACUCAGAUAGUUCCAUCAGAUUCAGGAUUGUUAGAUACAGUCUCCCAUGUUAUCUUAAUUUCAGUAUCAGUCAUGUUAGCCAUCAGUAAAACAUAUAUUAGCAUACAGGAAUAGCUAUCAUGGACCUAUGAUUUCAAUUACUAUGUAUGCAUUUUUGUACUCUUACGUUCAUAUCAGUCAGGCAGUUAGCAUUGUUCAUGCAUGUAAACCCUAUUUAUAUUUAGCCUACCUCACUCGUAUACUCAGUACAUUACCUCAUACUAAUGCAUUUGUGCUAUGGUGCUUUCUUUUUAUGUUACACCAUAGAUUCGAGACACGAACUCCAGAUCAGCAGUUGCAGUAGCAUUUCCAGUCGCAGAGAUUCAGUGAGUCCUCUUCAUUUGAGGAUAAUAUGAUUUGAUUUAUUCAUUAUUAUUUUAGCCCAUUAUCAGUUUAUGGAGUUAGUUGGAGACAUGUUCUUUUAACUCCUUAUUCAGAUAGUACUUAGAGUCUUUCGGAUUCAGUAUUCGGACUUAUGUUAAGAUUUGAUUCAGUUUUCAGCUAUUUUGGGUAUCUUUCACCCAUAUUAUGUUUUGACAGAUUCAUUAUUCAGUUGAACCUUAUGGAUUACAUGUUCACGUUUUCCGCAUUAUUACGUUAUAUAUUUAGUGUAUAGUUACAGAUAUUAGUCAUGGGUUAGCUUGUGGUCCCUCGGGGUCAUGAGCACCGUGUAGCAUUCCAAUUCAGAAAAUUAGGGCAUUACAAAGGUCUUCAACCUCAGCACCCUUUUUAGCUAGUACCCCAGUACCCAAAUUUAAAAAUGAUAAUAAGGAUAGAGCACCCGGAUCUAAGUCCUGAGGUAGUGUUAAUAGUGCCCAUACGAACCCUCUAUGUCAGAAAUAAUGGCAGAAUCCAUCAGGGAAAGUAUAGAGUAGGCAGUGAUGUCUGAUUUAGGUAUGGCAGGCUAGGCUAUCAGAUUUAAGAGUGUCGUGUAGUUUCUCAGAAAGGUAGGGAUUUGUGCCAACAAGGCCAGUCCCAUCAGUCAUCAGUUUCAUCCGGUUGCCUAACUCAGUAGGGUGCCGCUUCCAGUGCUACCAGUAGUCAGCGUCUGAAUAGAUUUUAUGCUCUUCAGUCCUACCACGAUCAGGAAAAUUCUCCUGACGUAGUUAUAGGUAUGUUACAGGUCUUUCACUUACAUGUUUAUGCUUUACUAGCACCUGGAGCUUCUCUUUCUUUUGUAACUCCAUACAUAGCCGUCAAUUUCAGAGUCAGUCCUGAAACUCUAGAGAUGAUGGAUUUUGAUGUCAUUAUCAGUAUUCGAUUGGCUUCACUCAUGCUAAGCCUCAGUUGAUUGUAGAAAUAGAAUAGUUUAUUUUCCGUUCCCAACUGAACCAAUCCUUGAAUGGAGGGGUAGUACUACUGCACUUAAGGGUUGGUUGAUUUCAAACCUUAGAGUGAGAAAAAUGAUAUCCAAGGGAUGUGUCUAUUAUCUUAUGUGAGUCAAAGACUCUAGCUUAAAAACUCUUACUCUUUAGUCAGUUUCAGUAGUCAGGGAAUUUCCAAAUGUAUUCCCUGAAGAUCUUCCUAGAGUUUCUCUCGAAAGGGUAAUCGACUUUGAAAUAGACCUUCUUCCAGAUACUCAGUCUAUAUCUAUUCCACCAUACAGAAUGGCUCUAGUUGAACUCAAAAAAUUGAAAGAAUAGCUGAAGGAUCACCUAUAUAAGGGAUUCAUCAGGCCUAGCAUCUCCCCGUGGGGCGCACCAGUUCUAUUCGUGCAUAAGAAAUAUGGUUCUCUCAGAAUAUGCAUAGACUACCGUCAGUUGAACAAAGUCACAGUUAGGAAUAAAUAUCCACUUCCUAGAAUCGAUGACUUGUUUGACCAACUUCAGGGUGCCAACUACUUUUCCAAGAUAGACCUUAGAUUAGGCUAUCAUCAGCUCAAGGUCAGGGAAUGUGACAUUCUAAAAAUAGCUUUUCGAAUUUGGUAUGGUCACUUCAAAUUUUUAGUCAUAUCCUUUGGUCUCAUGAAUGCCCCAGCAGCCUUCAUAGACUUGAUGAACCCAGUGUUCAAGCAGUACUUGGACAUGUUCAUCAUAGUCUUCAUUGAUGACAUUCUUGUUUACUCCCGUAGCAAAAAUGAUCAUGCAGACCAUCUCAAAAUAUUGUUACAGACUUUUAGAGCUCACCAGUUGUUCGCUAAAUUUAGUAAAUGUAAAUUCUAGCUAAGAUCAGUAGCUUUCCUUGGCUAUAUUAUUUCCACUGAUGGCAUUAGAGUUGAUCCUCAAAAGACUAAGUCGGUGAGAAACUGGCCUAGACCUAUCUCUCUAUCAAAUAUAAAAAGUUUCUUGGGUUUAGCUGGCUAUUACCAUCGGUUUGUUGAAGGGUUCUCUUCAAUUGCAUCGACCAUGUCCAAAUUAACUCAAAAGAAAGUUAAGUUUUAGUGGUCAUAUUUCUGUGAGAAGAGUUUUCAGGAGUUGAAGAUUCAACUAACCUCAACCCAGUUCUUACCUUGCCCGAUAGUUCAGAUAGGUUUGUUAUGUAUUGUGAUACAUCCAGAGUAGGUUUGGGUUACAUUCUCAUGCAAAGAGGUAAGGUCAUAGCCUGUGCCUCCAGACAACUUAAAACCCAUGAGAAGAAUUACCCUACUCAUGAUCUUGACCUAGCAGCUGUAGUGUUUGCAUUAAAUAUUUGGAGGCAUUACUUGUACGGGGUGCAUAUUGAUGUGUUCACAGAUCACAAAAUCUUAUAGUAUGUGUGCUCUCAGAAAGACUUGAAUUUGCAUCAGAGGAUGUGGUUAGAGUUAUUGAAAGAUUAUAACAUGAGUGUUUUGUAUCAUCCGGGAAAGGCCAAUGUAGUGGCUGAUGCUCUCAGUAGAUUGUCUACGGGUAGUGUUGCUCAUGUAGAGGAUGGUAAGAAAAAUUUAGCUCAGGAAGUCCAUCAUUUUGCCCGAUUAGGUGUUCUCUUAGUUGAUUUAGCAGAAGGUAGUGUAUGUGUACAGAGUAGUUCAGAAAAAUCUCUAGUUUUUGAGGUAAAGGAAAAACGGGAUAUCUAGUUAAGUUGAAAGAAUUAGUUAGAGAUCAGAAAGUGGAGGUUUUCUCCCAAGGGGGAGAUGGUGUGCUGCGUUGUCAGGGUCAGCUAUGUGCGCCUAGUUUAGAUGACUUGAGGUAAUGAAUUCUUGCAGAAGCGCAUGGUGCGCGAUUGUAAUACCCUGUAUUUCCCUAGCAUAAUAUAAGUCCCAAUACAUUAGUAUUGACAUAUAAAAUUUUCGAAAUACCCAUUAUUUUUUAGUUUAGAGCCUGAGAUAUAAAAUUUGCCCAAAUCUGAUAACCGGGUAAGAAGUUAUGGCGAUUUUAAGUUUUGGUCAUUAAACACCGUCAUGUUGGUCACUAGUGCAUCGCGGAGCCAGUCUAAAUGACAAUUGUUAAUUUCCAGUAAGGACCGUGAUAUUGGCGCAUCACGCCAAGGACCCAAUUCACAUUUGGAAAUUUCCAGUGAGCCUGCGCAAUGAUGGCGCAUCGAUGAGGUGGAAAAAAUGGAAUUCCAAAGGCUUAGUGUGAUAGAUUCACAUCAUGCCAAUGGAAAAAUAAGGAUUGUCGAUUUCCAAUGGCCCGAAGUGAUUGCACCGCGUCGUGCUGGAGCCAAAAAUUGGGAUAUUCAGUUUCUAGGCUGAGUUUUUAAAUUCGAUUUGGGGUAUUUGGGUCUUUUUCCAUGGCCCUAAUCAACUUAAAACACGAGAUUUAACCCCUAAUUGACCUAAAUAACCAUCAUUUAUUCAAUUCCUCUCAAAAUUAAAUAUCCCCUUCUCAAGAACAAUAAACCCCAGAUCUUAAAUUCAAGAGCAAAUCUCAAGAACUCACCAUCAAUCCUCUCAAAUCCAUUCACCUAGGUAUGUUAAUUAUUCAUCCAUGGGUUCCUUGCACCCAUGGAGUCCAAGUAUCCAGUUUAAAUUAUAAAAUUAUGAUCUUUUCAAGUUAUCUUGAUUUUAAAAUUACAAUUAAAUGACAAAUUUCCAUGAAUCUUGUUCUAUACCAUGUUUUAGCAAAAUUGAUGUCUAUUACUACACUCAAUAUGUUUAAAUACUGUUUUCCACUUAUUUAAUUCACGAUUUGUGAUAAUGGUGUUGAAAUUGUGCUUUACUACAAGUUUUGGUCUAAUUCUUAUGCUUAAUGUACACCAUGCUUACCAAGUGUUUGAUAAAAUGUUUACAAGAAUGAAUAUUUAAUAAAAGCCUUCAUGCUAUGUCCUCCAAGCUUUAGUUUCAUUUUACUAUUAUUGUUUUGAGUCCUGUGGUUAUUGAAUACUUUAAAACCAUAACUGUUUAUUUAGUCUCAUUUUAGUAUCUUCAGAAUAACUUCAGAUUAUAUUAUGAGCAUUAUCAAAAAAGUCAGUUAAACUCAGAACCAUCUAGUAUUUUAGUGUCUUUCAAUUGGGAGAAGGAUUUAGCACCGAGCAAGUGUAGGGAUGGAGGCUUCCCCGUCAGAUAGGCAAAGUCACUAGUAGUAGUCCUUAAACUCCAGAAAUAUGUAGCCAGCGUAGGAUAUGAGAAGUCACCCAUCAGUUUAGGCUUGACUAUCUCGCAGGCGUCACCCGUGAGUUUAGGCUUGACACCCUUAGUCCUUCGGGACAGUACAUCAGUAUAGUGGUUCCACAUAGCCAGUAUUAGUACCCAUGACACGGUACUAACACCCUUCCAAUUGGGGUUAUAGGUUAGACCUCAAUUAACUCAGAUUAGGGAAUGUCAGUUAGAUGAUACCUCUCACAGUCUCAGUCAGAGUCUUAGUUACAGUCUUAGUCCAGUAAUCAGUUUAGACAUUCAGUCUUAGUGUUGUUUGACCAAAGCAUACAGAUAUCAGUUAUCUCAGUAUUUCAGUUUACAUAUUUUAUUCAAUUUAUGUUAUAUACUUGGUCAUGCAUCCUCAGCAUCUACAGUUUUCACAUACCUUCAGUAUUUACAAACUUUCAUGCAUUCUAUUUAGUACUCUAUGUUUUACAUGUAUAUUUAGAUAAUUAUUAUUCCUGUUCAUAAAAUCAUGCAUAUCAUCCUACCUUAUUUAGCAUAUGAUGUGCGAGCUUGACGCUAGCACUUUUAAGGCUUUUAACUCAGAAUAAUUAUAAAUUUUUAAGCAACUUUUGUUGUUUUUGAUUGUUUUCUCUGUGAUAGUGCAGGUGAGCUAAGAUGUAUGAAAACCAAUGACAAUUGAGUCAAAAAAGAUAGAUUUUGAGUAAGCAUCCAUGAAGAGUACAGUUGACGACUUGCCUGAUAGGUCGUCAAUUUUGUUAAUAGCUGUCAGGAAUACCGUCAGCCUAAGGUAGUAUGUAGGAGCUAUAGUGAAGAGUUGACGACAUCGUCUGAUAUGUCAUCAAUUUUCUGAUAAGCUGUCAUGCAUUAUCGUCAGCUGAAGGCAACAAACAUGGAAUUUGAAGAGGAGUUGACGACAUUUUCUUAUAAGUCGUCAGACUCCUGAUAAGUUGUCAUAUAUGUCAUCAUAAAUAUUGUCAGCUAAAGGAUCAAAAAUCUAAAUUUUUAGUUUUGAAUUUCCUUUAAAGUACAGAUAUAAAUAACAACUUUUAGGAUUUCAUUCGGUAUCUGGAACUUAUUUCAAAAGGCAAAGUCACCUCUUUUUGGGCCUCUUAACUGAGAAUUCAAUUUUCAGUUAUGUGAUUGGGUUUUGGGAACUUUUUAUUUAACUUAGAAGAGAAUCAACUUCAGACUUCAUCUUUUGUAAGUUUAAUUUCUCUAAAUGAGGAAUACAAUUGUUACUAUCUCUUUCUUUCUCAUGUGGAACUAAAACCCAUAACUAGGGUUGUGGGAUCUAUGAUUAUUCCUCUAUGGAUUUAAUAGUUGGUUAGGGUUUGAGUGAUUGUGGGAACAUCUUGAUAAUUUCUUUGUAAUGAUUGUUUUCUAUUGGUUGCAAAUAAUAGAUCUAGCCUUAUGUUUUCUUGCUCAAACUGAGAAAUAAACUAAAGGUAGUGAAUUAUUAAUGAGGAUUUGGGAAGGUUAAUUUCCAUCUAAUGAUUAAUAUUGUAACAAGAUUAAUCAACUUGAGAUAAAAUCAGUGUGAAUAGAAGGUUUUAUUAAGUUUGAGAGAAUUAGGGAGCACAACAUCUAGGUAGGUUGAGAAACACUUAGAUGGACUGUCGAUACUGAUAAUUUGGUGUUUUCCACAAGUCACGAGAAUCUAGUACUACAACUAUUAUUCAAUGAGGGGUUGAUAAUCAUAGUAAUCAAAACCCUAGUUUCUCUCUAUUAUUGAUUGAACCAUUGAAAUUUUAGCUUUGAGUUUUGAAACAAGUCAAAACUUUAAUCAUCGUUUGAUUGAUAAAACCCCCAAUUAAAGAAAACCAUAAAGAAAACCAUUAUCUAUCAGUCAUUUUUAUCGUAAAUAGACUUGAUUGACACCUUAUUCCCUGUGGGAUUUGACCCCAACCUAAUUGGGUUAUAUUUUUGACAAUGACCGCUUACUCUCUCGUAAGAGAGGUAUAAUUUGGGCGUAUCAAAUUUUGGCGCCGUUGUCGGGGAAUACGGUUGUCGAUUGAGUUUAUGUGUGUUAAUUGACUAUUAGUCAAGUUUCCUUAUUUUAUGUUUAUUUGUUGUUUUUGUUCGUUAUAGGCUCAUUAUUGUUGAUGCCAAGAACCAGAUGUUUAGGAGAACUAUUAUGAUCCUUAAAUCCUGAACCUCAUCUCAUUGAAAGAAUGUCUAACCAAUAGGAAGCUGAAAGAUUAGCCGCUUUGGCUAAUGCUUAUUAAAUUAACAAAAUGCAGAUAACCCAGGUUGGGUACCUAAUCUAGAUGAAGAGGACCUGGGAGAUGAUGAUUUCAUUGACCCAGCUAAUAAGAAGUGUGCAGCGGAAGUAGUUUCAGCUGUAAAUCUAAAUCGUCCAUUCAGAGGAAGACUAAACCUCCAAGCAAUGCAGUUUGAUAGUGACAAUGAUGAGGAUGAUUUAAAUGGAGCUGGAGUUACAGGGGCAAUCAUUCUACCACCACUAGCUCCUGAGGUGAAAUUCCACAUCACCAGUACUCUGAUCCAGUUACUAAAUUUGAAUAGAAUCUUCAGCAGAUUAUCUGGUGAUAAUUUAAAUCUACAUUUGGUGAAUUUUAUCAAUAUUUGUAAGUUAUUUGUUAAUCCUGAAGUGGGACAAAAUGAUAUUUAUUUAAGAUUGUUCCCACUGUCUUUGUCUAGAGAGGUAACUAUGUAGUUAAAUAAGCUAACUCCUGAUUCUAUAACAAAUUGGAGGGAAUUGAAAGGAGCUUUCCUAUAAAGAUUCUUUCCACCCUUCAGAAUGUUACAGUUAAGAGAUGAGAUCAGCAAUUUUAGGCAAUUGGCUAAUUAAGCUGUACAUGAUACUUGGGGGAGGUUUAAAAAGAAGUUGACUCAAUGCCCAAACCAUAAGAUGACUGAUGAACACUUGAUGGAAACAUUCUACAGAGCUUUGAACUCACUUACAAAGCCAAUAGUGGAUAAUGCUGCAGGAGGAGCUUUUAUGUUUCUCACCUUUACUGAGGCUGCGGAAAUGUUAGAAAGAAUGACUAAGAUAAGUAGAGCUUGGAAUACCAGAGAUUUAUGUGGUAGCAAGCAAUACUGGGUCUAGUGUAAUAUCAACAAAAUAGCAUAGCAGAGAAGAGAAGUGUGAUCAGGAUAUAGCUUACAUGAAAACCCAGAUGGAUCUGCUCAUGAAGGAUUUGCUAUCAGAGAAUAUAGAAAAGGUAAAAGCUGUGGGGUCCCACGGUAAGAAAGCUGAAUCAAACACCGAGGAAGAGGCUAACUACUUGCAUAACUAGGGGGUUUCUGGACUAGUGGUAAAGGAAACUAAGGUUGGAACCAUAAGCAGAUUGGAAGAAUAAAAGUGAUAGGAGUGGACUGUAUGUACUUCCUGGAAGUUGUGAUAAUACUGCCACCAGUUCAGGCAAAAUAUCCAUGGAGGACAUGAUGGAGAAACUAUUAAAGGGAGUUGAGGUGACCAAUUCUGAGGUGACUACUAUGAAGAGUGACAUAUCUUCCAUGAGUCAACUAGUAAAUUCACACUCAACUGCUAUUAAACAACUAGAGCAGCGGAUGAGCCAAUUAUCCACAACAUUCAACCAAAGAUAGAAUAGUACUCUACCAAGUGCUAUAAUUCAGAAUCCAAGGAUUGAUGGAUCAUGUUUGACUAUUACCACUAGGAGCGGUAAUAUGUUAUCUAGUCCAGGAUGGCGAGUAUCCUCUCAAACUGAUGUGGUCAAAAUAGAUUGGGAAAUGGUUGAUGAAUCUUCAGUGGUUCCUGUGGAGUUGGGAGGUUCAUAAAAGAAUAGUGCAGAAGUGGAACAACCACCUAAGCUGAAGCAUGUUAGUGAUGUAGAACAAGGCAUAAGAAAGGAGGUAAAAGUUGCUCCAGUUGAAAUUCCAAGGCCACCCCCCCCAUUUCCACGAUGUUUAAAAAAGAAAGAAGAUGAAGACAAGUUUAACAAAUUUAUUGCUAUGUUGAAGCAAUUGACAGUGAACGUGCCUUUAGUUGAAGCACUGGAACAGAUGACCGGAUAUGCUAAGUUUAUGAAAGAUCUAUUGAUAAAGAAAAGGACUGUGAGCUAUGAAAUAGUAGACAAUCUUCAUCAUUGCAGCGCCAUUGCUACAAGAUCUAUUAUUCGUAAGAAAGCUGAUCUGGGAGCAUUUACUGUCCCAUGUAUGAUUGGAUCGCUUAAGUUUGAAAGGGCCCUUUAUGAUCUCGGGGAAAAUAUAAAUCUUAUUCCAUUGGGGUUUUCAAGAAACUAGGUUUGAGAGAUCCUACUCCCACCAAUAUGUAGAUUCUAAUGGUGGAUAGAUCGGUGAAAAGGCCAAUUGGGAUUCUACAUGAUGUACUUGUAAAGGUGGCUGAUUUUAUAUUUCCUGACAACUUUGUAAUUCUUAACUGCGAAGUGGACUUUAAAGUACCCAUAAUUUUGGGUAGGCCGUUCUUAGCAAUUGGGAGAGUGUUAGUUGACCUAGAGUUGAAUGAGCUAAAAUUUAGGCUCAAUGGGAAAGAGGUUAGUUCUGAAGUGUGUAAAUCUGAAACAAAGGGAGAUGAGUGUCUUUUCGAUUGUUGAUGUAUUCUAUGAAGAUGAGCAAGGUGUACCAGUUAAGGAUAGGUCCGCUUAAAAACCAUAGCUGGUUUGGUUGAACUUGCAAGCAAGGAUGUGAGUGAAUUCAAAGUGGCUGGACUAGGAAUAAAGCAUUUUCUUGAUCCAACAAAUAAGAUACAAAUGAUAUCAUCAAUAUAUCUUGAUGAAGUCUGAAUGUCAAGAUAAUCAAGUCGUGCCGCGACGUUAAAUCAGGCGCUGCUUGGGAGGCAACCCAAGGCAUUUUGCUAUUUGUAUUUGUAUUAUGUGACUGACAUCAUAUCUCUGCACCUAUGGUGCCAUAGGUAUGUUUCUAACUCUCUUGUUUUAGUUUGGUGCAUUAGGGACAAUGCAUGAUUUUAAGUUGAGGGUGAGACUGCUUGUGGGUGUUGAUGUCCUCUUGGGGUUUUUAUUAUCGUGCCUCUUUUCCCUGGAGUAUUUUUCCUAGAAGAGCCAGUAUGCUUAGGCGUAUUGUGUUUAUUAUGAUAUGUUGUGGUUAAUUGGGAGAAAAUUAAGUAUCUGGGGCAGUUGACAUAUUUUUUUGUUGAUUUUAGGGAAUGAUAAAUACCUCUCCAAUUGUCUAUUUGUCUAUUUUAUAACUGUGUGAUGUGCAUCUAUGUGUGACUACUGUGAAUCUUUUUAUGGCAUUGGUGUUAGGGACAUGAUAAUCAUUACUAACAAUUGCAUGAACUAGAUAGGUAGUAGCUUGUGAUGUACCUUUGUGCCAUGAGUUUGUGAGAUAGUACCUAGUUCCCGUUGUGUGUUAAAUCCGUUGGUCUUGCCUUGGUUGUAGGAGAGUAGUUAGGAAAGGAUUAUAGGCCAUUUUGGAUAUUAGUCCACUUUUAGCCUAAAUGACCUUUCAUGUUUGAAUAAUAUCCCUUGAUCCUGAUUUUGAUACUGAAUGCCUAGAUAUUUUUUUCUGUUAUACCCAUCACCAUCCCACUUGUAUCACAAUGAACCUGUUUUACCCCUGGUCCUCCUUAGGCAUUGUGCACUUUGACUUAGAUAAAUCAUCUAAGUUGAGGUUGGCUAUCAUAGGGGUGCUUGAUGUAAAGUGAAUAUGGAAAAGGGAAAAUAAAAUAAAAAAUGCAAGGCUGGGUGUGGUAGAAAAAGUAUAAUAAGAGAAAAAUUAUGAAAAAGAGAAAAUGAAAGACUAAAGGACCGCAUCCAGCCUGAAUUUGCUUCGAUCAAAAAGGGAGAAAUAAGUUAAAGGUAGAUAAGUAAGACCCCAAAAAUAGUGUAGUACCAAGAAGGCUUAGCCACUUUAAAUAUCCUUGCAUAUCAUACCAGCCCCAAGCCUACAUUACAAGCUGAAGAAAAGUCCUAUAUUGAUCCUAGCUUAACUGUCUGAAAUCCUCGGUGAUGAAAAUAAGGGCAAGCUUUUGGUAUUUGGCAUACAUUGACUAGAACUUCUUUUUGAGAGUGAGUGUCUCUUGAUUGUCCCUAUAUUUACAUGCUUGAUUUCACAUAUGGGUAGUUUAACUUGUACAUAUGCAUGGUUAUUGUUGCUAAUUUGAUGCCAUCUCUUGAUUCCUUUGUGUCACAUUAUUGAUCUUCAUCGAUAUACACAGUUGGGUUUGAAGGUGAUUGAAAUUGGAGAGGGUAAUGUGUAUUGAACUAUAACUGAUAAUUGACUACUAUAUGUGAUUUCCAUUCUCUUGGUUAAACACCGUGGUACUAUAAUGUGUUAGUUUCUUGAGGACAAGCAAUUGUUUUAAGUUGAGGGUGUUGAUGUGCGAGCUUGAAGCUAUCAUAUUUAAGGCUAUUAACUCGGAAUAAUUGUAAAUUCUCAAGCAACUUUUGUUGUUUUUGAUUGUUUUCUCUGUGAUAGUGCAGGUGAGCUAAGAUGUAUGAAAACCAACAAUAACUAAGUCAAAAGAGAUAGAUUUUGAGUAAGAAGGCAGGAAGAGUACAGUUGACGACUUAACUGAUAGGUCAUCAACUUUGUGAAUAGCCGUCAGGAAUACCAUCAGCCUAAGGUAGUGUGUAGGAGAUAUAGUGAAGAGCUGACGACAUCGAUAGAUAUGUCGUUAAUUUCUUGAUAAGCCUUCAUGCCUUGUCGUUAGCCGAACGCAUCAAACACAAAAUUUAAAGAGGAGUUGAAAACAUUUUCUGAUAAGUCGUCAGACUCCUAAUAAGUCAUCACAUAUGUCGUCACAAAUGUCGUCCGCUAAAGGAGCAAAAAUCUGAAUUUGUAGUUUCAAAUUUCCUUUAAAGUACAGAUAUAAAUAGCAGCUUUUAGGGUUUCAUUCGGUAUCUAGAACUUAUUUCAGAAGGCAAAGUCAUAUUUUUUUGGGCCUCUUAAUUGAGAAUUCAAAUUUCAACUCUGUGAUUGGAUUUUGGGAGCUUUUUCUUGAACUUGGAAGAGAAUCAACUUCAAACUUCAUCUUUGGUAAGUUUAAUUUCUCUAAAUGAGGAAUACAAUUGUUGCUAUCUUUUUCUUUCUUAUGUGGAACUAAAACCCAUAACUACGGUUGUGGGAUCUAUGAUUAUUCCUCUAUGGAUUUAAUAGUUGGUUAGGGUUUGAGUGAUUGUGGGAACAUCUUGAUAAUUUCUUUGUAAUGAUUGUUUUCUAUUGGUUGCAAAUAAUAGAUCUAGCCUUAUGUUUUCUUGCUCAAACUGAGAAAUAAACUAAAGGUAGUGAAUUAUUAAUGAGGAUUUGGGAAGGUUAAUUUCCAUCUAAUGAUUAAUAUUGUAACAAGAUUAAUCAACUCGAGAUAAAAUCAGUGUGAAUAGAAGGUUUUAUUAAGUUUGAGAGAAUUAGGGAGCACAACAUCUAGGUACUUUGAGAAACACUUAGAUGGACUGUCGAUACUGAUAAUUUGGUAUUUCCCACAAGUCACGAGAAUCCAGUACUAUUACUAUUAUCAAUGAGGGGUUAAUAAUCAUAGUGAUCACAACCCUAGUUUCUCUCUAUUAUUGAUUGAACCAUUGAAAUUUUAUCUUUGAGUUCUAAAGCAAGUCAAAACUUUAAUCAUCAUUUGAUUGAUAAAACCCCAAUUAAAGAAAACCAUUAUCUAUCAGUUAUUUUAAUUACAAAUUGACUUAAUUGACACCUUAUUCCUUGUGGGAUUUGACCCCAACCUAGUUGGGUUAUAUAUUUGAAAACGACCACUUAUUCUCUUAUAAGAGAGGUGUAAUUUGGGUGUAUCAGCAUACUAGUACAUUCAAAGUACUGACCGCAUACCCUUUUCUUACGCUAUGAUGUAUUAUAUCAUAGGUUUUGACGCCCAGUUCCUGAAUCAUGCUUAGACUUCUCAAACUCUCAGCAGUAGCAGUAGUGAAUCCUCAUAUUUUGGGGAUGAAUUACUUUAUUUCAUGCUUUCAGUUUAGCAGUUAGUUGGGGCCUAUCCCAUCAACUCACAGUUAUUCAUUUUAGAGGCUUUCAGACACUACAGUCAAUUAUUCAACAUUCAAACUUCAGUUGACAUGUCAGUUAGUUAUUUAGUUUGUCUCAAAUUUUCGUAUUUAUUCAGACUCAGAUAGUUAUUUCUUCAGAUUCAUAAUUUAGUAUUUGUUUCAGUUAUUAAAACUUUAUGGCAUAUCAGUUAUUCUUUCGCAUUUAUGAUUAUGUUAUUAAGUGCUCACAGAAGGUACUAGAUCUUGGGUUAGCUUGUGGUCUCUCAAAACUGUAAGCACGAUGUGACGCCCAAGGUGUACUCUCAGGGCAUUACAUGGGGCUUGUCCCAUCAACUCCACAUUCAGACAGUUCAGUGAGAGGCUUUUCAGACUAGACUUUUAGACAAGAUUCAGUUUUACAUAUUAUUAUUACAGUUGUUAUUAUUUCUUAGAUUUUCAGAUUUUGAAUCUUAUGGCAUUUCAGCUUAUUUUCUGCAUUUAUUAUAGUAUUAUUAUUCUGUGCUCACAGUAGAUAUUAGUCAUGAGUUAGCUUGUGGUAUUUUGGGAUUAUAAGCAUCGUGUAGCGUUCAGGGUACAAACUCCGGGCAUUACAUUAUAAGACCAAGAAAAGAGGGAAAAAGAUUAAGGUCUCAUUUAUGUUCAUUAAGAUUAAGAUCACGUUCGAAUCUGGAAACACGUCUAAAUAAUUAAAAUCAUAAAAUAUUAAAUAGUUAAGAUGAUUUAUUUUUCAACAUUAGAUGUACAUAAUUUAUUUAUUUGUAAACAUAAUAAGUAUACAAUUAAAAAAAAUUAAAUAUUAGAAAAAAUAGAAAUUUUAUAAAAUAAAAUCAUUGUUUGAUUGAAAAUAAAAUAUUUAUGUUUGCUAGGAUGAUAGAAAUGAUUUGCGGUGAUGAUGGGUGUAAAGGUUGGUGUUAGUGUAGUAAUGGUGGUGGUUAUAGUUGUAAUAGUGGAGGCGGUUGGUGAUGUAAUGAGCGGUGUGAUAAUGACGAUUGAUAGUGGUGAUGGUGAAGUUGUUUGACGUUAAUAAUUAGCGAUAUUUAUGGUGGUGGGUCAAAAAUUUAUGGUGGUUGGCGAUAUCUUAGAGGUAGUUGGUGUUGGUGUUAGUUAAGAUGAUAGAGGUUGAUAGUAGAGAUUGACUUCAAUGGUUUUAGUGGUUGAUAGUGGUGCCACUGGAUAUAACUAUCAUGCUAAAGAUAUGUAUGUGUGGUAGUGAAUAAUAGUAUUAGUGGUUGUGAGUGAUGGUAGUGAUGGCAGAGAUAGUAGUGGUGGUGGCAAUGGAUAUAAUUAUAAUGAUAUGGACAAUAGAUACAGUAGUGACUCACGGUAAUAAAUGGCAGUGGUAAUGUUGUAAUGGCAAAUAUAGUUGGUGAUCGGUAACAAUAAUGAUGGCAGUUAUGAUUGCAGAGGUGGUCAGUUCUGAUGGAUUGAUGGUCAUUGUAGAUAGUGUGGGGAGAGGAAAAUUAUUUACACAAUUUACCUCCUGAUGAUAAUAAGACCUUUUCAAGAUUUUGAUGAUGAAGAUCUAUUUAAACCAAAUAAAUGCUUAAAUCUUGAUGAAAAUAAAUGUACUUAAUUGCCUAACUAAAUCGUUGAUCAGAUUCAGACCUCUAUAAAGUACAAACAAAUGAAACCUAAGAAUUCGGCUAUGGAACAAAGGCUUAUCUCAAACCUAGAUUUAGUGUGAAAGGAAAAUGUUUUUCAAGUUUUCUAUCUUCUGUUGAUAAAAAAUUUUAAAAAAUAUUUCCUCUAGAAAAAUGACUUUCCUGAAGUAAGAAAACAAGUUUCAUGGCAUUCCAAAUUCAUUGUAUUCUCCCAACCUUCCAACACACCUCAUCUCCACCCCACCUCAGUAGCCCUCAUCCCACCAUCCUACUCUUGUUAGUUAUUCCUCUGCAUCUCUCAUAAUAUUUGUCAAAAUUAUAUACAAAUACUUUUAGAAUAACAUUUAUACUUAUAUAUAUACAAAAAAAAUACACAAACAAGAGUGAAAAACCUACUUAAUUUCUUAUUUUCCACACACCAAACACACCCUAAAAAAAGAAAGUUGUUGAACGCUGAAACCAGAGUAACAUGGGCAAUUGAGUUAAAAGUGACAAAUGAGUUUGAAAAUGAGGUGUAUGUGACACAGGUUAUAAUAAUUGAGUGUGGGAGAAAAUUACUUUAUUAUGGAUUAAUAAAGUUGAGGAAGUUUGAGAAUAUCCCAUAAGUUUUUUAAUUUAUACUUUGAUCCAAAUAUAAAACCUAAUAUAACUAGAAAUGGAGGGAAUAACAAUACGACGUUUUUCUCUCUUCUUAUUUAUUAUUUUUUUCACUCUCUUCACAGUUUUUAUUCAUCAUUGUUGCUGCUAUUUUAUUCAUCUUCUUCUGCUUCAUUAUCAUUAUCUUCAUCAUUAUCAUUAUCAUCUUCUUCUUCUUGUUGACUGUUGUUGUUGUUGUUACCGCUAUUGCUGCUACUUGACCAAUUUUUUUAUCAAAUUUUAUUUCAUACAUCACUUUGACAUUACUUCAUAGGUAGUCUUGAUAAGUAACAUUAUGAUUUUGAGUUGAAUUUCUCAUCUUGGUACACUACUACUAUUGUUUUUUCAGCAAUGGAAAGAAAAACCUUGACAUGAAUCCAAUAAAUGAGUCAUCUGUGGCAACUAGUGACUCAUCAAUUGUGACAGAUGAGUCCUCUGUUGCAACGGAAGAAUCACAUAUUGAGUUCAUGUUUAUGGUUCUAUAGUGCUGCAAUAUGAAUCGAACAGAUGGGUUAUCUAUUACAAUAAAUUAAUCAUCUAAUGCAAUAGACUAAUUAGAUGAUGCAAUAGAUUAGUCAUCUUUUACAAUAGAUGAAUCAUUGGUGCAACAGAUCAAUCAUCUAUUACCACAGAUGACUCACAUGUGUCAACAGAACCCGAAGUUGAUUUCAACAGGUGAGUCAUCUGUUGCAACAUAACCUAAAUAUUAUUAUUAUUAUUAUUAUUAGUAUUAGUAUUAGUAUUAGUAUUAGUAUUAGUAUUAGUAUUAGUACUAGUAUUAGUAUUAGUAUUAGUACUAUUACUAUUAUUGUUGUUGUUGUCAACCGGCCAAUCGUCAACCGAUAACAACAGGGUCCUCCUCAGCAUAUGAAUCUCAUGAAGCAACCUUACUCUCAUGGCACCUAAGUCCCAUUGAAGUUCAUGAAUCUGUCUUUCAAGUUUCCGCACGAUAUCGCACAGAAUCACUAUGUCCUAAUCUAGAUCAGCCAUAUCUAAAAUACACAUGCAUUAACAAAAAACAUAAAAAACCAAAGAAAGGAAAAGGGUCUGUAAUUUUAUAAAAAAAGAGAAGUGGUUGAAGAUAUAAUGGUAUUUUUAUGAAAGACAAGAUGCAAGAAAUAAAUAAAGUGGCGUAGACUGAAUGAGUAAGGAGAAACUUAUUUAUAGAGGAUUGAAUUUGAAUGUGUUAGUCAAAAAGUCACGACUGUUCACCUCUUUUUAAAUAAUUACAUCCCUUAAUUAAAUAAAAUUGGUGCCCUUUUGACUAUUUAAAUUAAAAAAAUAGAUGUAAAUACAAAAAAGGCGAACAAUUACGACUUUUCACCUUUUCAAUAACCGUUUAUUUAUAUUAAAUUAAAAACCGUGUUCAUUGAGUUCUUCCAACAUAUGAUCCAUCUGUUGUAAUAGUUUAGUUGUAAUACCCCGUAUUUUCCUAGCUUAGAUUAAUUCUCCUUACAAGAGUAUUCCUAUAUAAAAUUUUCAAAAUACUUGGAAUUUUUUAGUUUAAGACCUACCAUUGCGUAGAAAAUUCAGUCAGCUCUCUAAUGAUAUCAAUUUCGCACAAAUCCAAUACCCAGGUGAAAAGAUAUAGCAACAAAAUUCACAUCAUCAUGUCAUAGUGAGGGACCAAACGACAAUUAUCAGUUUUCAGUGGUCCAUCGUGAUAAUGGUGCAUCGCACCAAUGCCCAUUUUUAGAAUUGCCAUUUUUCAGUGAAGCUGCGCGAUUUCAUUGGGUCACACUAAGGACCAAAUUUGCGUUCAGUGAGGCGCCGCAUCGCGAUAUCAGUCCAUUUCCCAGUUUUCCGUUUUCUAGUGAGCCAGCGCAAUUGUACUGCGUUGUGCUGGAAUGAAAAAUCAGGAUUUUCAGCUUUUGUGAUUUUAUUUCAAGGACUAUUUGGUCAAUUUUCAAAACCCCUAAUCAGCCUAAACACGUGAUUUAUCCCUUAAAUAACCUAAUUAUUCAUUAUUUACUUAAUUCCUCUAAAAAAUAAAUCAUUCUCUCUCAAAUUGACAAAAUCCUAGCUUCAAAAAUCAAGAACGAUCUUCAAGCAAUCCUCCAAGAACCUUCAAGAACUCAUCUUCUCAGGUAUGUUAAGUGUUUAUUCAUGGAUUUCUUUCACCCAUAGAGUCCAAAUACCCAAUUUAAUUACAAAAUUUAUGAUCUUUCCAAGAUUUAUGAUGUUAAAUUAUGAUUUUAAACUAUGAGUCUCCAUGAACCUCCGUGAAUAUCGAUUUUACACCAUGUUUUAAUGAAGUUAUUAUUGUCGUCAAAGCCCAAAUGUUUUAUUGUUAUUAUUAUUCAUCGAAUCAAAGCAUGAUUAUCUGUCAUUGAUCUUGAAAUCAUACUAUUGCUUCAAGUUUCAUACUAUUCUCAUUAUUUGCUUAAUUUAUGAAUACCAAGUGUUUGAUAAAAUGCCUAUAAGAAUGAAUAUUUGAUAUAGGCUUUCAUACUAUGUCCUCUAAGCUUAAUAUUAUUUUACUAUUAUUGCUUUUGAUUCUUGGGGGUUUUGAAUACCCGAAAACCAUAGCUGUUCACUUAGUCUCGUCUCAGUAUCUUCAGAAUAGAUUUAAAAUAUAUUAUGAGCAUUAUCAGACCAGUCAGUUAAACUCAUAACAGUUUAGUAAUCCAGUGUCACUCAGUUGAGAGUAAGAUUAAGCACCAAGCGAGUGCAGGGAUGAUGAUUUCCCCAUCAGAUAGGUAGAGUUGUUAGUAGCAGUCCCUGUACUCCAAAACUACAUAUCUAGUGUAGGAUAUGAGAAGUCACCCAUCAGUUUAGGCUUGACUAUCACGCAGGGGUCACCCGUCAAUUCAGUCUUAACACCGUUAGUCCUCUAGGACAAUACAAUACAUCAGUAUAGUGGAUUCGUAAAGCCAACGUUAGUACCCGUGGUACGGUACUAACACCCUUUCAGCUGGGGUUAUAGGUUGGACCCCAAUUAGCUCAGAUUGGGGUAUUUCAGUUAGAUAAUACGUUCCAUAGUCUCAAUUACAGUCUCAGUCCAGUAGUUAGUCCAGUUAUUCAGUUUCAGUUGCUUGACCAUAACAUAUAGACACCAGUGAUUCAGUUAUCAGAUUUUAUUAUUUAUAGAUUAUAUUCAGUCCAUGUUAUAUGCUUGGUCAUGCAUCCCCAGUAUCUAUAGAUUUUGUGUAUCUUUAGAAUUUGUAUUUUUUAUUUAUCUUCAGUAAUUACAGAUUCUAUGCAUUCUCAGUAUCUAUAAAUUUCAUACACUCUAUUCAGCAUCUUAUGUUAUACAUAUAUAUUCAGACGAAUAUUUAUUCUUGUUUAUGAAACCAUACAUAUCAGCCUACCUCAUUCAACAUAUUAGUACAUUCAAAGUACUGAUCACAUACUCUUUUCUUGUAUUAUGAUGUAUCAUAUCAUAGGUUCAGACGUCCAGUUCUCAGAUCGCACUAAGAAUUCUCGAACUCUCAGUAGUAGCAGUGGUGAUUCCUCAUAUUUCAAGGAUAGGAUCUUUAUUUCUUAUUUUCUGUUCAAUAGUUAGAUUGAGUUAGUUGGGGCCUAUCCCAUCAACACAUAUUCAGUCAGUUAGAGACUUUUAGAUAUGUCAAUUAGUUAUUUACUUUAUCUCUAUUUUAUCAGAUUCAAACAGUUGUUUCUCCAGAUUCAUAAUUUAGUAUUAUUUCAUUUGUUAAAACCUUAUAGCUUAUCAGUUGUUCUUCUACAUAUAUGAUUAUAUUAUUUAGUGCUCACAGCAAAUACCAUCUCAUGGGUUAGCUUGUGGUCCCUCAGGAUCGUAAGCACCAUGUAACUCCCAGGGUAUACUCUCAGGAAGUUACAAACUUGGUAUUAGAGAUAAAGGUUUUAAAGUGUCCCAGGAAGUCUGAAAGCUGCAUCAAGUAGAGUUUAAUCCAUGGGUGCGUAGCACGCCACAUUUGUGGGCAAGAGUCUAUACGGUGUUUAGGAAAAGUUUCCCUUCUUUCAGUAUUCAUGUCUUGUGACUGAGCAUGAUCAAAUGUUAAAAUCUCAGUCUAAUUAGUUUCUUCCAUCUAUGUACAUAACAUGCCUUCCAAGAAGAACAACAAAAGAAGAAUAGAAAAUAAGCCAACACCUCCGCCCGUUCAGGCAGAUCCCCUGGUCGAGCAUGUCUCCCAUGCAGAAUUCAAAGCUGCGUUCACCAGUCUAGCCAAUUCCAUAGGAGCUCAGAAUGAAUGGCCUACUGUUGUUCAGGCCAACCCCAUGGCCAAUACUGCUGCAGCCAGGAUUUAGGACUUUACCCAAAUGAAUCCUCCCCUUUUUUUAGGAUCUAAGUCUGAAGAGGAUCCACAGGAGUUUUUUGAUCUGGUUCAAAAAGUAACUAAUAUCAUAGGGGUGACUUCUAAUAAGAGCGCUGAGUUGGACACAUAUCAGUUACAGGAUAUAGCCCAUUUUUGGUUUAAGCUUUGGAAGGUAGAUAGAGGUGCAGAUGCAGGGCCUAUAGAAUGGGAAGAGUUUGCUAUAAUUUUCUUAGAUAGAUUCUUUCUGUUGGAGUUGAGGAAAUCCAAGGUGAUAGAAUUUAUCAACUUGAGGAAGGGCAACAUGAGCGUAAUGGAGUAUUCCCUCAAGUUUACUCAGUUAGCUAGGUAUGCUCCUAAUAUAGUAGCUGACAGUAAGUCUAAGAUGAGCACGUUUAAGUCUGGUGUAUCUGAUAGUAUGGUCAAAGAGUGUAGGACCGCAAUGCUGAUUAGGGAGAUGGACUUGUCUAGGUUAAUGGUCCAUGCUCAAUAGAUUGAGGAGCGGAAGACUAUGGAAAGAUAGAGGGAGAAUAAGAGGGCUAGAAUGGGUAGUUUUAAUUUUAGUCAGCUAAGGUCAGAAGGUGGUAAUCGUUCUCAAUUCCAUCAGAUAUCCUCAGCUCCAGUUCCAUCAUCAUCUUGUUCCCUAGUACCCUAAUUCAUAAAUGAUUAUUGGGAUAGGGCAUUAAGCUCUAAGUCCAAAGGUAGUGUGAACAGUAGUCGUACGAAUCCUCUAUGUCAGAAAUGUGGCAGAAACCACCAGGGUGAGUUUAGAGGGGGAGUGAUAUGUGCUUUGGGUGUGGAAAGGCAUUUCAUUAGAUUGGGGAGUGUUGGGUAGUUGCUCAGAAAGGUAGGGAUUUACGCCAUCAGGGCCUGUUCCAUUAAUCAUCUGUUCCAGCCGAUCGCCCAACUCAGUAGGGUGCCACUUCUAGUGCUGCCAGUGGUAAUCAUCCUAACAUAUUUUAUGCCCUUCAAUCCCAACAAGAUUAGGAAAAUUCUCCUAACAUAGUUAUUGCUAUGUUAUAGGUCUUUUAUUUACAUGUUUAUGCUUUACUAGACCCUGAGCUUCUCUUUCUUUUGUAACCUCUUAUAUAGCCGUAAAUUUUAGAAUCAGUCCUAAAAUCAUAGCAAAGUCUAUUUAAGUGUCUACCCCAGUAGGUGUUUCUAUUAUAGCUAGGCAGGUAUAUAGGAACUGUCCAAUCACAGUACCUCAAAAAGUCACUUCAGUUGAUCUUGUGGAGUUAGAGAUGACGGAUUUUGACAUCCUUCUCAGCACAGAUUAGCUCCACUCAUGCUAUUCUUUAGUUUAUUGUAAAAACAUAAGAGUUCAUUUCCAUUUCCAAAAUGAACCAGUAUUAGAGUGGAAGGGUAGUACUAUAGUGCUCAGGGGUCAGCUUGUUUCGUACCUUAGAGCAAGAAAGAUGAUAUCCAAGGGGUGUAAGUACCAUCUUCUCCAAGUCAAAGACUCUAAUUUAAAGACUCCAAUGCUUAAGUCAAUUUUAGUAGUGAGAGAAUUUCCAGAUGUGUUCCCUGAAGAUCUUCUCGGGGUUUCUCCCGAAAAGGAAAUUGACUUCGGAAUAGAUCUUCUCUUAGACACUCAGCCUAUCUUUAUCCCUCCAUAUAGAAUGGCUCUAGUCAAACUUAAAGAAUUGAAAGAACAGUUUAAGGAUCUCCUAGAUAAGGGAUUCAUCAGGCCCAACAUCUCUCUGUGUGGUGCGCCAGUUCUAUUUAUGCAUAAGAAAGAUGACUCUAUAAGAAUAUGUAUUGACUGCCCUUAGUUGAACAAAGGCACCAUAAUGAAUAGAUAUCCACUUCCUAGAAUUGAUGGCUCAUUUGAUGAACUUUAGGGUACCAUCUAAUUUUCUAAGAUAGACCUCAGAUCAGGCUAUUAUUAGCUCAGAGUCAGAGAAUAUGAUAUUUCAAAAAUAUCUUUUCAAACCCGGUAUGGUCACUUUGAAUUUCUAGUCAUGUCCUUUGGUCUCAUGAAUGCCCCAGAAGCCUUCAUGGACUUGAUUAUCCGAGUGUUUAAGCAGUACUUGGACAUGUUUUUCAUAGUCUUCAUUGAUGACAUUCUUGUUUACUUCCAUAGAAAAUAAUCCUGUAGACCACCUUAGAAUAGUAUUGCAGACUCUUAGAGCCCAUCAGUUGUUCGCUAAAUUCAGUAAGUUCUAAUUUUGGCUAAGAUCAAUAGGUUUUCAUGGCCAUAUCAUUUUUGGUGAUGGCAUUAGAGUUGAUUCCCAAAAUAUCAAAGCAGUGAGAAACUGGCCCAGACCUAUUUCCUCAUCAGAUAUAAGAAGUUUCUUGGGUUUGGCUGCUAUUAUCGAUGAUUUUUUAAAGGGUUUUCAUCUAUUGCAUCCCUCAUAUCUAGAUUGACUCCGAUGAAAGUUAAGUUCUAGUGGUCACAUACUUGUGAUAAGAGUUUUCAAGAGUUGAAGACUCGACUCACCUCAGCUUCAGUUUUGACAUUGCCAGAUAGUUCAAAUGGGUUGUGGUGUACUGUGAUGCUUCCAGAGUUGGGUUGAGAUAUGUUUUGAUACAGAAGGGUAAAGUUAUGGCCAAUGCCUCUAGACAGCUUAAGCCCUAUGAGAAAAAUUACCCUACCCAUGACCUUGAGUUAGAAGCUGCCGUGUUUGCCAUAAAGAUUUGGAGGCAUUAUUUGUAUGGGGUGUAUGUUGAGGUGUUCGUAGAUCACAAGAUCUUGCAGUAUGUGUUCUCUCAAAAAUAUUUAAAUUUGCAUUAGAGAAGGUGGAUAUAGUUGUUGAAAGAUUAUGAUAUGAGUGUUCUGUAUCAUCCGGUCAAGGACAAUGUAGUGGCAAAUACUCUUAGUAGAUUGUUUAUGGGUAGUGUCACUCAUAUUAAGGAUGAUAAAAAAAAGUUAGUUAGAGAGGUUCAUCAGUUUGCCAGAUUAGGUAUUCGUUUGGUUAAUCCAGCAGAGGGUAGUGUAUGGGUACGAAAUAGUUCAGAAUCAUCUCUAGUUUCCAAGGUGAAGGAAAAUUAGGAUAGAGAUCCUAGUCUUGUAAAGUUAAAAGAGUCAGUCAGAGAUAAAAAAUGAAGGUUUUUUCCCAAGAGGGAGAUGGUGUAUUACGUUGCCAGGGAAGAUUGUAUGUGCCAUGUUUUGAUGAGUUGAGACAGCGAAUUCUUGCAGAAGCGCAUGACGCACAUUACUUGAUUUAUCCAGGGGCCACUAAGAUGUACUGCAAUUUGUCGAAAAUCAACUGGACGAGUGGGAGAAAUAGAGAUGUUGCAGAGUUUAUAACUAAGUGCUCUACGUGUCAGCAGGUUAAGAUUAAGCACCAGAAGCCUAGUGGGUCCAUGCAGGAGUUUAAGUUUUCCCACAUGGAAAUGGGACGAAGCGAACAUAGACUUUGUGAUGGGUCUACAUUGUACUAGUCCUCAAUAUGAUUCGAUUUGGGUUAUCGUAGACAAGAUGACCAAGUCUGCUCAUUUCUUGCCAGUCCAUACUUCCUACUCAGCCAAGGACUAUGCCAAACUCUAUAUCAGAGAGUUGGUUAGGUUGCACCAUGUUCCCUUAUCCAUUAUUUCAGAUAGAGGUACCCAGCUUACCUUUUACUUCUGGAAAGCAUUCCAAAAGGGUCUUGGUACCCAUGUUUACCUCAGUACAACCUUCCACCCUUAGAUAGAUGGUCAAGCAGAAAGGAGCAUUCGGACUCUAGAAGAUAUGUUAAUAGCAUGCAUUGUUGAUUUUAAAGGUAGUUGGGAUGACCACUUGCCUUAGAUUGAAUUUCCAUAUAAUAACAAUUAUUAUUCUAGUAUUCAGAUGGCUUCGUUUGAGGCUCUUUAUGGUAGGAGAUGUCGAUCUCUAAUUGGUUGGUUUGAAGUAGGUGAGGCCACAGUAGUAGGGCUUGAUUUAUUAUUUGAUGCCUUAGAGAAGGUUUAGUUGAUUAGAUAAAGGCUUAGGGAAGCCUAGAGCCGACAGAAGUAAUAUGCAAAUGUGAGAAGAAAGGAUCUCAAGUUUGAGAUUGGCGAUUUUGUGUACCUAAAGAUGUCUCCCACAAAUGGAGUAAAGAGGUUCAGCAAGAAGGAAAAGCUUAGUCCCCAAUAUGUUGGUCUUUACAAAAUUAUUAGUCGUUUUAGAAAGGUAGCUUACAAUCUUGAGUUGCCUUCAAAUCUAGCUUCAGUACACUCAGUUGUCCAUGUCUUUUUGUUAAAGAAAUGCAUUGGUGACACAGUAGUCAUAGUUCCCUUAGAGGGCGUAGAUAUUCAGAAUGAUCUCUCUUUGUAAGAGGUUCCAGUCCAAAUCAUCGAUCGUCAGAUCUGCUGACUGAGGAACAAAGAAGUUCCCUUGAUCAAAGUUUUUUGGUGGAACUAAUCCAUGGAGGGAGCUAUUUUGGAAGCAAAAGCAGAUAUGAAGACCAAGUAUCCUCACCUCUUCUCCACAAACUUAGAUUCAGUUUGAGGUAACAGUCUUCCUUAGCUUUGCUUAGUUCCAUGGUCAGAUAUAGUAACAAAAUUGGUAGUUAUUACCAUUGUAUAUCAUCUUUAUGACCUCAUUCAUUCAUGAAUCAGUUCAGUCGUGUACUCAUGCAUCAGAUAUGCUUGUUCAGUAUGAAAACUCAGUCUCCCAAUAUUUCUCAGCUUAAUCAGUCUCAUUCGAGGAUGAAUCUUCCCAAGAGGGAGAUAUUGUAAUAUCCCAUAUUUUCUUGGCUUAGAUUAAUUCUUCAUACAUGAGUAUUCCUAUAUUAAUUUUUCAAAAUACUUUGAAUUUUUCAGUUUAAGACCUUUCAUUGCAUAGGAAAUUCAGUAAGCUUUCCAACAAUAUAAAUUUUGCCCAAAUCCAAUGCCUGGGUGAAAAGAUAUAUCAAUUUUUGUUAAAAAAUGUGCCAAAAUGCACAUAACCACGUCGCGGUGAGGGUCCAAACAACAAUUGUUAGUUUCCAGUGGUCCAUCGUGAUAAUGGAGCAUUGCGCCAAUGCCCAUUUUUAGAAUUUUCAUUUUCUGGUGAAGCUAAGUGAUUUCAUCGCGUCACGCUAAGGACCGAAUUUGCCAUCAGUCCAGUUCCCAGUUGUCCAUUUUCCAGUGAGCUAGUGCGAUUGUACCGCAUCGUGCUGAAAUGAAAAAUUAGGAUUUUCAGCUUCUGUGAUUUUAUUUCAAGGACCGUUUGGUCAAUUUCCAAAACUCCUAAGCAGCCUAAACACGUGAUUUAAUCCCUAAAUAACCUAAUUAGUCAUUAUUUACUUAAUUCCUCUAAAAAAAUAAAUCAUUCUCUCUCAAAUUAACAAAAACCUAGCUUCAAGAAUCAAGAACGAUCCUCAAACAAUCCUCCAAGAGCCUUCAAGAACUCAUCUUCUUAGGUAUGUUUAGUGUUCAUCCAUGAGUUCCUUUCACCCAUGGAGUCCAAGUACCCAAUUAAAGUACAAAAUUUUUGAUCUUUUCAAGAUUUAUGAUGUUAAAUUGUGAUUUUAAACUAUGAGUCUCAAUGAACCUCCGAGAAUAUCGAUUGUACACCAUGUUUUAAUGAAAUUAUUAUUGUCGGCAAAUCUCACAUAUUUUAUUGUAAUUAUUAUUCAUCGAAUUAAAUCAUGAUUAGCUAUCAUUGAUCUUGAAAUCAUGCUAUUACUUUAAGUAUCAUACUAUUCUUAUGAUUUGCUUAAGUUAUAAAUACCAAGUGUUUGAUAAAAUGCCUAUAAGAAUGAAUAUUUGAUAAAGGCUUUCAUGCUAUAUCCUCUAAGCAUAAUAUUAUUUUACUAUUAUUGCUUUUGAGUCCUGGGGGGUUUUGAAGACCCGAAAACCAUAGCUAUUCACUUAGUCUCAUCUUAAUAUCUUCAAAAUAGCUUCAGAAUAUAUUAUGAGCAUUAUCAGAUCAGUUAGUUAAACUCAGAACAGUUUAGUAAUCCAGUGUCAUUCAAUUGGGAGUAGAAUUUAGCACCGAGAGAGUGCAGGGAUGAUGAUUUCCUCAUCAGAUAGGCAAAUUUGUUAGUAGCGAUCCCUGUACUCCAAAACUACGAAGCCAGCAUAGGAUAUGAGAAGUCACCCAUCGGUUUAGGCUUGACUAUCUCGCAGGGGUUACCCAUCAGUUCAGGCUUGAUACCCUUAUUCCUUCGGAAAAAUACAAUACAUUUUGUAUAGUAGAUCCACACAUCCAACGUUAGUACCCAUGGCAUGGUACUAACACCCUUCUAGCUGGGGUUAUAGGUUGGACCCCAAUUAGCUUAGAUUGGGGCAUGUCGGUUAGAUGAUACCUCCCACAGUCUCAAUUACAGUCUCAACCUAAUAGUUAGUCUAGUUAUUCAGUUUCAGUUGCUUGACCAUAACAUAUAGACACUAGUUAUUCAGAUAUCAGAUUUUAGUAUUUACAGAUUAUAUUCAGUCCAUGUUAUAUGCUUAGUCAUGAAUCCACAGUAUCUAUAGAUUUUAUGUAUCUUCUAUAUUUUUAAUUUUUAUGUAUCUUCAGUAAUUACAGAUUCUAUGCAUUCUCAGUAUCUACAGAUUUUAUGCACUCUAUUCAGUACCUUAUGUUAUACAUAUAUAUUUAGACGAAUAUAAAUUCAUGUUCAUGAAACCAUGCAUAUCAGCCCACCUCAUUUAGCAUACCAGUACAUUCAAAUUACUAAAUGUAUACUCUUUUCUUGCGCUAUAAAGUAUCAUAUCAUAGGUUUGGAUGUCCAGUUUCUAGAUCACACUUAGAAUUCUCAGUCUUUCAGCAAUAGCAGUAGUGAGUCCUCAUAUUUAGAGGAUUGGAUCUUUAUUUCAUAUUUUCAGUUCAGUUGUUAGAUAGAGUUAGUUGGGGCCUAUCCUUUCAAUUCGUAUUCAUUCAGUUAGAGGCUUUCAGACAUGCCAGUUAAUUUUUUAGUUUAUCUCUAUUUUAUCAGAUUCAAACAGUUGUUUCUCCAGAUUCAUAAUUUAGUAUUAUUUCAAUUGUUAAAACCUUAUAGCUUAUAAGUUGUUCUUCCAUAUUUAUGAUUAUAUUAUUCAGUACUCAUAGUAGGCACCAGCUCAUGGGUUAGCUUGUAGUCCCUCAAGAUCGUAAGAACUGUGUAACGCCCAGGGUCUACUCUCUGGACAUUACAUUAGUGAUUUGUAGGUUUAAAUCAAUCAACUAGCAAGACCUGUUUUGAAUUUUUCCCAAUAGAUAUGUAAUCUAUUGCAAUAGCUUUCCUAUCUAUUUGAUAAAUUGUAAUAAAUGAGUCAUCUAUUGCAAUAGGUAGCUAAUUUAUUGGUUAAAUCUAACUACCUUUUCAUGUUUUGUACAUUACUUCAUGAUGGGAGCUAAAGAAACUGAAGAUAAAACACGAUUUUAUUUCUGUUAUUGAUGGGAAUAGAUGGGGUAGGAAAAAUAAGAUACGUGCAAAUAGAUGGAUCCACUUUAAUAUGUGUGAAGUAUGUAUUACUGAUUGGGUUAUCAUGACAAACAUACAUAAAAUACAAUGAAUUAUGAUUGCUGUUUUUCACCAAUUAGGCAUUGAUCAUUAAAAUAAGAUCUUGCCUUUCACAAUUAAGUUUGGUAGGGCUGAACUAAUAAGGAUGAGGGACUCAGAAGGUGGUGUGGAUACCCUGCUAUAGUCUAAUGAUGGUUUUGCUAAUGUUUUAUGUUUAAGUGUGUAGUUUGGAGAAGGGAUAAAGAUUUGAUGGUAGUGUAGAUAUUUAAUAGUGAUAGGACUGGUUUAAAGAUUUAAUGGAUUGUUAAAAGGCUUCUGAAUCCACUUACAACAGAAAACAAGAAUGAAAAUCCCAUAAAAAUUUCCAAAGUUCAAAUUUAUAUGGAUGGUUCGCUUAGGGAGAUGAUUAUGGAGCAGAAGGUGUUGCUGAAGAAUAUCUGCGAGAGAAGAAGAAGGGAGUUAUUGAAGACUAUAUCAUCUUAAACCUUAUCACAGAAGAAACACAAGUUUUAAAAGUAACUCAUCUAAAAUACACACUAUAAAAUGUGCUUUGAGGGGUGAUUUUUUUCCUGAGAAAUUAGAUCUCAGACUUUAAAAUGCACACUCAUUUAAAGUUGGAAGAUAUGCAAAAAUAAUUGUGGAUACUUUCAAUCUGUACUUUAGAUGAGUGUGCAUUUUACAGUCUGAGAUCUAAUUUCUUAGAUAAAAAUUAUCCCUCAAAUUAUAUUUUACAGUGUCCAUUUUAGAUGAGUUUCGUUCAAACCUUCUAUUUCUUCUGUUAUAAGGUUUGAGAUGAUAUAGUCUUCAACAACCCCCUUCCCUUGUAGAUAUUCUCCUACAAUAUCUUCUUCUCUAUAAUCAUCUCUCCGAGCAACCUAUCUAUAUAAAUUUGAACCUGGAUAAUUUCAAUGGGAUUUCCAUUAUUGUCUAUUGUAGUAAGAUGAUUCGGAGGCCUUUCAACAAUCCAUUGAACCCUUAAAAUUAGUCCUAUGAUAGUUAAACAUCUACACUGCCAUCAAAUCUUUAUCCUUUCACUAAGAUACACACAUAAAUAUAAACAUUAGCAAAAUCAUCAUUAGACUAUAGCAGGGUAUCCACACCACCUUCUAGGUCCCUCUACCUUAUUAGUUCGGACCUACCAAACUUAACUGUAACAAGCAAGAUCUUGUUUUAAUGAUCAAUGCCUAAUCAAUAAUAAACAAAAUUUACAAAUUCAUUCUACUUUAUGUGUCUUUUCACAACAAACUGAUCAGUAACAGAUACCUUGCACAUAUGAAGUACAGCGAUCUUAAAGCAACUUAUUUCUCCAAGAACCCAUCUUUACUCUAGCCUUUUAAAUUAGCCAAUUAAAAGUUGAUCCCACUUUCACUUUCAUUUCUCUUGGGAGACAUAUUUUAUCUACAAAAAAGAGAAAAAAAAGUACAAAUCAGUAUAAUUUUAAAAAAAGGCAACACAAAAUUCAAUAAAUACAAUACAUUUCGAUAAUAAAUCCAAUAUAUGUUGCAACAGAUAACCCCCUUGUUGCAACAGAUUACACAUCUAUUGUAAUUGAUGACCAACCUAUUGAAAUAAAUCUGUCAUCUAUUGAAAGAUCUAUUUUGAUUUAUUCCAGCAGUUGUUUCAUCUGUUGUAAUAAAUGAAAAAUCUGUUUUAAUUUUUUCCAUCAACUAUUUCAUCUGUCGUAACAAAUGGAGAAUAUGUUGGAAGACCUAUUUUAAUAUUUUCUCAUAGAUUUUUCACCUGUUGCAGCACCAAUAACACCAACACCAACACCAACACCAACACUCCAACACCAAUACGAAUAACACCAAAAACAUCAACAACAACAUCAACAAAACAUCAACAAGUAUUUUUGGAUUAUGACAUCCAGGUUUUGAGUUCUUCCAAUAAAUGACCAACUUGUUGCAACUGAUAUGUUAAUCUGUUGGAAGAUCUCAAUGGUCAUGACUUAGAUUAUUUAAUUAAAAAAAAAUUUAUAAAUAAAUAAUAAGUGAAAAAAAUAUGAUAUACACAAGAUUUUAUUUUAUAGCUAUUUAACUUAAAUAACUAUUUUUCAUCAAAGAAGACAUGAUAAAUUUCAAUGAAACAUGCAAAGAACAAAGAAGAAGACAAUAAGACAAGAAUAUCAUAGAAUAUAAACCAGUGAAACCACAUACCUCGUGUAUAUAGAUCUAUUUGGUUCUAUAGGGGAUAAGAUCAAAAUUCUCAGGCAAAAGAGGAGAGAAAAGAUAGAAAAAAGAGAAGACGAUUACAUUUUAGUUCUAGAGGUGACGAGAUCCAAAUUCUCCAGCGAAAGAGGAGAGAAAAUAUAGAAAAAAGAAAGUUACGGUUGAUUUAAAUAAAAAAGAGAGAGGAGAAAAGAAAAAUAUUUUUUUUGAGAGAAAAUUGUAGAGAUGGUUUUGACUAUUUAUUGGCAUUGGUUUUGAUAUUUGAAAAGACAAGACAAGAUAAGACACUUUUGACUUUUGAGUUAUCCUAAAAUGUUUGAGCUCAUUAUCUUUAUUUUAUUUCGGAAAGAAAAUUUUAUUAAAAUAAAUCCAAUAGAUAGGUAAUAUAUUGCAACAGAUAUUCUAUCUAUUUGAUAUUUUUCAAUAGAUGUGUCAUCUAUUGCAAUCGAUGUCUAUAUCUAUUUGAUAAUUUCCAACAGAUAAGUCAUCUGUUGCAAUAGUUAGUCAUCUAUUUAUUCAAAUUAAGCCAUUAUUAUUAAUAAAUAAAUUAAUUUGACAAACAUUAAAGAUUAAUUUAUACAUUCAAUUAUAAUUGAUCAAUUCAUCUAAUUGCAAUUACAUGAUCAACUGUUGUGUUCGUUCUGAGUAGGGUGAUCAAUUGACCAAUUUUCCUUGACAAGUUUCUAAUCAAGUCAUUAAUUGUAAUAAAUAAAUUGAUUUAGAUAAAAUCAAAAUUAUUGAUACGUCCAAUUAAAAUUUCAAUUGAUCUCAUUCCAAAUACAUGAUCAACUAUUGUGUUCGUCUUGAGUAGGGUGAUCAAUUGACAAAUUUUAUUUGAAAUGGUUCAAAUAAAGCCAUUAAUUUUAAUAACUAAAUUUAUUUAUCUAAAAUCAAAGAUGAAUUGAUACGUUCAAUUGUAGUUUCAAUUGAUGUCAAUGCAAUUACAUAAUCAACUGUUGUUUUCAUCUUGAGUAGGGUGAUCAAUCUUACUUGAAAUGGUUCCAAUCAAUUCAUUAAUUGUAAUAAUAAAUUGAUUUAGGUAAACUUAAAUAUGAAUUGACAUGUUCAAUUAUAAUUUCAAUUAAUCUCAUUGCAAUUAAGUGAUCAACUAUUGUGUUCGUCCUGAGUAGGGUGAUCAAUUGACCAAUUUUAAUUGAAAUGAUUCAAAUCAAGUCAUUAAUUGUCAUAAAUAAAUUGAUUUAGGUAAAAUCAAAUAUGAAUUGAUACGUUCAAUUACAAUUUCAAUUAAUCUCAUUGCAAUUGCAUGAUCAACUAUUGUGUUAGUCCUGAGUAGGGUGAUCAAUUGACCAAUUUUACUUGAAAUAGUUCAAAUCAAGUCACUAAUAAUAAUAAUAAUAACUAAAUUGAUUUAGCUAAAAUCAAAGAUGAAUUGAUAUGUUCAAUUAUAAUUUCAAUUGAUCUCAUUGCAAUUAUUUGAUCAACUAUUGUGUUCGUCCUGAGUAGGGUGUUCAAUUGACCAAUUUUACUCGAAAUGGUUCAGAUCAAGCAAUUAAUUAUAAUAACUAAAUUAAUUUAGCUAAAAUCAAAGAUGAAUUGAUACGUUCAAUUACAAUUUCAAUUGAUCUUAGUGCAAUUACAUAAUCAACUGUUGCACAAUCUAUUGCAACAAAUUUAACCUGCUACAACAGAUGAUUCAUUUGUUGAAAAUUUUCAAAUAGAUAUACUCAUCUGUUGCAACAAAUGGCACACCCAUUGCAACAAAGGAUUUUAUCUGCUUGGUCAUUUCAAACAUAUUACUCAUCUUGUAAUAGAUUACUAAUAUAUUGUAACAUAUUAUUUUAUCUGUUUGAUCAUUUCUAAAGUAUUACUGAUCUGAGGCAACAAAUGAGUAAUAUGUUCGAAUAGAUGUUUUUAAUUGUUCCAACAAAUGAAUCACAUGUUUAAAAUUAUCAAACAGAUAUGGACAUAUAAUUAAUUAAUAUUAAUAUUAAAUUAAUACUAAAUUCAUUUUUAGUUACAAUUGAACUUAAUAAAUGAAAACUAUUUUUUGUGAAAUUAAUUUUAAAGUAGAUAAAACUUAUCCCUUUUAAAAAAUUAAUUCAGAUUAACUGAGAGCAAAUUAACAUUUUUAAAACUUAUCAUUCUUUUUCAAAAUAAAAAUCAACCCAUACAAAUCUUCCAUUUAUGCUAUGCAAGACCAUAUGAUGCUUUACUUUUCAUGCUAUCGAGUCCUAGGGGUAUUUAAUACCCGACAAUUUAGCUGUUUACCUAAAUCCAGUGUCAGUUACAGAAUGAUCUCAGUUAUGUCACAAUCGUAGCACUCUCAUUCAGUUACAAGACUCAGGAAAAACUCAGUAGACUAAGUAUUAGUCUCAUCUAGUUCAAUAUUCAGCUCAGACCUUAGUAAACUUAGUCAGCUAAUAGAAUUUAGUAGUAUUUUGUCAGUCAACAGAACUCAGUAAACUCAAUAACAGUUUAGUAAAGCCUAGUCUAAACUAGGAAAUCCUUUCAGUGUCCAUUCAGUUGGGAGAAGGAUUCAGCACCAAGCUAACCCAGGGAUAGGGCAGUCCUGCCAGUAGAGAGUUUGACCCUUAGUAGAAAUCCCUGUAUUACAGAACUACGUAGCCUGCGUAGGUUGAGAUAUCUUCCUACCAGAUUAGGGUUGAUACAUCUCACAUGAGUUUUCCUACUAACGAGGGUUGAUGAAAGAGCUUUCUAUUAGAGAGGGUUAACUCACAACAUGUCUCUACCCGUGGCACGGUACUGAUACCCUUCUAACUGGGUUACAGGUUGGACCCCUAUCUAUUUAGAAAGGGGUAUAUUAGUUAGAUGAUUACCUCUCAUAGUCUCAAUUUCAGAUUCAGUCUCAGUAUAGAAAUAAGUUCUGUUUUACAGAUUUAGGACUGUCAGACAUAGUCACUCAGCUCAGUACAAAACUAAGCAUAGUUCCAUAAAAUCAAGACUGUUAGUUAUAGUUGCCUAUCUAUUAGUAAUAUAGUAUCACUUAAUCAGUAUUCAGACUCUAUAUUCAGUGUUAUCACAAUUUCAGUUACAGUAUACGUAUUCAUGCAUGUACUCUCAUUCAGUUAUAUUCAUGUCAUUCGGUCAGUAUUAUUUAUGCAUAUGGACUGCAUUUCAGCCUACUUCACUUAGCAUACCAGUACAUUCAAAGUACUGACACAUACUUUUCUCUUGUGCUAUGAUGUCUUAGAUCACAGGUUUAGGCGCAUGGGCUCCUGAGAACCCUUAGGAGUUCAGAUAUUCAGCAGUCAGAGUUAUUGGUAAGUCUUCAUAGUUUGAAGACAUGAUUAUUUUCUUCAGUACUUUAGUUUAUCAGUACAGUCUUUAGUAGUUAUGUAACACCCCAUACUUAAUUACGUGCAUUAGCCAUGGUUAUAUGUGUUGGAGUAUAUGUAUUGAUCAUAAGUUAGGUAUAUAUGAGUUUAAGUAUGAGUAUUGAUUAUUUUGAGAUGGUUUCAAGUGUAUAGUUUGAUUAUAUGUGUAUAGGAAUCGACUUUAUUUAUACCGGAAUUUGUUCGUCGAAGUUUCUAAGCGAAGUUUAUCGAGUUAGCAAUCCAACGAUAUAAAGAUUUCUAAAAACAGAUGAGUAUCGGAUAUAAGCGAGCAUGUUCGAAACUUGAAAACGGUGGACGCAAUGAACAGUAAAUGUGCAGAAAUUUUCUACACACAAAAGUACUGCAGCCAAAUUGAUUUUUGGGUCGACUUUAAAUGAUCAUAACUCCUUGUAAAAAAUGAACUGUGUGAGCUGCUAUAUAUCAAUGAGAAGCCCUAAGAGUCUUCUUUCUAAUGCAAUGAGUAAGGAGUUAUACUCGUUUUACUUCAGCCUCUCAAAACAGAUUUUUAGGGUCAACUUCAAACGAUCAUAACUACUUGUACAGGACGAACUGGGUGGAUUAAUUUAUAUUAAAUGAAAUACCUUUGAAUUAUCUUUCUAACGAUACCAAUUUCACCCAAAUCCGAUAUCGGAGCAAAGAGUUAUGGCCGAUUUACUUUAGCCUAUCAAAACAGUCCACCAUGGACAGAUUCGGAUUUACUUAAAUUUUUAAGGGCAAUAUGGUCAUUUUCCAUCACCUCUUGAACGAAAAUUGGUCAUUAUAUACAUAUACUUAGCCUCAUAUCCAUUAUUUAUCAUCCAUUAUUGAAAACUAAGAAACCCUAGCCAAAUUUCAACUCCAAUUAUCUUGUGAUUCAACCGUAGAAAAUCCAAAUUGAUUCCGUAGUUGUGUUCACCGUCUCAAGGGCUUCGAGAAGCACCCCUUAUUUGUGCCAACAGGACUUCGAAAUCAAAAGGGCCAUUUUUUUGGUAAGGAUGUAAAUUAUGUUGGUGUUAUUUAUAUGGAUAUGUAUAUAUAUAUAUAUGCAUGUGAGCAUAAGAAGUAUGUUAUUUGAUUGUUGUUGAAAGAUGAUUGGAAAUGAUGUUGGAUUAUUCUUGUGCAUGGUUGGAUUAUGUUAAAUUGUGAAGGAAUUUGGGGUGAUGAUGUGGUAUUGAUGAUGUGGUAUUGAAAUGAUGAUUAUAUAUAUAUACACACAUAAACCUAUUGUUCAAGUUGGUUUUUGGAAUGUUUUGCAAAUAUUGGUAGUAUGGAAUUAUGGAAGAGAAUUGUGGUGUUGGGUUGCUAAUACUAGAUGCCAAACAUUUCAUUGUAGAUAAGUGAUUUGUAAAGGCGGGAAGUUGUGUUGAAUUGGUAUCUGAAUCUACAACGAGGUAUGUAAAGCAUACUCUAACAAUGUUCUUUGGCAUGAAAACACCAAUGUUCCAUCAAGUAAGAUUCCGAGGUUGUCCAAAAACAUGUAUUGUUCUACGUUACCAACGAAGUUGUUUCCAUUCUAUAAAGUGUCAAAAUGUUUCAUUGAUAUACCAAAAGGCUCUUAUUUCAUUGUUGUGAUAUUGAUGAUUCUGAAACACAUUGUUGAUGUACCAAUGAGUCUUUAUUACAUCGUUAUUGUAUAGAAGGUCUAUUACUUGGUUCCUAUUGAUGUAUCAUUGUUUCAAAGUAUCAAAAAUGUGGUGGCGACCGAAAUAACAAUCUCAAAGAUUAAUUGAACUAAGUGAUGGGAGUUCUUUCUUAUCGGGUGGUAUCCCAGGGGCAUAAGCCUAGCAUGGGUCGAUCCCUAUUUCAUGUGUUUAUGGGUGGUAUCCCAGGGGCAUAAGCCUAGCAUGGGUCGAUCCCAGUUGAUAUGUACUGGAGGCAUCCUAAUGGUCACAGUACAGUACAGUAAUGAUUACAAAGACGAUAAGAACGAAGGUAAAGUGAUUGAAUAAAUACAAUGUACAGGUUGUCACAAGUUCUAGUAAGUGUGGUCCACUCCUAUUACGACUUAUUCACUUGUUUCUGAUUUCUAUUGAGCUCCUAUAUCAUAUGUGAUUAUUUACAGCUUUACAUACUCAGUACAUAUUUCGUACUGACGUCCCUCACGGGGGACCUGCAUUUCAUGCUGCAGGCACAGGUACCUCAGCUCAUACACCGCACAAGUAGGAGCCAGGUCAUACAGCUAUUGUUGGUGAGCUCCAGUUUGCUUCGGAGCUUUCCGCGUCGGUCCCUUAUGUUUUGUUAUUGUACAGGAGUCAUGUGUGGGCGGGGGUUUGUCCCGACCCUAGUUAUGUCAUGUAUAUCCUAGAGGCUUUGUAGACAUAAGGAAGGAUAAAGUCAUGGAAGUUUAUAUAGUGAUGUUAUAUUUGUAUAUGUGGUGGCCCCGACGGCCAAGUAUUAUAUAUAUAUAUAUUGGUGCGUGUUGUGCUGAUACAGGUAAUUAGACCCUUCUAUAUGCAACGAAGUGCUGUCCAAAUUUUUGGUGACAUGUAAGUGAAAGUACAGGUGUCUGAACGGGUUCUCCCGGGCCUUCUCGGCUUCGGGUUCCAGUCCGGCCCGAUGGGAUUUUGGGGCGUGACAUGUUAGAGCUAGUUGAGGGCUUUUCCCAUCAACUCUAUCAUUCAGACAUUAGAGGCUUUUUAGACUAGAGUAUUUUUAGACAGAUGUUUCAUUUUUGGUAUUGUUAUAGCAUAUUCAGUUUUAUUUCAGUAUUGAACCUUAUGGAAAGUUUUUGCCUAAUUUUUGCAUAUUUACAGUACUACUAUUUAGUUAUUGCAGCAAGAACCAGUCAUGGGUUAACUUGUGGUCCUUCAGGAUUAUAAGCACCGUAUAGUGUCCGGGGUACAGACUCGGGGAAUUAUAAACUUGGUAUCAGAGCCUAAGGUUCAACAGAGUCCUAGGAAGUCUAGAAGUUGUAUCAAGUAGAUUCUUGUGUAUGGGUGUGUAGCGUGCCACACUUAUGGACAAGAGGCUACGAGAUGUUUUAAGAAAAGUUUCCCUUCUUUCAGUACUUAUACAGUGCGAGUGAGCAUGAGCUUCAAUUAAAAUCUCUGUCUAAUCCAAGUUUCUCUUCUCUUUACAGAAUAUGUCUCCAAAGAGAACUAAGUGAAGAGGAACGGGAGACCAUCUCGAACCCCAGUCCAUCCAACCAGAUCCUCUGGAUGAACAUGUCUCCUAUGUUGAGUUCAGAGCAGCUUUCACCACCAUAGCUCAUUUUGUGGCAGCCUAAAAUAAAUAUCCAACUGCUGUUCUAGCCAACCCAGUGGCCAAUACUGCUGCUACUAGGAUUUAAGAUUUCACCCAAAUGAACCCUCCAUCUUUUACUGGGUAUAAGUCAGACAAGGACCCUCAGGAAUUUUUUGAUCAGGUACAAAAAGUUACAUAUAUUAUUGGGGUGACUGCUGUUGGGAGUGCUGAUUUAGCCACAUAUCAGUUAUAGGAUAUGGAACACUCAUGGUAUAAAUAAUGGAAAGCAGAAAGGGCCACAGAUGUAGGGCCCAUAGAAUGGGAGGAGUUUGCUGUUGCUUUUCUGGAUAGGUUCUUACCGCUAGAGUUGAAGGAAGUGGAGGUUUUGGAGUUUAUAGAUCUAAAGCUAGGAAAUAUGAUAGUACAAGAGUAUUCUCUCAAGUUCACUAGUUAUUUGGAUAUGCCCCUCAUGUAGUAGUAGAUAAUAGAUUUAAGAUGAGUAAGUUUGUGUAUGGGGCGUCUAGCAGUAUGGUCAAUGAUGUAGGACCGCAAUGUUGAUUAAGGAGAUGAACAUAUCCAGGCUCAUGUUCCAUGCUCAGCAGAUAGAGGAGGCCAAGAAUAAAAAGAAGGAGAGGGAGAGCAAGAGAGCGAGGAAAGGUAGUUUCAACUUUGCUCAAACUAAGUCAAAGGGUGGGAAUCAUUCUUAGUUCCAUAUAAAACCCUCAGUUCUAGCUUUAUACUCAGCCAGUGCUCUUAUGUCGAAAGUCAGAGAUGGAAACAGAGAUAGGGCGUCAGGCCUUAAACCUUAGGGUAGUGUUAGUAGUGCCCAAACUAUUCCUCUUUGUUAGAAGUGUGGCAAAAACAACCAGGAUAUCUGCAGAGCUGGCAGUGAUGUAUGUUUUGGAUGUAGAAAGCUAGGCAAUAGGUUCAGACAGUUUCCUUAGGUGCAUUAAGCAGAGUCAGCAUAAUCAUUCCCCAGCUUAGUCUGGUCGCCCGAAUUAGCAGGGUGCCUCUUCCAGUGCCACCAGUGGGCAAUGCCUAAAUAGACUCUAUGCACUUCAGUCCCGAUAGGAUCAAAAGAGUUCUCUUGAUGUGGUCACUGGUAUUUUACAAGUUUAUCAUUUGCAUGUUUAUACUUUGCUAGAUCUAGGAGCAUUUUUAUCCUUUGUUACUCCUUAUAUAGCUGUUGACUUUGGAGUCAUUCCAAAUAUCCUAUUAGAACCUUUCUCAGUCUCUACCCAAGUAGGUAAAUCUAUCAUAGCCUGACGAGUAUAAGGAACUGUCCGAUUACGGUAUCUUAGAAAGUUACUUCAGCAGACCCAGUUGAAUUAGAGAUGACUGAUUUUGAUUUCAUUCUCGAUAUGGAUUGACUUUAUUCCUACUAUGCCUCAGUUGACUGCAGAAAUAGAAUUGUCCAAUUUUAGUUUUUGAAUGAGCCUGUCCUAGAGUGGAGGGGUAGUACUUCAGCACUUAGGGGUCAACUUAUUUCUUACCUUCGGGCAAGAAAAAUGAUAUGUAAGGGAUGUACCUACCAUAUCAUUCGAGUCCAGGACUCUAGUUCAGAAACCCCUAAUCUUGAAGUUAGUAGCAUGUGAAUGUCCAGAUGUGUUUCCCGAAGAUUUUCUAGAAGUUUCUCUCGAAAGGGAAAUUGAUUUCAGAAUAGAUCUUCUUUAAGAUACCUAGCCCAUAUCUACUCCUCCAUACAGAAUGUCACUUGCAGAACUCAGAGAAUUAAAAGAACAAUUAAAGAAUCUCCUAGAUAAGGGACACAUUAUACCCAGUGUGUCCUCGUGGGGCGCACCAAUUUUAUUCAUGCGUAAGAGAGACAGUUGUCUUAGAAUGUGUAUUGACUACCUUCAGUAGAAUAAAGUCAUAGUAAAAAACAAGUAUCCACUUUCUAGAAUCGAUAACUUGUUUAACCAACUUUAGGGUGCCAGUUACUUCUCCAAGAUAGACCUCAGAUCAGGCUAUCGUCGACUCAGAUUCAGGGAAUGUGACAUCCCGAAAACAACCUUCAAAACUCAGUAUAGUCUCCUUGAAUUCUUAGUUAUGUCCUUUGGUCUUACUAAUGUCCUAGAAGCCUUCAUGGACUUGAUGAACCGUGCAUUCAAGCAGUACUUAGACAUGUUCAUCAUAGUCUUUAUAAAUGACAUUCUUGUCUACUCUCGCAGUGAGCAUGAUCAUGUAGACCAUCUCAAAGUAGUAUUACAGAUUCUCAAAAACCAUCAACUAUUCACCAAAUUUAGUAAGUUUGAAUUUUGGCUAAGGUCAUAGCUUUUCUUGGCCAUAUUAUUUUCAGUGAUGGCAUUAUAGUUGCUCCCCAAAAGACCGAAGCAGUAAGAAAUUAGCCCAAACCCAUCUCUUCAUCAGAUAUCAAGAGUUUCUUGGGCUUGGCCGGCUAUUACCGAUGGUUUAUUAAGGGAUUUUCAUCUAUUACAUCCCGUAUGUCUGGAUUGACUUAGAAGAAGGUCAAAUUCCAGUAGAAAAAUUCUUGUGAAUAGACUUUUUAGGAGUUGAAGACUUGACUAACUACAGCUCCAGUUUUGACCUUGCCAGAUGGUUCAGAUGACUUUGUUAUGUAUUGUGAUGCUUCCAGAGUCAGCUUGGGAUGUGUUUUGAUGUAGAGAGGUAAGGUCAUAGCCUACGCCUCUAGAUAACUUAGGCCCCAUGAAAAGAACUAUCCUACUUAUGAUCUUGAGUUAUCAGCAAUAGUUUUUGCCUUAAAGAUUUAGAGGAACUAUUUAUAUAGGGUGCACAUUGAUGUGUUCACUGACCAUAAGAGCCUGCAAUAUGAGUUCUCUAGAAAGACCUAAACCUCCGUCAGAGAAGGUGGUUGGAGUUAUCGAAAGACUAUGACAUGAGCGUCCUAUAUCAUCCGGGUAAAUCCUUUGUAGUGGCUGAUGCUCUCAGUAGGAUGUCUAUGGGCAGUGUUGCUCAUGUGGAGAACAGUAAGAAUAAGUUACCUUAGGAAGUUCAUCAGCUUACCCUACUAGGUAUUCGCUUAGUUGAUUUAGCUGAAGGUAGUAUAUGGGUGCAGAGUUGUUCAGAAUCAUCCCUAGUUUCUGAGGUAAAAGAAAAGCAGGGUAGGGAUCCCAAUCUAUCUAAGUUGAAGGAAUCAGUUAGAGAUAAAAAAGUAGAGGUUUUCUCCUAAGGGGGAGUGAUGGUGUGUUGCGCUGCCAGGGUCAGCUAUGUGUGUCAGGUGUAGAUAACUUUAGGCAGUGAAUUCUUGUAGAAACGCAUGGUGUGCGCUACUCUAUUCAUCCAGGGGACACUAAGAUGUACCUUGAUUUGCGAGAGAUCUAUUGGUGGAGUGGGAUGAAGAAAGAUAUUGCAGAGUUUGUGGCUAAGUGCUCAACAUGUCAGAAGGUUAAGAUUGAUCAUCAGAUGCCUAGUAGGUCUAUGCAGGAGUUUAACAUUCCCACCUUGAAAUGGGAAGAAGGAAAUAUGGAAUUUUUGAUGGGUUUGCCUCGUACUCGUUGCCAGCAUAAUUCAAUUUGGGAUAUUAUAGACAUGAUGACCAAAUCAACUCAUUUUCUACCAGUAUAUACCUUUUAUUUAACGGAGGAUUAUGCCAAACUCUAUAUCAAGGAGUUGGUCAGAUUGCAUGGUGUUUCGUUGUCCAUUAUCUCAGAUAGAGGUACCCAGUUCACCUCUCAUUUCUGGAAGGCAUUCCAAAAAGGUCUUGGUACCCAAGUUUACCUCAGUACAAACUUUCAUCCUCAGACAGAUGGUUAAGCAGAAAAAACCAUUCAGACUUUAGACGAUAUGCUGUGAGCAUGUAUGAUAUACUAUAAAGGUAGUUGGGAUAACCACUUGCCUUUGAUUGAAUUCGCUUAUAACAACAACUAUCAUUCUAGCAUUCAAAUGGUUCCAUUUGAGGUACUUUAUGGAAGAAGGUAUAGGUUUCUCGUUGGUUGGUUUGAGUGGGUGAGGCCAUAGUGAUUGGGCCUUACUUGGUAUUUAAUACCUUAGAGAAAGUCCAGUUGAUCGGGGAAAGACUUAAGACAACUCAAAGCCGACAGAAAUUGUAUGAAGAUGUGCGCAGAAAGGAUCUCGAGUUUGAGAUUGGAGAUUUUGUGUACUUGAAAAUCUCUCCUAUGAAAGGAGUGAAGAGGUUUGUCAAGAAGGGGAAACUCAGUCCCCGAUAUGUCGAUCCUUACUGAAUUCUCAGUCAUUUCAGAAAGGUAGCUUAUGAGCUUAAGUUUCCUUUAGAUUUAGCUUCAGUGCAUCCAGUAUUAUAUGUCUCCUUGCUAAAGAAAUGCAUAGGUGACCUAGUAGUCCUAGUCCCUAUAGAGGGCAUAGAUAUUCAGAACAACCUCUCUUAUAAAGAGAUCCCAUUCAAAAUCCUUGAUUAUCAGAUUCACAGACUGAGGAACAAAGAAGUCCCUCUAGUCAAAGUUCUUUGGCAGAAUCAGUUCGUUGAGGGAGCUACUUGGGAAGCAAAAACAGACAUGCGAACCAAAUAUCCUGUCCUCUUCUCCGUAAACUCAGACUCAACCCAAGGUAAUAAUUUUCCUUUGAAUUUACUCAGUUUCAUAUUUAGAUAUAUCUAGCAACUUGGUAUCAAUUAACGUUGCAUACUCAUUCAUGCAUUCACAAAUUAGUUCAGUCAUGUACUCAUGCAUCAAACAUGCAUGUUCAGUAUAUAAACUCAACUUAUUAGUAAUCCCAAUCAUGCAUUCAUGAAAUUUUCAACUAUGUACUUAUGCAUCAGAUAUGCAUGUUCAGUAUGAUAAUUCAGUAUAUCAUUAAUUUUAGUCAUCAAAUCAUACUUUAGUUGUGCAUGUCCAGUGUCUAAAUCCAGUCUAUCAGUAUUCUCAGUUUAAUCAGUCUUAUUCGAGGAUAAAUGUUCUCAAGGGGGAGAUAUUGUAAGACCCCACAAAAUCCUAAGCUUAACUCAGUCCCUUAAAGUUUGUUAAGGUUUCCCAGACUUAGAAAAAUUCUAGCUAAGUAUUUAGACUUAGCAUUAUUUUGGCCUUCGUAAGUUGGAAACUCUUUUUCACAACUCUUAUGACCUUAAAGUAUCGAUCUUUAGAUUGAUUCAUGAUCAGGAAUGUCAGUAGGUGUUUCUGGACAAGUUUUGUAUUUUUCAAACCUCGUUUAGACUAUGUUCAAGUGACAAACAUAGUGAGUCGAUGCGAUGUCUACGCCUCACAUCAUCCAUCACAUCGACAGAUAAUUUUUCCCUCAGCUCAGUGCACAUUCUAGUGAACUGAUGCAUACUCGACGUGGCGCGUUGGACAUCACAUCGAUGCUAAUGACGUAAUGCAUCGGUAUGGAAGUCGACAUUCUGAUUUUCAGUCAUUAAAAAGUCGCGUCCUUAGGGGUAUUGGGUCUUUUCCCCACCCCUAUUCAGCCCUAAAACAUGAGAUUCAACCCUCAUUAAGCAAAAUACACUCACUUUCUCUUAAAUUGCUUAAGAACAAGAACCUUAGGUGAUUUAAUUUCAAAGCCGAGGCUCAAGAUUUCACCAUUGUUCUUCAAUAAUUUAGCAACCAAGGUAUGUGUAGUGUUCAUCCAAGGGUUCCUUCCACUCUUGGAUUCUAAGAAACUCUUUUAAACUUCAAGUAGAUUGAUUUCAUGUUUCUAUGAUUUGGAAUUAAAGUGUAUUCAUGAGUAUUAUUUAAUUGGGUUUUCUAUUUCAUUAUUUAUUACAAGAUUGAUGUAGAAUUAAUUGAUAUCUAUGAUUUAUCAUGUCAAUUCAUGUUGAAACCCAUAGAAUUUUGAAUUUGGAAUUGAAUCAUGAUUCUCACAUGGUGUUUAGUAUUAUGUGCAUAUACUAUGCCAUCCAAGUGUUUUAUGAAUUGCUCAUGUGAAUGUAAUAAUAAGAUUUUAUCAUGCUAGUAUGUAUACUAAUUCAUUCCAUGCAAGUGUUUGAUAAAAUGCCUCUAUAGAUGCAUUAUGAACAAGUGUACAUUUUUAUGCUAUGCAAGAUCAUGUGAUGCUUUAAUUUUCAUGCUAUCGAGUCCUGGGUGUAUUUAAUACCCGACAAUUUAGCUAUUUACCUAGAGCCAACAUUAGUUACAGAAUAAUCUUAGUUAUGUCACGAUCAGUAGUACUCUUAGUCAGUUACAAGACUCAGGAAAAACUCAAUAGACUCAAUAUUAGUCUCAUCUAGUUUAGUAUUUAGUUUAGACCUCAGUAAACUCAGUCAGCUAACCAAAUUUAGUAGAAUUCCAUCAGUCAACAGAACUCAGUAAACUUAGUAACAGUUUAGUCAAGCCUAGUGUGAACUAGGAAAUCAGUUCAGUGUCUAUUCAGUUGAGAGUAGGAUUCAACACCGAGUUAACCCAAGGAUGGGGGUAUUCCUGCCAAAAGAGGGUUUGGCCCUUAGUAGCAAUCCGAUAUCUUCCUGCCAGAUUAGGGUUGAUACAUCUCACAUGAGUUUUCCUGCCAGCAAGAUUUGAUGAAAGAUCUUCCUAUCAGAGAAGGUUAACUCAUAGUGUGUCUCUACCCGUGGCACGGUACUAAUACCCUUCCAACUAGGGUUAUAGGUUGGACCCCAAUAUAUUUAGAAAUGGGCAAAUCAAUUAGAUAAUUACCUCCCACAGUCUCAGUUUUAGAUUUAAUCUCAGUACAGAACUCAGUUCUGUUCUACAGAUUUAGGACUAUCAGACAUAGUCACUCAGCUUAGUAUGAAACUCAGCAUAGUUCUACAGAAUCAAGACUAUCAGAUACAGUCGCCUAUCUAUUAGUAAUACAGUAUAAAUUAAUCAGUAUUCAGACUCAGUAUUUAGUGCUAUCAUGAUCUUAGUUACAGUACAUAUAUUCAUGUAUGUACUCUCAUUCAAUUAUAUUCAUGCCAUUCAGUCAAUAUUGUUCAUGCAUAUGAACCCAUGCAUUUUAUCCUACCUCACUUAGCGUACCAGUACAUUCAAAGUACCGAUACAUAUUUUUUUCUUGCGCUAUGAUGUCUUAUAUCAUAGAUUCAAGCGCACGGGCUCCCAAGCACCAUUAGCAGUUCAGAUCUUCAGUAGUCAGAGUUAGUGGUGAUUCCUCAUAGUUUCAGGACAUGAUUAUUUUCUUCAGUACUUUGUUUUAUCAGUACAAUUUUUAGUAGUUGAAGUUAGUUGGGGGCUUGUCCCAUCAACUCCAUAAUUCAGACAGUAAAGGCUUUUCAGACUAGAAUAUUUUCAGACAGAUGUUUCAGUUUUGGUAUUGUUAUACCGUAUUCAUUUUUAUUUUAGUAUUGAACCUUAUGACAAGUUUUUGCCUAAUUUUCGCAUAUUUACAGUAUUACUAUUCAGUUAUUGUAGUAGGUACCAGUCAUGGGUUAGCUUGUGGUCAUUUCGGGAUUAUGAGCACCGUGUAGCAUCUGGGAUACUAACUCGAAGAGUUACACCUAACCACCUUAUACAACCUUUGAUGGGUUGAAUUUCGAGCAUAUAACAAGAUAACGUAAAUGCUUUCAUGAUAACUCUGGAUAAGGUCACAACUAUGAUUGACCCAAUCGAGUCCAAUUGUACCAAAUAGUACUAAACCAAAUGGAUUCCAAAAAAUAUAAUGAUAAUCAAUCCUAAAAUAUAAUACGAUAGAACAGUGAGAAAUUAUGUCUGAUGAUGUCAGCCUCCCAUCUUAUUCUAAUGCCAAGGUCGACACCAAUAAAGAUCCCACCUAUACCAACUCCUAGAAUUACCACAAAGCCUCUAUCCAAAAGAGUAAAAGUAUCUAGUUGGGAUAUGGCCCCAACCAUGGCUAAAACCAAUAUAAGAAAUAAAAUAAAAGUGUCUAAAGAUGUUCAUAACAUGAAAUAGAUCCUUCCAAAAGGAUGGAAGCUCACCACUUCAGUCUAAGUGCUGAUAUCAAAAUUCAAAUGCUAGACAAGAGGAGGAUAAUGACCUGUUACUUCAUAGUGUGGGUAUACAGUCGCUAGUAGAUGGGUUAGGAGUGAUCGCUAGCAUGAACUCAUGAUAAGAAUAAAAUAAUGUCAUUUAUAAAACCAAUUAAAAUCAUCCAUAAUGCAUACAACCAUACAUACAUAUAAGUACCGGGAAAGGGAUCUGGAUUUAGCAUACAUUUAAAUCUUUUACCUGGGGUAUGUAGCUUUGCCAUCCUAAGACACCCACGGGCAAUAUGGGUUUAAAUCCCUCUGCUGAGAGGUCCCCAAUAUGUGUAGUCGCAUGACCAGAGAAGUAUCCCAUGAGAUGACUAGUAAAUCCCCCAAUAUAAGGUGUGGUGUCAUGCAGACGGUUACCAAGACCAACCUCAUAUUGGCAAAUAUGAAUUUCUGGUUUUGGUCCUCUCGUUACCUCCACCUUUUAUGAAUUAGCUACACUUCCCCCUUUAAUGCCCAAUUAAAACCAUUUCCAAAUAACCAACCAAUCCAUUUACCAUUUGUUAACCAAGGACAUUUGUUGGUGGUAUCGUCAUACCGACCAUACUUGCAAGCAUUAUCCAUAGCCAACUAUUUAUAAAUUAAGGGGACUUUCAAGUGCCAUUUCAUUUAUCAUGUUAAACCUUUUGGGGGAUUCUGUACCCCAUAAGCAUAACCAUUCAGCCAUUUAUCUUUCCAAAUCAUUUAAACUAUGUUUAAAUCCUUUACCAAGUUUAAAACAAUCAAGAGUUCUAUUUAAAACUAAUCAAUGCAAUGAACAUAUCUUUAUAAGCAUUUUGUUAGACACAUUGGGGGCAUAGUAUAUAUCCAAAACCAAUUCCAAUUACCAAUAACCAUUCCAUGUAUUCCAAUUAUCCAGAACCACCAUUAAUGCAUAUAAAAGCAUAAUUAAAACCAUGGGAAACCAUAACCAAGUAUUUAUAAACAAAAACCCCAAAUCAUAUUUGAAAACCCCAAACAUACGAUAAUGAAGUCAUUAAAACCAAUAAUAAAAUCAUGCCUUUAGUUGGAACUAACAAUGAAGGGAGGAGUACAUUCCUUAUACUGAGGAAUUGAUGGAAAGAAAUCACCAUAGCAAGCCCCAAAUUAGUUGUCAAGAUGAAACCCUAGCUUUCUUGCCCCAAAAUCUCUUGAGAGAAUUAUGAAGUGUUUAGGAAUAGUUUCUAAGUAUUUUUGAAUAGAAUAAUAGGGUAAGUAGAAAAAUGUCCAGAAUACCCCACUUAAGUUGCACAAAAAUUCCGUCAUAGGGAUACGACUGACCCACACAAGUCGUACAUUUUGAUAUGAGAUGUACUCACCACUUGUAUCCUAGCCUCAACCUGGGACCUAGAACUAUCCAGUAUAUGAAUCAUCCAACCUAAGUCAUAUCCAUAAUAUACGAUCCAUACCUCCUAUCUGUAUCCCUAGCAGAGCGGAAUACCAUGAGACUUGAACACUGUCCCCUACAUGAGUACAAGAUACGACUCAUAUCCAACUAUAUGACUCAUAUUCUCUAAGUCGUAUCCAUCCCAGUAACCCAUCCAUCCCGCCAAUUAAUACUGGACAAUAUACAAUAGGACCAUACUACUCGUACCCCAAUAUACUGCUCGUACCUAUAAAUCAUGUUUGUUCAAAGAAUGGGAUUCCAGGAAAAAUUCUAAGGUCCAAAAACCAGGAUGUUUCAAAAGCUGAAAUAUCUAUUGGGAGAUAUUAAAAUAGGUCUUCAAACAGAUUUCCCAUCUGUUGCAACAAAUAUUUUGGUUGGAAGAAAACAAACCAGGAGCAGUGGAGUGGAGGGGUGACUUAAAAGACACCUUUCCUUCAAUCCCCAAGAAGUUGUUUUUAGUUAAAAGUGACGAAAGAGUUUGAAAAUGAGGUGUAGGUGACUCAAGUUUUAAUAAUUGGGUAUAGGUGAAAAUUAAUUGAUUAUGGAUUUAAAAAGUUAAGAAUGACACGUAAGUUUCUUAAUUUAUACUUUAAUCCAAUGUAACUGCUAAUAUAAUUAGAAAAGAAGGGGAAAAUACCUCGUUUCUCUCUCUUCACAUUUUUAUUAUUGUUUUCUCUCCUUUUGCUUUAUUGUUGAUUCAUUGUUCAUUGUUGCGUGUUGCUUCUUUGCUUGCUUUAUUCAUAAACGUCAUCUUUAUUAUCAUCUCUUCUUUGUUUAUCAUCAUCAUCAUCCUCUUCUUGUUGACCAAAUUUUGAGGUUAAAUUUUUUUUGUAUAUCACUUAGGCAUUAUUUCUUAGGUGAUUUUGGUAGGUUAAAUUAUGAUUUUUAGUUGAAUCUCUCAUUUGGGUACACUGCUACUUCUAUUUUUUCAACAAUGGAUAGGACCUGAAUAUGAAUCUAAUAGAUGAGUCAUCUUUUUACAAUACAUGAGUCAUCUAUUGCAAAGAGUAGUCAUCUUCUGAACAACUAACACAAUUGUUGGAUUCAUGUUACUGGUCAUAUAUAGUGCUGUAAAAUGAAUCCCAAUAGGUGAGUCAUCUAUUGCAAGAGAUCACUCAUCUAUUGCAAGAGAUCACUCAUCUAUUGCAAGAGAUCACUCAUCUAUUGUAAUAGGUUACUAACUUGCUGCAACAAAAUACUCUGUCCACAUGCUAUGAAAGUGCUUCGAGCUCAAUAUGGAACUCAAACUUAUAAUUACUCAUUUCCAUAUUAUUCGAUAGAAAGAUAUAUAAUGGCAUAUAGUGAGAAUAUUAAUUUGGUGCCUCCUGAAGAAUCUUGGGUUGUUCUUAUAGAGAUUUUGGAGAGAUUAAUACCUCUCUUAUAUUGACCCAAACACUAUCAAACCAGGAAUUAGACGAUAUAAGAGGAGGCGUGGAUUCGGAAAAUCAUCUCCAUCAAGAAAAAAUAAGUGCUCCAAAUUAAAGAACACUGACCGCAAAAGAACGACAUGCCUGGAUCAUAAUGCGCCAUGAUCAUUGUAAUAGUCCCAUGUUGUUGUUUGUUAUGGAUUUUGAUAAUUUUAACUUAUUGUUGGGAAUGUAAAUGAUGUAAAUGUUAUUAUUUAUUAUAUAAACUAUGUUUUUAUUAACUUGCGCAUCACUAAAAAAGGUAAUGGAAACUAAAAUACAAUAGACUAUAAAAAUAUUUUCAAAAAAUUACCUAUCUAUUGCAACAGAUGCACUUUUGCUAAAAGAACACAAUAUAGUCCAUCAAAUUAGGAUUGUGUUCAACCAAAAAAUAACUAAUCUAUUGCAAUAGAUGGGUAAUUAUAAUACCCCAAAUUUCUGAACCGGAAUUCUACACGGUGCUCAUGACCCCGAAGGACCACAAACCCAUGACUGAUAUUUGUACCUGUACACUACAUAAUAUAAUAUGAAAAUAUGGAAACAUGUACUGAAUAGCCAUAAGGUUCAAAUCUAAAUAAACAUCUAAUAAAAUAAUGUCUGAAAUAACUGUCUGAUAUGCUGUAGUCUGGAAAGACUCUAAACUGUCUGAAUAAGGAGUUGAUGGGACAUGUCCCCAACUAAAUCCAACUACUGAGAUAAACUGAAAAAUGAAAUAGUAAUGAAAUUGUCAUGUCCUCGAAAGAUGAGGACUCACUUCUAACACUGACUGCUGAUAUUGGAAUCUACUGCUGAUCUGAGCUCGUGUCUCUGAACCUAUGGUGAAACAUAAGAGAAAGAACCACAACACAAAUGCGUCAGUACGUCUAAAUGUACUGAGUAUACGAGUGAGGUAGGAUAAAUGCAAUGUGUUAUAUGCAUGAACAAUGCUAGCUAAUAUGAACGUGAGAAUACAUACAUACAUAAGUAACUGUAACUAAACUCAUGAAGAUACUGACUACUGAAUCUGAAUACUGACGUCAUGACUUUACUGAUACUGAGACACUGAAUAGAUAAAUGACUAGUUCUGACAGUUUGAAUUAUAAAGAACUGGUCUAAUUAACUGUGUCUAAUAGUCCUAAAACUAAAUACUAAUAAUGUAAGCUAUGACAACUGAUAUAACUGUGAUGAUCACCCUAACCGAUAUAAAAGAUAUUGACUGACUGUAUCUGACAGUCUAAAUCUUCUAAUAAUAACUAAGAGUGACUGAUCUUGAGAUCAGGCCUAACUAACAGGUGAUUUCUGGAACUGAUAUGAGAAUACUCAACUGAAUCUGAGAUUGAGAUCAACCCUAUCUGACAGAUGAGCUUUGUAAUUACUGAUAUUAAAUAACUUAAUGGGAGACCAAGCCUAUCUGAUGGGUGGUCUUUGAAUAUGUUGAACUAUCUGAGUUCCUUACUGAGAUUGAUGACUGUAUCUGACAGUCCUGAUUUCUGAUUUCUACUCUAAUGACUGAUACUGAAACUGUAACUGUGGGAGUUCUCAUUUAACCGACAUGCCCCGAAUCUGAGUAGUGGGGUCCAACCUGUAACCCCAACUGGAAGGGCGUCAAUACCGUGCCACGGGUAGAGAUCUCUGCUAUGGUCAAGCCUCACUGACGGGUGACCCUGAACAUGAAGCCAAGCCUAAGGAAAUACAUAAUAGUCAAGUCUAGCCUUAAUUUGAUGGGUGACUCCUGGACCUACGCUAGCUAUGCAGUUCUGAAGUACAGGGUUUGCUGCUAACGACUCUGCCUCUCUAACGGGGAAGUCGCCAUCCCCAUACUCGCUCGGUGCUUGUUCCAACUCCCAACUGAUUAACUGAGCUAAACUAAUUGACUAAACCGAACUGAUACCAGUGAUAUUAUUUAGUGGAGCUAAACUAAGUUUACUGAGUUCCCUUGACUAAAGGAAUGUACUGAGUUCUGAGGACUAACUGAGAGCAUCGUGAUAACAUGAUAUUGCUCUAGGAACACAACUAUAUUUUUCAGGUACAAGUACCCACAGGACUUGAUGGAAGGAAACUGGCACUUGUUGAUCAUAUGAAUAACAUUCACAAUUCAUAAUACCAUCAGUAGAGUAUUCCACACUACACAUGAUUUCAUAUUCUUGAUCACGAAAGAUAAUGCAUAUAAUAUGUACAUAAUUACAUGAUUCUAAUUUCAUGAGCAUUCCAUAGCAUAAUAACAAUACAUAAAAAUUUGCAUGGAAUUCAUGUUGAGUCAUAAGGGAUAGAGCAUGGACUUGUCAUUUGGGUUCUACUUAGCUAUAUUACAUGAUUUCUAGUCUCUUGGGUCUUUUAUCAAACACCUUGCAUUCACUCUUUGAGGCAUAGGUAUAUUCACAAAUUUACAGUAUAUUAAUCCACCCAAAUUCAUGGGUUCCUACUACAUGAAUCAUAAUCUUUAUGAAAAUUUGUCAAAUUCUCACUCUAUAGCACAAACAACAAACAACAACAUGAAUACAACCUUAUCACCACAAAACAUUCAAGAUUUAGUAAUCAAAGAUUAAUUCUUGAACUCUACGGAUGAAAGGAAUCCGUGGAUGAACAUACGCGUACCUUAGAAGGAAGAUUCUUGAUGAUUGACGGAGGAAUUUCCUUAAAAUUGGAUCUUCAAAUUUAAUUGUGCAACCCUAGUUGUUUUUCUCCUAUUUGUACUCUUGGAUAAUGAACUUAAGACGUUAAUAGGGUUGUAUUGUGAUUAGGAGCUAUAUGUUUCAUAGGGUUAAGUUUAGGGACGUGUAAGGAGUGUCAAAAGACUUAAUUAUCCUCAAAAUAACUCAAAAACUAAGUGUUUUCGUUGCUGAAAUCAUUAGUGUGCGUCGCGCACCUCAUUACACAUACUAGGGUGUGUAACACACAUGUUUUCACACAAGCCUAGGUAUGCGUCGCAUAUCCUAUCGCACACUUGAGAGUGUCCGCCGCACAAUCUAUCACACACUUGAUCUACUAGCCAUGUGCUAUUGUUAUGCAUCACACUCCACUUUGCAAGGCCGUAACUCCUUGCUCGGGUGUUGAAUUUUGAUAAAAUUGGUAUCGUUUGAAAGCUAAUUAGAUUCCAUACAAUUUGGUGGGUCUAAAUCUGCCAAAACCCCAUAUAUACAUCGAGUUAUGCUCAUUCAAAGAUGACCCCUGUGAAAUCAAACACUAAACUUGAUGGAUUCAAAUACUCUUAGCUUGCAUUAUGUUAAGUGACUCAUAUGAUCAUGCUUAAUACAUCGUAAGCUAUCUUAUCACUAGGAUACUAAUUGUAAGUCAUGUACUCGAAUAUGAAUUAUAGGAUAGGAGGUUUCAUAAGUAGAAAAAAAAUGGUUCACUUCCUAGCUUAGAAAUAUACGGGGUGUUACAAUAUCUCCCCCUUGAGAACAUUUAUCCUCGAAUGAGACUUACUGAGAGGGGAAACAAUAAGCUGAACAUGAACUGAACAUAAAUGAUUGAAACAUGAUAUUAUGACUGAUGUGACUGAUAAAAUGAUUCAUACUGAACAUGAAUAUUUGAUGCAUGGGUAGCUGAUUCAUGAAUGUAGGACUGAGGAUUCUAAUAAAAUGAGCUUUCUCAAAAUGAGGAUGCAUAUCUGAUGCAUAACUAAAAGGCUGAAUCCAUGCAUAUCUAAUGCAUGAUUACAUGACUGACAUGGUACAUAACGUAUUAACUGAACAACAUAAACUGAACUGAAUCUCUAAAUACUUGACUUACAACUGAGGUUUUAACCUGAGGGUUAACUUAUGAGCACCCUCUAUUCUAGAUUGAAUUCAUUACGCAAAGAGAAACAAAAAGAUCUAAGACAUGAGAGAGUUAAGAAAAGGUGGGGGUAUCUCCCCCUUAGGACACUAUGUCCCUCUAAGAAUGCUUACCUUAUGGAGAUACUGAGGUAAUGCACAGGGCAUCUAUGAACUAGAUUAUAACUGAACAUUGGAGAGCUAAAACUAAUGUAUGAAGAUAAAAGAUUCAUACAUACCUGAAUCUAUGUUAGGAAAACUUUCUGGAUCAUGGCGAGUUUGAAGUGAAUAGAGUCGGUUCUGACGCUGACCACUAUUGGUACUGGAAGUGGCGGCCUGUUGACGUGAAUCUCUACCUUUCUGAGCUAACACUCUACACUCCCGCACUUUGUAACCUAGCUUACUACAUCCAUAAUAUACUUGACUACUAUCUCUGCACGUACCUAGAUGAUUCUUGCCAUAUUCUCUACAAAGCGGAUAAGUACGCUCAUUACCAACACUACUCUGGGAUUUGGAGCUUGGUGCCCCAUCAUGAUUGACAUCUCUAAAGUUUGGUAUGGGCACACUAGUUGAGGAUGGAACUGGGACUGAAUUUUUCUGACUAUGGUGAGAAUGGUUACCACCUUGUGACCCAGCCUGAGAAAAGUUAUAACUACCUAUUCUGAAUCUCUUAUUAGAUAUCUCCCUUUCCUUAGACUUAUCUUCCUCUAUCUGUUGGGCAUGCUUCCUUAACCUAACAAGAUCCAUGUCUCUAUUGAGCAUAGAUGUCCUACAUUCCUUUAAUACUAACCCGAACACACCAGUCACAAGCUUACUCAUACACGCUCUGGGGUCAGCUAUCAAGUUAGGAGCAUACUUAGAUAACUGGUUGAACUUAACAUAAUACUCCUUCACUAUCAUGGAGCCUUGUAUGAGGUUUAUAAACUCUUCUACCUUAUAUUCUCUCAUCUCUUGUGGGAAAAACUUAUCUAAGAAGGCAUCCAGAAAUAUCGGCCAAGUCAUGGGAGUUGCAUCUUCCCCUCUACUCUUCUUCCACAACACUACCCAAUUAUGAGAAAUAUCUUUCAGCCUAUAGGAUGCUAAUUCCAUACUCUCUUCCUCUGACAUAUGCAUAAUUUGGAUGAUCUUCUUCACCUCUUCUAGAUACAACUAUGGGUCCUCACCGGCUACUGACCCAAAGAAUUCUGAAGGGUUCAUUCUCAUAAAAUUUCUGAUUUUGGCUGUGGCUGAAUCCCCAUCUUGCUGAGGUGGGGAUGCAGUCUGACGGUUUCCCUGAACACUAGUGGUCACAGCUUGGGCUAGCACCUAAAAAGUUGCCCGAAAUUCUGCAUAUGACAUAUUUUUAUUCAAAGGAUCUGUGGGUUGAGGGGCUGACUGAUUCCCUAUUCUCUUCUUAAGAGGCAUGUCCUGCAAAUAGAAGAGGAACAAGGAUUAGACUGGGAGUUCAACAUGAGCUUUUGCUCACUGUCAUGACAUGAAUACUGAAAGAAGGGAAAAUUUUCUAAAAUAUCUUAUAGCAUCCUGUACAUAAAUGUGGUGCGCAACACACCUAUGCACAAGACUCUAUUGGAUGCGGCUUUCAGACUUCCUAGGACUCUAUUAAACCUUAGGCUCUGAUACAAAGUUUGUAACACCUUAAUUUUUUGAACCAAAAUGCUACACGGUGCUCCCCAAAAGACUACAAGCUAACCCAUGACUAAUAUUGUACUUGUACACUGCAUAAUAUAACAUGAAAAUGUGGAAAUAUGUACUGAAUGUCCAUAAGGUUCAAAUCUAAAUAAAUAUCGGAUAAAAUAAUAUCUGAAAUAACUGUCUGACAUGCUGUAUUCUGGAAAGCCUCUAAACUGUCUGAAUAAAGAGUUGAUGGAACAUGUCCCCAACUAACUCCAAAUACUGAAAUAAACUGAAAACUGAAAUAGUAAUAAAAUUAUCAUGUUCUCGAAAGAUGAGGACUCACUUUUAACGUUGACUGCUGAAACUGGAAUCUAGUGCUUAUCUAGAGCUUGUGCCUCUGAACCUAUGGUGUAACAUAAGAGAAAGAAACAUAGCACAAAUGCAUCAGUACGUGUGAAUGUACUGAGUGUACGAGUGAGGUAGGCUAAAUGCAAUGUGUUAUAUGCAUGAACAAUGUUGACUAAUAUAAACAUGAGAAUACAUACAUGCAUAAGUAACUAUAACUGAACUAAUGGAGAUACUGCCUACUGAAUCUGAAUACUGACAUCAUGACUUUACUAAUACUAAGAUAUUGAAUAGAUGAAUGACUAUUUCUAACAGUUUGAAUUAUAAAGAACUGGUCUAAUUGACUGUGUCCAACAGUCCUGAAACUAAAUACAGAUAACAUAAGCUAUGACAACUGAUAUAACUGUGAUGAUCAUCCUAACCGAUAUAACUAAUACUGAGUGACUAUAUUUGACAGUCUAAAUCUUCUAAUAAUAAUUAAGAGUGACUGAUCUUGAGAUCAGGCCUAACUAAUAGGUGAUCUCUGGAACUGAUAUGAGAAUACUCAACUGAAUUUGAGAUCGAGAUUAAGACUAUCUAAUGGGUGACCUUUGUAAGUACUGAUACUGAAUAACUUAAUGGGAGACCAAGCCUAUCUGAUGGGUGGUCUUCGAAUCUAUGGAACCAUCUGAGUUCCUUACUGAGAUUGAUGACUGUAUCUGACAGUCCUGAUUUUUGAUUUCUACUCUGAAGACUGGUACUGAAACUAUAACUUUGGGAAUUCUCACUUAACUGACAUGCCCUAAAUCUGGCUAGUGGGGUCCAACCUGUAACCCCAGUUAGAAGGGCAUCAAUACCGUGCCACGGGUAGAUGGCUCUGCUAUAGUCAAGCCUCACUGACGGGUAACCCUAAAUAGAAACCCAAGCCUAAGGCAAUAUAUAGUAGUCAAGUGUAGCCUUAAUCUGAUGGGUAAAUCCUGGACCGGCACUGGCUACACAGUUCUGAAGUACAGGGAUUGCUGUUAACGACUCUGCCUCUCUAACAGAGAAGCCUCCAUCCCCAUACUCGCUUGGUGCUAGUUCCAACUCCCAACUAAAAGACUCUAAACUGAUUAACUGAGCUGAACUGAUUGACUAAAUUGAACUGAUACCAAUGGUAUUAUUUAGCGGAGCUAAACUAAGUUUACUGAGUUCCCUUGACUGAAGGAACGUACUGAGUUCUGAGGACUGACUGAGAGCAUCGUGAUAACAUGACAUCGCUCUAGGCACACAACUAUAUUUUUUGGGUACAAGUACCCCCAGGACUUGAUGGAAGGAAACUGACACUUCUUAAUCAUAGGAAUAACAUUCACAAUUCAUAAUACCAUAAGUAGGGAUUCCACGCUACACAUGAUUUCAUACUCUUGAUCUCGAAAGAUAAUGCAUAUAAUAUGUACAUAAUUUCAUGAUUCUAAUUUCAUGAGCAUUCCAUAGCAUAAUAAUAAUACAUAAUAAUUUGCGUGGAAUUCAUGUUGAGUCAUAAGGGAUAGAGCAUGGACUUGUCAUUUGGGUUCUACUUAGCUUUAUUGCAUGAUUUCUAGUCUCUUAGGUAUUUUAUCAAACACCCUGCAUUCACUCUUUAAGGCAUAGGUAUAUUCACAAAUUUACACCACAUUAAUCCACCCAAAUUCAUGGGUUCCUACUACAUAAAUCAUAAUCUUCAUGAAAAUUUGUCAAAUUCCCACUCUAUAGCACAAACAACAAACAACAAUAUGAAUACAACCAUAUCACCAUAAAACAUUCAUGAUUUAGUAAUCAAAGAUUGAUUAUUGAACUCCACGGAUGAAAGGAAUCUGUGGAUGAACACUACGCAUACCUUAGAUGGAAGAUUCUUGAUGAUUAACGGAGGAAUUUCCUUGAAAUUGAAUCUUCAAGCUUAAUUGUGCAGCCCUAGAUGAUUUUUUCUUAUUUGUGCUCUUGGAUAAUGAACUUAAGAUGUUAAUAGGGUUGUAAUGUGAUUAGGAGCUAUAUAUUUUGUAGGGUUAAGUUUAGGGACGUGUAAGGAGUAUCAAAAUACUUAAUUAUGCUCAAAAUAACUCAAAACUAAGUGUUUUCAUUGCUGAAAUCAUAAGUGUGCAUCACACACCUCAUCGCACAUGCUAGGGUGUGUGCCGCACAUGUUAUCGCACAAGCCUAGGUGUGCGUCGCACAUCCUAUCGCACACUUAAGGGUGUGUGCCGCAUAAACUAUCGCACACUUGAGGGCGUGCGUCGCACAACCUAUCGCACACUUGAUCUAGUAGCCAUGUGCAAUUGUUAUGCAUCGCACUCCACUUUGCAAGGCCAUAACUCCUUGCUCGGGUGUCGAAUUUUGGUAAAAUUUGUAUCGUUGGAAAGAUAAUUCUAUUCUCUACAAUUUUGUGAGUCUAAAUCUGCCAAAACACCACAUAUACAUUGAGUUAUGCUCUUUCAAAGAGGACCCUUGUGAAAUCGAACACUAAACUUGAUGGAUUUAAAAACUGUUAUCUUGCAUUACAUUAAGUGAAUCAUAUGAUCAUGCUUAACACAUCGUAAGCUAUCUUAUCGCGAGGAUAAUCAUUGUAAGUUAUGUACUCGAAUAUGAAUUACUGGAUAGUAGGUUUCAUACGUAGGAAAAAAAUGGUUCACUUCCUAGCUUAGAAACAUACGGGGUAUUAUAGUAAUCUACUAGAAAAACUCAAAAUCCUAGCUACUGGACUGAAGUGUGUUCCUCUGACAGAUGGACCAUCCGUUGUACUAGAUGUGUUGAAAGAACCUAAUACAACUCAUCAAACUACUGGAUGGUGUUCAUUCAAUAGAAGACCAAUCUGUUGAUACUGAUGGGCCAUUUGUUGGAAGAACACAAUAUACUUCCUCAAUUCUUUCCCCUGGUUUGUGCUCUUUCAAUAAAUGACCAAUCUGUUUUAACAGAUAGUCCAUCUGUUGGAAGAACUCACACUCUUGCUAUUGCUACUGGAUUCAAAAUUAUGUCAAACACUCAAACCAAACCAGGUAUCUCCAACCCUUAACAUGUUAAGAAAAAGAAAGAAUAGAAUGAAAAUUGAAUAAGAAAUAAAGUCAAAGUCGGCCAAACAUAGAUUUUUGAAUUCAUUACAUACAAAAAUACAAUAAAAAACAAAAUAAAUCAAAACAUACAUUAGGUUCCUCCUCCAUUAGAUUCGAUAUAAUAAAAAAAUACAUAUGCUAAAAAAAAAACCUAAUUAUUAUUAUUAUUGUUAUUAUUAUUAUUAUUAUUAUUAUUAUUGUUAUUAUUAUUAUUAUUAUUAUUAUUGUCAAUUGAGCAAUUGUCAAGAGGCAACGGCAGAGUCCUCCUCAGCCUUGCUAUCAUGGCACCCAACUCCUACCUGAGUUUAUGAAUCUGCCUUGCAAGUUUCUGCAAGGUGUUGCACAGAAUCGUAUCCCAAUCUGGAUCAGCCAUAUCUAGAACACACAUGUAUUAACAAAAAACAUACAAAAACUAAAGAAAAGAAAAGAGUCAGAAUGUAAUGCAGUGUAUAUUACUAACUGGCAGUUUUAUAAAUUAAAAAAAUACCUCAAUGGAUGAAAAAAGAAUCUUCUCUUUGAAGAGAAGUGGUUGAAGAUGUAAUGAUAUAUUUAUGAAAGGCAAGAUGCAAGAAAUAAUUAAAGCGAAAUAGACUGAACAAGUAAAGAGAGACCUAUUUAUAGAGAAUUGAAUUUGAAUGUGUUAGUCAAAAAGCCAUGACUGUUCACCUCUUUUUUAAUAAUUACAUCCCUUAAUUAAAUAGGUGACUUUUUGAAUAUGUAAAUUAAAAAAAUAGAUUUAAAUACAAAAUGGGUGAACAGUCAUGACUUUUCACCUUUUCGAUAACAGUUUAUUUAUAUUAAAUAACUGUUUUCAUUGAGUUCUUCUAAUAUAUUAUCCAUCUGUUGCAACAGAUUAGUGAUUUGUUAGGUUAAAUCAAACAACUAACAAGACUUAUUUUGAAAAGACAAGACAAUGCCAUUGAAAAGACAAGACAUGAUAAGAUAAGAGGCUUUUGACUUUUGAGUUACCCUAAAACUAUUUGAGCUCAUUUUAUCUUAAUUUUAUUUUGGAAAGAAAAUUGCUUCAAAUAAAUUCAAUAGAUGGGUAAUCUGUUACAACAGAUAUUCUAUAUGUUUGAUAAUUUACAACAUAUUGGUAAUCGGUUGCAACAUAUAUAUAUAUCUGUUUGAUUAUUUCCAAUAGAGAAUUGUUUGAGAAUUUUCAACAGAUUUGUUAUCUAUUGCAACAGGUUAGUUACCUAUUGAAACUGUUAUCAAAUUAUUUAGAUUUCUUCCAACAGAUGGGUCACCUGUUGUGACAGAUGAAUGAUCUAUUGGAAUAAAUCAAAUUAUUGGACAUGUCACUUGUUGGAAUAGCUAUUAUGAUUUCAUCCAACGAAUAAUUUAUCUGUUGUAACAGGUGGUUAAUCUGAUGUAACAGAUUGUCAUAUGUUCCAUCAGAUGAACCAUUUGAUGCAACAGAUGGUUCAUCUAUUGCAAAAAAAAUAAACCAAUAGCAAGAUUUUGUUCAAUAGAACAACAACAAUAUCUCACCAUUUAAUAUCAAUACACCAUUAUUACCAUGAACAACAACAACCCACAAACAACAAAUCAAUCCAGCAACACAACACACACAACACAUACACCAAGAACCAUCUGUUUUGACCAAAAACAUUGUUGUUUUGUUUGUACAAACACAAACAACAAAAAACAAACUUCAAAAAAUACAACAAACAACAACAAAUCGAAUCAACAGUUCGACAAUAAGAACUACAGUAACAACAACAAAUUAGAGUUUUCUUGAGUCCCCAUUUUAAAUUUAAGUAACAAAUAUUUAAAUUGUUAACCAAUACUAGAAGAGAAGUUGACUCAAGUUCCUCUUUUUCUUCAUAAUUUAAAAGCCCUAAUUUCUUACUAGUGAAAGUCGAAAAGGAACGAUGAAAAACUCAAAGUUGUUGUCGUCAGAGAAUGUUGUCACUUCGAUUGAUGGUUGAGAGUCGAAAAGGAACUCGAAACUAUUUGUUGCUGGAGAUUGAAGGGAGAAAUUUGUGGAACUAUUGAUUGAAAAAAGUUUGAGAGAUACUGUCGGAGAGAUGGGGGAAACAGAGAUAGUUGAUUUGGAGAGGACAGAGGUGUGGAUUGAUUUGUAUUUUUAAAAAAAUUAGAAAGUUUUGAAAAUAUUAAUCAAGUCCACAAUUAACUUAAUCAAGUUUCUUAAUUGUGUUUGAUCCUUUAAGUUGAUCAAUGUCACCAGUACCACAUUCAAGACUUAAAAGACACAUUUCCUUCUAUUUUUUUUGAGUAACAUAUAUAUAAAAUAUCUAUUGUUACUAAAAUAGAAUUUGUGGAUUGAAUAUAUUCAAAAUAAUAUAUCAAUUGUUCCUAAAAUUUGAAUAGCUUAAUGAAAUCCUUUGGUUUGAAAUGAAAUGUGUGAGUUUAACUAACACCAAAUCUGAACAGCUUAUUGAAAACCUUAUCGUUUGAAGUGAAAUAUGCGAGUUUAACAGAAGGGUUUCGCCAAACAAUUAAUAUAGAUCAUAAAAAUACAUUUGUUAGUUGUUCUACUAUUUUGCUUUUUCUUUCGUCCUUUCCUUUUUUGCUCAAUGGUGUUUUGUAAACAAUCUCUUUGUCUUAUAAAUGUAGGAGUAAGAUUUGCAUACACAUAUUCUCCUACUUAUAAAAUCUCACCGGAUAUGUUAUUGUUGUUGUUUAGUCCUUUAUCUUUAAUGGCUGGCAGAUGCUUGUUCUUCUUCAAUGUAUGUACGUAAAACGCAAUUAAAGUUUGUGAUAGAAGGAUAAGAACCCUUCAUCUUUAACUAGGGUGGUAGAGUUUGAGUUUGGAAUUAAAGAAAAAAAUAUUCAUAAAAAAAUGCUAAUCUCAAAUGAAUCUUACACGGUGGGACUUCGAAUUAUUAGUCGGCUCCUCAAAAUGAAUAUUGAAUGCCCAAUGGAAACCAAAAAAAAA
rnacentral:lncRNA from 1 species